rnacentral:lncRNA from 1 species
GAAAAUCUUCACUUUGUAACCUACUUCUCUGCUGGCACAUGUCAUGGGAGAAAGAAGAAGCAUUUUUAACCUCCACAGUUUGUCUAUUCAAUCCAUCAUCCAAAGAAUCAGACCCAGAAUCCGAGUAAGAAGCGGACUCGAUGAAGGAGACAUGGUUAAAUGAUGACAUGACAAAGCAAGAAGGCCGGACAUUGUGAACAACAAUUCCCUGUGAAUGUGCCACAUUUACAAUUUCGACUAUUUGCCUAAAUAUGUGCAAACAUUCAAAUUCAUCAACAGACCGUUCUGGUUUGUUCAACCAAUGCCUCAAGCUAACAUCGUUCCACUCCAUGUUUUGGACAAAAUGGUCAACUGCAGCUUCAUCCUCACAAACCCCAGAUAAAGUACCAGCCUGGUUUUUUAGGUUUUGACGAGCCAGAACAACCCUAUCAGUCUCCUUUCUAAACCCAGAGUUGUAAGAUGCGGAUCUUAGAUUCCUGUUGGUGACUACUGAAGUAUUAAAUCCCCUAUAACUACCAGACUUCUGCCAAGCAGACUCAGAUGAGCCCUCCAUGGUUACCCCCCUUGGGCUGCAUGUAAGCCAGAACAAACGCAUCCAAGAAAUGGAGGAAUUCGCCUGCUACUACCACAUUCGCUAACUUCCACCAUUACCAUCUUCAAUCAAUACCUUAUUUCACAGAAAUAGCAAAAAGAACCUUGCUUCUGAUCAAGCCAAAGCUCAAUAACUCAGCUCCUCGAAUAAAAAUACUAACCCUUGCAGGGCAGCGGACACUAGAAAAUAAGAUGAAAUCUUUUAGCAAGCACACUUCUCCUGAGACAACCGCAACCAGCCUAACAUCAAUAAACCAAUAAGAAAAUUUAAAAAAAGUAGAGAAAAAUCAACACUUACAUUAUACCACACACAUUUUUCCUUUCCUUUCUUCAUCCACCGGAAUUAUAAAACUAAGUCCUCACACGUGCACUGUUCAACACCAAAACAACACAAGCACCAGCACAAAAAAAAAAAUCAAAGACAAGUACAAUAAUAUCCAGAAAAGGAGAGAAACUGAAGAUACCCUUUUUACAAUAUAGAAUUAGAAACACGUACCCAGAGGUUUCAUCAAAAAAACAACACAUGCAUCAGAACCAACAAAAGCCCACACACAAUAAUAUUAUAUACAGCCAUUUAAAAGAAGAGCUAGAGAGAAGGAGGGAGGGAUAAGUACCUGUAGCAGCACCAAGAAUGGAUAUUUCUGAUCCUGCUAGACCAAAAGAGAACCACACAACACAACAAGACUUUAGUUACUACACUCCACUAAACACUACAGCCUCAUAAAUUCCCUCAUUUUUCCCUCACAACUUCAAAAAUAAAAUCAAACAAAACCCCUCCACAAAAGAAAAAAUCAACAUGUUUCAAAUAAAAAAAGGAAAAAAAUACCUCUCUCUCUCUCUCUCUCUCUCAUGCUCUGUUUCACUCUAUAUAUUAUAUAGUUCUUCAUGAAAUUAUUAUGAUAUUCUUUCUUUUUUAAGCCACAAGCUCAUGGUUCGCUCUUUGGCUCAUCUCCCCGCUUUAUUCCAUUUGAGUUACGUGGCACCACCAUAGCCUCAACCUUGUUUGUUUAUUUCUUUGCAAAGAAGCCAAAAGGGAUGGUAAAUUUGAAAACUUUGUGGGCCAUCAGUGCCAAAAAAAAAAAAAAACUGUUCUUGAUGAAAAUAAAGAUCUUGGCUUUCUAGAAUUGGAAACUCAAGGUGAGAACAUGAAAAGCAAAUAAGAGCAUGCCUUACAGGUGUGAAUCAUUAAACUAAUCUGAUGAUGUGAUUCUUGUUAGAACAGCACGUAAGAAACAAUUAAGAAUACUAUAGUGGGCAGUUCUUGUUUCUUUAAUCCGAUUAGUGACACUAAAAAUAAUAUUUUACAAGAAACACUCACAUGAUAAAAAAGAAGCUAAUAAACUAUUGAUUAAUGUAAUGAAGCACAAACAAUGAAGCUAAAAAAAACAAAUAAUGGUGAUAAAAUCAACCUUAAAAUGUGGGUUUGAGUUUUGUGGGGCCCGGGCAUAAAAGUAUACAAGGAAGGAAGGGAAGAGGAUAAUAAUAAUAAUAAUUAAGGAUUGAUAAGAGAGGAUGUGGACUAGUGUCAGGUAGGACUAAUUAUUUUUGGUUUGGUUCGGUUUUUAUCUAUAAAAAUCAAUCAAAUCAUAAAAAAAUAGACCUGGAAUCAAACCGAAACCGGCCCAAACCGACCGGUUUCGAUUUGAUUUUUGCUAGCCAAAACCAAAAAACCUAUGUUAUUUUUUGGCUUUGUAAUGAGCUUCGUAAUUGGUUUUUAACGGAUUUCUGAUGGGCUUGCAAUUAAUGUUGAUAUUGUCUAAUUUUCAUUGAAGAUUCAAAAGCAUAUUUAAUUUUUUUACCACUAAAUAUUAAUUUGUAUUAAAUUGUUAUUGUCAAUCUUAUGUAUAUUGAGUUUUUUUACCACUGAAUAUUCAUUUAUAUGAAAUUAUUAAUGUCAAUCUUGUGUUCAAUAUAUUUUUUACCUUCCUAAUAUUUUUAUGCUUCUGAAAAGUUUAAAUAACACACUCACAAUCACACACCAAUAAGUUAAAAUUCAAAUUACAAAUCAUUGCCUUUAAAGGGCUUAAAGAAAAAAUAACAAAUAAAACUAUCAUAAAACACUCCAAGCCAAAAAAAAAAAAAUCUUCAUUUGCACAUCGUCUCAAUAAAAAAAAACUUCAAGACCAUUGCAUUUUGAUUCCUGAAAUUCAUAAUCUAGAAUUAUAACAUGAUAAAUUAAAUUAGAAAAUAAAAAAAAUAAUAUUUUUACCAUAUGUUUUCAAUAAAUGCAUCACAAUUUGUGAACUAAUUAUCAUCCGUUGCUAGAUGUAACUUUCCAUCAAAUUCUACAAAAUAAAAAAUUAAACAUGUUAGAAUAAAAAUGUGUUAAUUAUUAAUAAAUCAUAAAACAAAAGAUGUAAGUUUUUAAAAAACAUUACCUGAUCCAAGGUUUUUGUAGGUUUCAAAAUCAUUCAUCAAGGUUGUAUUAUCAAUUGGAAUUGGACCAUGAUGCAACCAAUUUUGACAACAAAUAAGUGUUUGAACUGUUGCUAGAGAUAGAGAACUUCGAAAUUGGUUGAGUAUACGACCACCUGUGCUAAAGGCUGAUUUAGAAGCCACUAUGGAUAUAAAAAUAGCCAGAACAUGUUGUGCAACUUUUGAAAGUAUCUUAUAUUUUGAAGAAACAUUAAUCUUCCACUAACCUAAAAUAUCUAAUUUAUCAUUAUUAGGAUCCUCACAACCAUCAACCAAAUACGUCUCAACCUCAUUUCUAUUUUUCACACUAUCUUCCUCCUGUAAGUGCCUUUUGAAUCGAGGUAAAGUGUUAACAUCUACCUCCACAUCAUCAAUAGCAUCAUUAACAUCUUAUUUAUGCCUAUUAUCAUCCACCACUUCAUCAGCUUUCAAAUAAAACUCAUACAAGCUCACCAAAUUAUCUUUCAUUUUUUUUUGUUAGCAAUUGUGCUUUGUUAUAAUCAUACAACUCACCAAAAAAAAAUUUCACAUAUGUUAACUUAAGACGUGGAUCCAAAACAUUAGCCACAUACAAUAAAAAAUUUUGAUUUGCUUCACAACCCCAAUACUUCUCAAACUUACUCAUCAUGUUCAUCGUCAUUCCACUCAAAAGAUUAUCUCUACUUUUACAUAAUUGCAACAAGUUUGUAUGCAUGUAAAUCAAUUCAUUGAAGAAUGAAUUUGAUGUGACAUGCAAUGAGCCAGAAAAUUUCAAUGUAAUCAUGUAAAAGAUCUUUAAAAACUUCAGCAAAGUUCUAACAUUUUUCCAAUCCUCCAAACUAGGUGGUCCUAUGUUUUUUUUAUUCUCCUUUGAAUCAACCUCCAAAAAGUAACUCAUAUACAUAGGUUCACUUUGACCUAACCUCACAAACACCUUUUCAAACUUUUCAGCAGCUUCUAGCAUAAGAUAAGUUGAAUUCCAUCGAGUUGCAACAUCCAAAUACAAUGAUUUCUUACACUCUAUAUGCAACUUUUCUGCACACUUCUUAAAUGCAAGUAGCCUAGAAGAUAAAGAUCUCACAAACCUAAUUGCAUUUCGAAUCUUAACAACCAAAACAUCAAUCUCUUUCAAACCAUCACACACAAUGAGGUUUACAAUGUGUGCACAACAUCUAACAUGCAAAUGUUCAUUUGACAAUAUAUUAGUUAGCCAAUCUUUCAUCACAUUCUUUAAAUAUAAAAUAGUAACACUAUUAGAGCUUACAUUGUCUACUGUAACAGUUAAAAGUUUAUCAAUCCCCCAAUCUAACAAACAAUUCUCAAUAACUUGACCAAUUGUUUCACUCAUAUGAUUGGAAACUUGACAAAAAUUCAGAAUUUUUUUAUGCAAAUUCCACUCACUAUCAAUCCAAUGAGUCGUUAAGGACAUAUAGUUAAUGUUUUGGAUUGAUGUCCAUGUAUAUGUUGUUAAGCAUAAUCGUUGACCCUUAAGAGCUCUCUUUAAUCUUUCCUUCUCUUCAACAUAAAGUUUUAAAUAAUCUCUCAUAAUAGUGAAACGAGAAGGAAUGUCAAAUCUAGGCUGCAAGGUCCUAAAAAAUAAUCUAAAUCCCUUACCCUCAACAAAAUUAAAAGGCAACUCAUCAAUUAUAACCAUUUUUACUAGUGCAUGUCUACAUUUAUCAUAAUCAUAACCUAUUGCCUUAAGAGUUCCCACACUUCGAUCUCCUGAUUCACCCCCCGCUUUAUUAGGUUCUAAUACCAAAAGUUUUUGCUUCUUAUCAACCACAAAAGGAAACUUUUUGUAUACUUUUAAAUGACUCCGCAUAUUACUUGUCCCAUUAAUAAUAGUAUGACAUGCAUAACCCUUUUCACAAUAAUUACAUUCAGCUCUAGGGAUUGUAGGAUCACCAUCAAGUUUGGUAAAAUGAUAUGCUUGGCAAUCAGACUAUAGUUUACCUCACCCCCACUCCCAUCAAAAUUCAAAUGAGAAGCAUGUUAUUCUGCAUAUGAUCUGCUUGGAAAACCGUAAAUAGAAGUGUUACCCCUGUUCAGGGAGCUAUUGCUACAUCAUACAACAUGUUUACUAUUUGCUAAGGAGCUUCACCAUUUAAAAAAAAAACAGUAAAACCUAUAUCAUCCAUUCAUUUCAGAAGCAGUGGAAUGGUAAGUGAUAUUAUCACACUACAAACCAGAACUAGGGCAUAAAACCAACACAGAUAAACAUAAAAAGGAAAUCUCAAAACUGAUAAAAAAAAUACUAAAUGAAUAACAUAAAAAAAAGCUGACCAAAAACUGGUAGAUGAUAUGGAAAAUGGAAAUGCAAGUUUUAGCUGCUAGAUUUCUAUGUUAUACUUAUUUCAGGUUUUAACUUAUAAUCAUAGGUUCUUUAGACAGCAGGUACAAAUUGUCGAAAAAGGUGUUUGACUCAUUUUUUAUUUUCUAUCAAUUCUUAAAAUUUGUGUCCAAGCUAAUUGACAGCUUCUGUAGAGCUUAUUUGAGUUAUUUUUGUUUUCAUUUUUUGCAGAUUAUGUUUUAUGAAGCCUUGAAAGAUUUGGCAGGUUAUCUUAAAGACUUAAACAUCAUUUUUCUUGUGAUGAAACUAAUUUCGUUCACAGAAUCACAGUAAUAAUAGCCAUGAGGAGACACAACACUAAGCAGGCAUGAAUAAACAUUGAACAUAAAAAAAAACCAAUACUAAAUACGGAUGAUUAUACACUAUCAAUAAUUAAAUAGAAAUUCCUAACAAAUUAGUAAAGCAAUUUGAUAAUCAGUAAUUUCAACAAUUUUUUUUUUCUAACAAUAUUGAAUCAAAGAAGGUCAGUAAUCAGUAUCCAAAUUAACUUGAAUAAUCUAAAAAACACAUGAAUAAAUUCUGACAUAUAUGAAACAACAAGCAGAAUGCCUUCAACAGAAUCAGCACAACAACUGUAUCCUUAUUCUUUGACCUCUACAUUGAAAAAAAAAACAAAUACAAUAAAUUAAAUAGAUGAUAAACAGAUAAAUCUAGGCAAAAUAUGAGCAGCCAUUAGUUAAUUAAUUAAAACGGAAAAAACAAAAUUAAAACUCACUGCUAUAGAACUUAUUCGGUUUCGGAGUAAUGGAGAUUGUGGAGUACCAUGUGAUAUUGUGUAGAUGAAGAGGAACGUCAAUCUAUUUAUGAGAGGCUUGACUGGUUUCAAAUGAUGGAAACACAAACUAUUUUGGAUCUGUGUAACCGUGUUUCUAUUUUCUAAGUCUAAAGAGACUAAAAAGGGAGAGGCGAGAGGGUGCGGGUGCUCUGGUUAGGGUUAGUGGCCAGGGAGAGGGGAGACGGUGAGGGCGAGGGAGAGUGUUACUAUGUUAGGGAAUUAGGGUUAGCGGAGAGAGGCGAGAGUGGCAUCGUUUUCUAUUUAUAUCGUCAACACAAAACACUGGUUAGAGACCUUUUUUUGAACCGGUUCGGUUCGGUCCGGGUUAACCGAUUCCUGCAUUACAAAACCGAACCGAAUCGGGAUUUUUUCUAACUAUUCUAAUCGGUUUAAUCAGUUUUUUUUCUCGGUUCGGUUUUUUUUUGCUCGGUUUAUUCGAUUUUCUGUUUUUUUUGCACACCUCUAGUGUCAGGUAAUCUAAAAGGAUGUUCGGCGCAGUUUUUGUUUUUAAAUGUUUUUAAAAAAACAAUUUAUUCAAAAAAAUAUUAAAUUAAUAUUUUUUAAUGUAUUAAUAAAAAAAUAAAAAUAAAAAUAUUUUAAUAAAUUUUCAAAAUAAAAUUAUUUUAAAAAAUACAUUACAUACCCAUCUCAAUUUGAUGUAAAAUUAGGAGCAAGCGAUUUUUUUAUUUUUUUUUUCAAUGUAAAAUUAGGAGCAUGCGAUCCUUCCUCAUAACAAUUAACAGUGGUAAUGUUUGUGGUCCCUACAUCUGGCGGCUAUUAGCACGAUACUAACCAAGUACUCGAAUUCGCUGCUGGGAGGAUUCCAUUCCAAUAACAUGCAAACAUUAUGAAUGCAUUUUCUAGAAUAAUUAAAAAAACAAAUUAGAAAUUAAGAAGUUAAUAUAUGCGACGAAUCACUUUUUUAUCGGUAUAUUUUUAUUAAAAAAUUUCGGAUAAAAAAUAAUUACAAAUAUAAUUUUUUAGGAAAACAAAGCUUGGCAUAAAUAAAUUCAGGAAAAAAGUUAUCAAUGUGAAAAUAAAAUUAAGAAGAAAAGUUAUAAUUAUAAUUGUUAAUAUAAAUUCAUUUUUUUUCUAUUAAUGCAUUUUUAAAAAAAUAUUUUUUUUUUGUUAUAUAUAUAUUGUUUAUUGCAUACAAACUGCAAGCAAUUAAAUUCAAUAUUUAAAAAAUAUUAAUGAUUUAAAAAAAUAUAUUAAAAAAAAUCUUUUUAAUAUUGCAUGGAAAGUGAAAGCAAUUAAAUUCAAUAUUUAAAAAAAAAUAUUUUAAUCAAAAUCUCUUUCCAUUAAAAGAUUUAAUGAUUUAAAAAAAAGACUUCUUUUUUACAAAUUUUUUUUAUAAGAAGUAAUGUUUUUUAAAUAAGAACUUAUUAUAAUCUUAAUAAUAAGUGUUAAUAAAAAAUAAUAAAUUUAUAAUUUUGACAUGAAUGUAUUAAAAAAUAAUAAUAAUAAUAAUAAUAAUAACAAACUUGAAAACAUAUAUAAAACAAAUAGAUAUUUCAUUUAUAUUUAGAAAAUCAUGCACAUUAAAUUUAUAUAUAAUUAUUCUGAGAUAAAUUAUUAAUAUUAUAAUAUAAUAUACUAAUAUUAUUUGAAAAUAAUGAUAUAAUUGGAUUAUUAUUUAAACAUCAUUUAAAUAAAUUUAUUUUAAAAUAAUCUAAUUAUAAAAUGCUAAAAGAGAUAAAAAAAAUACAAGGCUAAGCAAGCACGGGCUAGAAGAAUAAGCCUACAUGUUCGGCCUACAUGAAAACCUAUAGGUUCUGGGGUCUAGAAACUCAAGUUCGCAUGUCUGAUUUUUCUAAAAAAAAACACGAUGUUCACUUUUAUUUUUAAAAAAUUAGACAAAAAAUAUGUUUUUUGACAGUCAAAUUACACAUUAUUUGUCUACUAUUUUUUCUAGUCAUAAAAAAUGUCUUCGUGAUUGAAAAAUUAGGAUUCAAAAACUUGAACCCCAAAAACCUAGAAUCCAACCAUUUUCCAUCCAAAAAUAUAAAGAAAAAAAAACAUUUAAUGAACCUCCAUUACCUCGAUUUUAAUAAUAAAAUAUAUUUUAAUUAGUUUAAAAAUUCUAAAUUAAAUCAAAUUAAAAAAAAAAAACUCAUGCACUGAAAAUGGCCACGCUUCUUAGGGUUUGGACUAGGAUUUGAGACUCAUGGUUUCUUGUUGGUCCACUUUGAGUAUGAGUUCUCAUAUUUUGUAGCUUCCCUUCCCUUGAACAUUCAUUCUUGGUAAAACAUGUCAUGAAUUUAUAUAAUAAAAACAAUUUUUAUUUUUUAUUUUAUUUUUUAUCUGUCACGUAACUAAGUUUCAUCCUCUUUCUCGUCUCGUCCGUUCACCAAACGCCUCCAUGGUUAUUUCCAUGAUCAAUAAUCCAUUGUCUUUUAAACAACCAUUAAUUUUAUUUGUGGUGGGCAGUUACUGCUAAACAUUCAGUGAACUUGAAAUGUGUUUUCAAGUUUAAGUUUAUUUAGGCCGUCUCUGGACCACUGGUCCACCUUCCUAAAUAUAGACCAAAUUAACAUGAUGUGAAGAACAGAUCCCAUUGUGAACAUGAUAAUCAAAUCCACUUUGAAGGUCCCCCUCAAAGUUUUGUGAUUUUCGAUAAGAUUCCCAGUAGAUGCACAGAAACCCAGAAACCCACAUACAUUUCAUCAAGAAAUACCUUAGAAAGGUCUAGAGGAACAUUAAUCAGUGGCCUCACUGUGUGUGUGUGUGAAGGAGCCAUGGUUACGCUCAACUCUUGGAAAGACCAAUUAGUCUUGCUUCGAUCGUUCUUUGCAUAAGACCAAUAUCCGGCUUCCUUGGCAACCAAAGAAGAGAGUGCGCGUUCAUGACAUGUUUAUCAUUAAUAUCAUUGAAUUCUUGAACGUCGAAUUCAAUGCCUAAAACAUGGUUGUUGGGGGUAACCAUCAUUGGUGCUGUUCAAGAAACCAAGAUGCCGUUGUCAAGAGGCACCUUCAAUACCUAGAGAAGGCACGAGAAUGAAUGCAAAACCAUGACCAGGGGGGGAAUUGUUGUAAGGGGUGAUGGAGAAGGUGAAAGAGGACGAGAAUGACAGGAGCUUUGAGGAGUUCGGGUAUCUUAUGGGAAUCCUUGUAGAGGCCUCUACCACCAGAAAAUGUGAUGUCUCCGGUGAGGGAAAGCGUGCCAGAUUGUAGCUCUGCAGUGCCAUAAAGUAACAAGCUCGAAGAGCUGAAACUGUAACUCGACUGCUAUUGUAAAUUGGAGAAAGGAGUUAUUUAAGAAGAAUAGUAGCACAUGGUGGAGCCCGAAGCUUCAAGAACUGGGUUCGUUACUGUCAAGUGCCAUCCAUCACCGGUCUUGUAAUUGCAACUUAGUGCAUGCACCUCCUUGUUUUGGAAGGAUAAUAACGCACUCAGCAGAUACUCUACAUCUUGGGUAUGGUGGAUGCAACAUUUGUCUUUCCACACCGUGGAAUAAUUUCACAUCAUCCAGAUACUCUACAUCUUAUGGCUAAUACAAAUGCUCUCCAAGAAUGGUCAAUAAUUUUGAGAUUGCAGUGAUAGUGGAAAGUAAAUACAUGUGAUAAAUUGCAGAGGGGAGAUUUAUCAGUGAGCUAUAAUCUUGUAGCUAAAAUGGCCACUAGCUAUCUUUCUAAGAACAUAUACAAAAACCCCAACCAACGGUUUUUAACUCAUAUUUCACAUAAGGAAACCACCAAUCAAAUUACUCUUAAGAGUCCCAGCAAUACUUCUCAUGUGGGGCUUACCUCAUCGACCUGAAACAAAUAAUGAAUUGGCUGAUAUUUGGUAGCUUUCAGCCUGGACUUUUCUAACCCUUGCCUUGUCAAAGCGUGCUCGUCUAACAGCUUCUUGGAUCUGGCGAUCAUGAUCCUUCAGCAUCUGAUCCAUGUUCCCCGAUGGAACUAUCAAUGGACCAGAAUAGUGGAUUUUGUGAGCCUUUGACCCAUAGCCAAGCUGGAUCCAAAUUAACAAGAACCAUGAAUCAGGAAACACACAAAAAAAAGGCUCCUCAGAAUUCAGGAAACAUGAAAUUGUAAAUCAAUCAACUUAGAAAAGACGGUUUAUAAACAACUUGCAUGAUAUGAUGCAGACCAGGACAAAGCAGCCAAGUGGUUAAAAAAUUCACUGAAAGGUUAAGCAAAAAAGCAAAAAAAAAUAAACAAACAACGAAAUAAAAGAAAACUGAAUUGUGAAGUGACUUACAAGGACAGGAUCUUUACUGUUAUUUCUCCCAUCUUCCUUUUGGUGGGAACCUGCAACACCCUGUGACAGACGCUGUGGAUCCUGUUGGGCAAAGGAUUCUGAGGUUUCCUUGAAGGAUCCUGGAAACCGUGCCAUUAGUUUUGGAACUUCCGGUUGUGAUAGGCCAGACCUUUCUCUGUGAUCUUCAGAUAAUAAACUCCUCCGCGCCGCCUCUAAGCUUGAAAUUGUUGACAGGUCAGCCCCCGUGUAAAUCUUAGGAGCAUCAUCGGGGUUUCUGCCAGCCUUUGCCCAUCCAGAACGGUGAGACAGUGGCCCAGAAUGUGAGGCUCUCUUAUGCUGAUGACCCUGAGGAUCCAUGUUUGAUUCUGCAGCUUGUGAUGGUCUAGGGGGAUCAAUUGGAAAGCCAGAAGCAACUUCCUCAGGAUGGGGAUUAAACUUCUCACUCCGGCUCUUGGAAUUUGGACGACCAUGUCUUUUCUGUAAUUAGAGCGCAAUCCAUUGAUAUAAAUUUCAUUAGUAAAAUCAAAUUUAAUCAAAUGGAGUGCCAAAAAAUAAAGGGAGUCAACAGUAAAAGAGAUAAUUCAUGAAAAUAGAACAGCAAGAAACAAUCAAUUGUUUAGGUAAUAAUGCUUAAAAGAGGGCUGGAGCAGCUCAAAAGGACAGUAGUCAGAUGUAGUUUGAUAAAAAAAAAAAGUAUGACUUGCUGCUUUCAAGGCAUAAGGAAGAUGGAGAGUGCGAGAGAGAGGACAAAAGAAAGAAACUAGAUAAGAUUUCUUGUGUCUCACAAAGUGCCUUUUGUACAAAGCUGUUUUCUGUAGUGGAGAAUUGCAAUUUCCAUGUGAUCAGAAUGGCAAGAUGGCACAUUACUUUAUACUUCAUUGUUCUGAGAAGAGUGCAAUAAGAAGUGUUCUAAGACUUCGUGUUAUGACUGGCUUGUUUACUAGUUUCAUCUAUAACAGAGCUAGCUUUAAAAAUAACUUCCUUUCUCUUCUGACCAAUCUUUCAACUCAGCAAUUCUCUGAACCUCACCACAUGGCCCAGCAAGCCUACAUACCCAUCUCCUAAUCACAAUACUUCCCCAACCGCACACACACACAUGCAAAAAAGUGUCCUGAGAGAGCUAAGGUUAUCUUAAAGAAAUCACCUGCAUUGAUAAAACUAGCUCAGCAUUGGCAUCAGGUGCUGGAACAGCUCGAGAUUCUCUUUGCCCUCUUCUUUCCAUGUCAGGUUUCUGGCCCUUGCUUCCUGCUGCUCCUUGUCUGUUUGUGUGAACAAAAAAUGGGAUUGUUAGCAAACUACACUACAUUUACAAGUCAAGGAUUCCAUCAGUGAUAGAAGCACGAAGGAUAGUUUAGUGGAUCAGUAAGAAACACACAAUAAGCAAUAUGAGCAAGGGCACUAAGGCAACUGUCACAACCAAAAUACAAAAUUAUGUAAACAGACACUGCAUUCAUCUGAUUCAAAUUGAUUCCUACUUCAACUAUUUUUUCUCUUUUCUCAACUAGUGCACGCAACUUCUAUAUUUUAACAAUGCCAUUAACUGCGGCCAACAUGCCAAAAACGAAAUCUUUUAAAGCUUUUUUUCCGGGCCUUUGCCAGAAGCCUUCCAACAAAAGAUUAAAUGAACAAUAAAUUGGAGAAAAACUUUUUUUCUGUUCUUUUACAAUGUUUACCUUCUAGCUUCUUCAUCUCGCAUUUUUGCAUCAAACUCUUUGCUAGGAGGAUAAUCAGGCAAACUUGAAGGAUCACAAGGAAGCGGCUUGGUCGUAAAGAACUUUAAACAAAACUAAACAAGUCAAAUACAAAUUAACAGAAAGCAAGAGAGAGAAUUGUAAAAUAGAACUAUAAAUACUAGAGCCAACCUCAGCCAGCCAUGAAGAUUAUACUCAUCUUAUGAUUUAUUUAUUUGUCUAAAAAGAAAAGGUUAAAUGAACACUUGCUACCAACUGCUUUGGACCAAUAUGUUACAUUAAAUGGAUGGUAUUUCUCCAAAAUUAUGUUAAGAUUACAAAAAAAAUAGCUGUGCUGCAUAAGAAGCUAUAAUAUCAAAUAAGGAACUCAAAAAUAAAAAUAUACGAUCAGUUACCAGAGCUACAUCAAAAAGGUUGACAAAUUGCAUGGUGAAAAGAAAACACAAAAAGAACAUACACACUCUUGUACAAGAUGCAGUUUUUUUUUCAAAGAACAUGUUACAUAGAAGGAAGCAUAGGGAAAUGAAGGACGGUUCUCUUUUAAUUGAUCACAGAAAAAAGAAGACAUACACAAAAAGAAGAAAUAACAUAUAUAAGAAAACAUACACAGAAAGAAAACAUCACAGAAAAAAUAAAUAUAUAAGAUCAGUUAACUGAGCUACGUCAAAAAGGUUGACAAAUAGCAAGGUGAAAAGAAAACACAAAAAGAACAUGCACACUCUUGUAUAAGAUGCAAUUUUUUUUUUCAAAGAGCAUGUUACAUAGAAGGAAGCAUAGGGAAAUGAAGGACAGUUCUCUUUUAAUUGAUCACAGAAAAAAGAAAACACUCAUCAACCACCAACUAAAAUUCAAAACUGUUCAUGGUUGUCGAAAAUUCACAAACUAAAUGUGAUACACCAAAAUAUACAAAGUGCAUAAAAGAGUGAAAUUGUAGGAGUCUUCGAGUGAGAUCAAGGGACAGAAAAUAAAUCCUAAAAGCAACACAGCAUUUGGCGACAGAUUAUUGAUGAAAACUCAACCCCGUAUAGUUGCAGGCUAGCAGUGACAAAAUGUGAUUAACAGAAACACAAUCACCAUUGAGAAAACUGGGCUUGGGUGCUUUUGUGAAGAAACAAAGUGGAAUGAAUCAAAGGAGCAGCCACAAAAGUUUGGUAAAGUUGAUUAGUUGUGGAAAAAUACAAUGAAGCAUAAUAGAGAGAUCUGAAACCUAAUAUAUGCAACGAGAUGGCUAAAGACCUGUCACAAUCUAAACCCCUUAUGAUACAACUUCAGAGUGGUGUGAAUUGCCUGCUAUUGUGUCUUUGCUGAUGGCACCAGGUGAACUUGAAUGUUUAACAGGAUUUACCUCCGUCCAAUUACAUAAACACAAACUCUUCCAGUGACUUUUAGAUUGCAACAACAUGGUAUCACAUGAGUUGGAAGGAAAACAGACUUCAGUCUCAAAAUGUAUUUCAGUGACAAUAAUAACAAAAAUCCUAGACAAAAUUAUUAGAAAGAUCGAAUUAAAAAUGAAAGAAAUGUUAAUGAGUGAUUUACUUAUUAGGUAAAAAGAAUUGAAAUAUAUGCACUAUCAUGUGUAGCAAUAUAGAUCUUCUAAUUGAAGCCAAUAUGUAUCUCUGAAUCAAAAAAUACCAAGAAGACCAUAAACCACUUUCCAAUGUAACACCAAAUCCCCCCACCCCCAAAGGGACAAAAAACACUCACAAAAAGGGAAGGGGAAUUUGAGAUACAUAGUUCAUGGAUACCUCAUACCUCACUCCUCAGAGCAGAAGCUGCAGAUCCACGAUCUACAGGAUCAAUGGCGAGCAGGGUCUCCAUAAGAGCUAAAGCUGGUGCUGGGAAUUCCUUAAAUGUUUCUGCAACACAGCGUCUAUAAGGCUGCUGAGGCUUAAAGAUAGUCGCAUGAGGCAACUUUGAUUUUCUCCAAUAAUCUUCAGAAGGUGAGCCACACAGCUUGAAAAUUUUAUGCAGCUGCUCCACCUACAAGGCAGAGGCAUGCAAACUAAUCAUCAACAUUUUAAGUAGCUGCACUAAUGUUUUUUAUGACACUUACAUAGAUUAUAAGAAAGCAGAAAAGGGAUACGGCAUCUUGUGAUAAUUAUUCUCUCUUUCAAUCUUUUCUUUUUGAUAAAUCCUUUUUCUUUUUCAUAUUAUAAGAAUUUUGCAAAAGGAUAAAGAAAUUCAGACAUAUCAGACUCUGUUAGGUCUUUGCUUGAGGUCUCUUUUUAAAUAAACUUUUACAAUAGCUUGCAACACUGCUAAAACAUAUUCUUACUCGAGUUCCCUUAUUUUUACCUUUGACCAAAUUUAUAGAAAAAAUAAGGCACCCUCCAAGGUUAAAGUAAACAUCAAGACACGGUUACCUAUGAUCAACACCCAUGAUUUGUCAAAGGUGAGAACUCAUAAGGUAUUAUCACCUAGUGUUUGUGUUAAGUGUUAUAGUAGUAGAAAGUGCAUGACUAUGUUUCUUGCAUUGCCCAACAGCUUGGAAUGUGGAGUUGAGUUUCUAAAUGCUGAAAAGAAUUAGGCACUUCUGCGUAGGGUGGAGAAGAUGUUAAUGAUCCAUUUAGUGGGUUUUUUGCUGACAGGAUGUAAUUCGACAAUCUUCAAAGCAAUAACUAUCUAGAAGUUAGCACGGGAUAAAAUUUGUAUCUGGCAAUAAUUAGUUCAACAUUGUACUUGGAAUGAUGGCCCAUGAAAAAUAAUCUGCAUUGCAGUAUAUUAUAACAUGAAAUAGCAAGCAUCUAAGAGAAACACUCUGUUUGGUGGAGAACCCUAAAAGACAUUUUUUUUUCUCGAGAAUAGAAAAGGAGAGCACCUCAGUUCUCCCUGGCAUAAUAGGCUUGCCAGCAUACAAUUCCGCAAGUAUGCAACCUGUACUCCAUAAAUCAACAGCUAUCCCAUAGUAGGUAGCUCCAAGUAGAAGCUCUGGAGGACGGUACCAAAGAGUCACUACUCGGCUUGUCAGUGGCUGAACCUGGGCAGGAUCAUAAAAACUUGCUAGUCCAAAGUCUGCAAUUUUCAAGAUACCAUUGUUGUCAAUUAAUAGGUUGGAACCCUUUAUAUCACGGUGUAGAACACCACGGCUGUGACAGUGAUCAAGUCCUCGUAAAAGUUGUUGCAUGUAACAUUUCACCUGCCAGCAUAUACAUAUUAGACCACAACAUCCAAAGCAUACAAGCAUGAGUCAAAUAUCAAACCUGUUCUACCUUUUAAGAUUGACAAUUUACACAUGGAUGAUCUUGGAGGAUAAGGAGCAUGUAAAACUAGCAGAUGUUAACAAUAAAAUACGUAUGAAUUUCAUAGUUAGCAGCUGAUAGCCUGUCACGGCAAAAUGCAAACACCCAUUGAAUUAGAAUCUAUUAGAACCAAACUGCCAAAAUUACCUGGGCUUCUGUAAAAUUCAGACCAGGGUGUGAGGCAAGCCCAGCCAAAUCAUGCUCCAUGUACUCAAACACAAGGUACAAGCUGCAUGACAUCCUUGAUGUAACUAGGCCUUCUAACUUUAUUACAUUAGGAUGGUCAAGCCUGCGCAAGAUGUGAAUUUCCCUGGCCAUGAAGCGAACACUCUCAGGUUCCAGGUUAUCAAACCUUACUUUCUUCAAAGCAACAAUCUUCUUCUGAUCAAGGUCACGAGCCCUAUAAACAUUACUGUAGGUUCCCUGGCCAAUCUGCAUUAUAAUAGAAAUCAUCAGAUGAGGGAACCAAAUCCCAAAAGCAGGUCAUUUCAGUUCAAAGAGGACAGCAGCAGAUAAAAAUAACAGGGCAAACCAUUCUACAAGAACUUGUGGGACCUGAAUAGAAUGAUCUGCUGUUGUCAACUACUCAAAAAUUAUACACAAAAAAGUGCAAAUAGAAGUCCAUGAUAUCCAAACAAGAAAUGCUCAACAGCAAACCUGGCCCCUUGGCCCUAGCUUAAAGAGUAAGAAAAUAGUAAAAUACAAUGGUCAGGGACACAGGAUACAGAUUUGCACAUUCAGACCAGCCUAUUCAUGCAAAUCGCUUCAUCCUUCAAGACUAGAAGUUUGAAAAAAUUCAGCCAAAUUAACCAAAACGGAAUACCAAAAGCAGGGAGCAGGAAAUUCCAGCUACUGAAGUUGUUAACAAGCAUCCAUUUCUUGAAUUAUGCGGUAAAAUUAACAAUACAUGUUCAACUAAAAGUUAUAAGCUAUCUGUCCAUAUAAUAGCAGCUCCCUCACACAUCUUUAAAUGCUAUUGUAAAAUUUAAGUUUUUUUCUUUAGGUGAGAGGGGCAAGACAUGAACUCGAGAUCCUGCCGCCUCUCCCCUGAUUCUUGUGGAUUAGAGCUUUUGGGCUAAACUAUCUCAACAAAAUUGAAAAAGACCUGUUACAAACAAUGUUGAUACAUAGCACUCAUCUUCAUGGACCCAACUACAAUUCAGAUAUCACAUACACACAAUGCAAGUUGAAGAUUAUACCACACUUUUAAUAUUCUGCACUUUGUUUACUGUUCUUCCCCCACCAUAUUUGUUUCAAAGUUCCCUCCUUCCUCAGCACACUAACGCUAAUUGACUGGCAGCUUAUCAAAAUUGGAUUCAUUUUAGACCCAUUGUAUCUAUUUUGAUGGAUAAUUAUCUAAAUGUUAUGGGUAUUCCACUAACUAUAAUAAAAAGGGCACAUUAUCAAAGAAUGGUGCUUCUCGAAUAUUCCCCAAUACUAAAUAGCUCUUAAAUUCUCUUAAUAGCCUCUUACAUUUUCUCAAAGCUCUUGGACUCGAACAUGGAUACUUCCUAUUUUCUGAUAUGGUAAUCUCUCUAACCAAAUAAAAAGGUCUAACUACAAGAAAAUCAUUCAAACCUUUAAAGCAUCACUAAUUCCUACACUGUGAUUGCAGAAACAUGGAUCUUUCUCUGGUGUAAUCAGUAUAAGCCAUUCAAAUUCAAACUCUUUCAUAUCCAUACUGUCUCAAGCCUCUCAAAACUCUAUGCUUCUCAAGCCUCCAGGCUCUGACAAGUAAACUGAACUUCUAGCUAACAUUUAUUUAGAAGUUAUCAGGUUCAAAGAAUCCGUCAUUACUCUUAGCAUGUAAAAAUGAGUUAUGCAGAGCUCUUAUGCAUGUUAUAAAUGAGCCUUCCUAAAUGUAUUUUUCACCACCUUGCUUAUUUAUAAAUAUAAAUAUAACAAGCAUACAUACAACACAAAUCUCAAGGAAAAGUCACUUAAUAGCACCAAAAAAAAGUUCCAUAAUUUUGCUAACUGAAUUCAAGCUAAAGCUAUAAAAUUUGACAACACACCAUAUCCAAUGCGUGCACAAAUGAAAAUGCUAAAAAAUGUAACAGUCCAAAAAGGUUCUAAUUCUAAUUAGCAAUCGUCACUUUGUUCAUUGCAUUAUGAACCAAUCGAGGUGUCAUAAGCAUGUUCUUCAACCAUUAAGUUUGAAUUGCUAAAUUUUGAAAAUCAUAAACAGAAUCUUGCUUGCAAUGGAGCAGAGCUUACAAUAACACAUGUCAACGUUGAGCUUAGAGAUUUUUUAUGAAGUUACUUUAAAAGUGGAAAAAACGAUCAUCAGUAAUUGCAGGACGUGUUCUAAACAAAAGCACAUGUCAACGUUGAGCUUAGAGAUUUUUUAUAAAGUUACUUUACAAAAUGGAAAAAGGGAUCAUCAGUAAUUGCAGGACGGGUUCUAAUGAUUAAAAAUGAGAUAUAACAACAAAAACAAAACGAAAAAAAGGGCAUACCUUGUCCAGCUUCUCAAAUGAAUCCGCACGCCGUGGCAACCAACCUUUGAUUGCCUCUCCAGCCACAGCAGCUAGCCAGGAAGGCCACCCAGCUGCAACCUGCUCCCCUUCAGUGGCUUUCGGUAUGCUGCCCAUACCUGGGUGGUGAAGAACUGCAUACUCUGACUUGUCCCUCUUCCUAUCAACAUGCUCAACCCCAUGCACUCUAAGAGACCCAUUCACUUGCUUGUCAAUCAACAUUGUCCUACCAUCAUUACUAUCAUAUUGAUCUUUCGCUCUAUAUGCUUCCUCUCUCCUUGAAGAGGUAGCCCUUGAUACCCUCAAGUCAGACGAGGGCUUACUUGAAAGUCUCUCUCUUGGGCUCUCCUUGCUAUCCUCAAUUGCAGAGGGUUUACAACACAUGCAACCCAUUAUGUACCUAAACCACCUCCAAAAACACCCUUCUCCUUUAGAAUCAAUAAUUACCCUUCAAAAAUCUCAUCUUUACACUUCUAUCCUCUUCUUCCAUUCCCAUUUUCACACAACCAAACUAUACUUCAUCGAAAAUAAGCAAUUAAACUAUGUAUCUCAAAAUCAAUCACCGGAAGAGCAUAAGCAAUUCCCACUCAAGAUUGAAACUUUAAAAUAACCGAACACUAGAACCACACAAUUUUGCACAAUAACUUAACUGUGACUCAAUGACUGCUCUUUUACUGUGAAACUUCCAUUUCCUUAUCAAACCCACCGACUCCUAAUCCAAAAAAGGAAACCAAUUUCCUCAACCUACAACGCUAAAAAUGAAAAAACUAACAACAACCACCACCUUUACUCCAACAACAAAUUAAGAAUCACAACCUGAAAACUAAAUACCUUUAAAAUGUCAUGCCUAAUCUUUUCAGCUAUCGAAUCAGGUGAUUGAAAACCCUCCACCAAACUCACAAUUCCACUACAAAACAAACCCUAAAAACCCAAUAAAAAAAUAUAGAACCCAAAUUACCAAAACAAACAAACAAAAUCUAAAGAAAGUAAAGAACUGGAAACACUUCAAUAUAAAGCAUGCACCUUGAAAAUGGAAACCAAAAUGGUAAUAAACAAUAUUGUGAAAUGAGAAUUGAAGGACCUCCUAGAGAUGGAGAGAUCUAGGGAAAGAGAGAGAGAGAGUGGAGUAGUGUAGAGAAGAUGACAAGAAAAUGAAAAAUGAGAAUAAAUAUGUAAUACAAUAAAUAAAUAAAUAAAUGUGAAAGUUAUUACUAUAUAUUAAUAUUAUUAAAUUAAUUAAUUAAUGAGAUGGCGCGUAAGAACAGACAGGCUUUUAGAGAAGACUGAGAACUGAAGAGUGAGUGAAGACCCCAAUGCGUAAAGACAUUCUUGGUUUGUGUCUUCUUCUAUCCCCACGCGCUCUGUUUAUAUUGACACGUGUAUAUUUUUUCUUUGCCUUCGUUUUUUUUUAAACAAAACAUUAUUUAUCAUUUGAUGAAUAAUCUCUCUUUAGAUUUUUUACUGCCAGUUUAUACCUGACUGAAUAAAGUAAAAAAAAAAACUAAAUAGAAUAAUUUAACAAAAAAAUAUUAAAACCUAUUUCAUUAAUUUAUUUAACUUGUAGUUUAACCGAAUAAAAACUGAAUGUUACUGUAUUAUUUUCAAUAAAAAAAAACUUGUGUAUAUCAUAAAAUUUUCUCAACUUUAUAUAAUAUUAUGAUAAUACAUAAUUAUAUAAUAUAUGUGUCAAAUAUUAAUGUUGUUUUAUGAAUUAAACCCUAGUCAAUAUUCAUAAUAAAAACAUAUCUUAUAAUGGUAUUGUAGCUUCACAGGAUCCGUUUUCAUCUAUGGUAAAAUUUCUGUGUUUCAUUUUUUACCAUGCUUUAUUAAAAGAAAAACUAAAAAACGUGAGAGUUUCAAUGUAACUCUAUAUAUAAAUUAUUGUAAAUUAUUAUAGUAAAAUUAUUCUUUUACCUUUAAAUAGAAAAAACUUAAGUCCUGAAGUUGGGGUUUUUUCCACUUACCUAUUAGUUAUUGAAAAUUUUUUUGGGGAUAUAUGUGUUUUUUCUAAUUUUUUAUACAGUAAAAUACUUUUUUUAUUAAGAGUCAACAAUAUUUAUAAAUAUUGACCAAGGGCUUUCUUGAUUUUUCUCAAAUUUUUUAACAGCAAAAAUAUUUUUUUGCCCCCGAUAUCAAAAAUUUAUGGAGUUGUUGGGCAAAGGUGUUUAUGGUUUUUUCAUGAUCUAUAUACAGAAAGCAUAUUUUUAACCUUAUAAAAGACCAAAAAAAAAUAAGUUUUUCCUUUAAGGGUGUUUUAAUAUUUUCAUAUGAGUAUUCUGUGUAAUUAACAUGUUCAUGAGGGUGUUUUGGUAUUUUUCACAUUUUCUUUUCAAUUUUUUAUUCUAAGAUCUGUUGAAUGCGUGUUCCAAACAUGCUGAAGAGUGGAUGGCGUUCGUGUCAUUCAGGUGAUGAUGAUGGUGAUAAUUGUGGUAGUGAUAUUUAUAAUGAUGAUGAUGUCAUCGUCGUCGUCAUCAUAAUAAUAAUAACAAUUUCAUACUCACAUUUUUUCAUACUCACAUUUUAUUCAAAAAAUAAUAAUAAUAAUUUAUUAUGAUAGUUGUAGUGAUUAUGAUAUCAAUAACUAUGGUGAUGAUGGUAAUAAUAUUAAGAAUUAUUAUAAUAAUGAUAUUGAUGGUGGUGAUAUUAUAAUUAUAAUAGUAAUAAUAAUAAUGAUAAGAAUAAAAAUAAUAGUAAUAUUAAUUGUGAUGGUGGUGAUAAUAAUUAUAAAAAUAGUAUUAACAAUAAUAAUAAUAAUAAUAAUAAUAAUAAUAAUAAUAAUAACAACAACGAUAAUAAUAACAAUAAUAAUGGUAACAAUAAUAAUGAUAGUAAUCACGAUAAUAAUACUAAUAAUAACGAUAAUGAUAUUACUUAUUGAUAAUAGUAGUGAUGAUGACAGCUGUAAUGUUAGUGAUAGAAGUAUUGAUGAUGAUAAUAACGAUAGAAUACUAAUGGUGAUAAUUCAUCAUUCGAUGUUAGAUUUGUUAGGAAUUGAGUUUCACCACUUUUCCAUGUAUGGAAUUUCCGGUCUAAUAUUCUGGGUUACUAGUUUGAAAAGUGUAAUUGGAAACUCGUUUUAGGAAAAGAUCCAAGAUAAGAGAUUUCAAGAUUCAUCUUAUUGUCCGGGUUUAUAGCAUUGCAAAAAAAUCUUUGUGCUCUUGAUAAUUUUUUUCUACAUUUUUUAAAACAUGGUUUGGCUCGUGGUGGAGCGCAAAAAAAUGAACGAGUACACUUUCUAUGUAUUGUUGUUUAUCGUUGUUUAGAGAGCACUUUUUUUAUCUAUUGUUAUUGAAUUAUUUUUAAAUUAAAAUUAAAAUUAAAAAUAAUAUGGAUCAAACACCUUUAUUCAAACUUACUAAAUUUAUGUAACGAUCACUUUCUUUAUUUUAUCAAAAUUUCUAAAAACCAACAAAUCUUGAUAUUUAGAAAUUUUCCUAAACAAAUAUAUACCAAAUGUAUUUGUGAUUUGAGUAUUUUUUUUAAACAUAGAAAUUGACGAAGUCAUGAAAUCUUCAUAUUGGAUUAUGCUUUCCACGGGUUGUGAUUUUAGGCUAGAGAAGUGACCGAUUUCACCACUAAUCAAUAAGAUUUUCCUACAAAACAAUCUCAUGUUGGAACAAGAGGUCUUCUAAAAAUUAAUUUAAUAAAAAACAUGAGGGAAAUAAUAUACAUGAAAGUAAAGAAUGUAGGAGAGUGUAUUUGUGAAUGUUGGAUUGGGUGCAUUGUGUAAACUUGUUGAAUAGUUGUUCGUGAUUUCUAAAAUUGUUGUCUGGUUGCUUGUGUGUUUCUGGAAGUGUUGGGUGGUUGCUCAUGGUUAUUGGAAGUGUUGGCUGAUUUCUUGUGAUUACUAGAUCGAGACCCAAAUAAUUUUUCAAGGUCGAGCCAGCCAAAAUAAACUGAAAAGCAAUUUGUUUGGGUUGUGGCCUAAAGGGAUUGAAGGUAGUCAUUUUGGUUUGCUGGCCUAAACAUGUUAUUUAAUUAUUAUUAUUUUAAAUUUUAACAAAUUUAUCGUGCCAUCAUAUGUCCCCCAAGUCUUUAAAAAACAUGUUUGGAAGACUUUACCGAAAAAAAGUAGGGGAUAUAAAAUACUUAUUGUUUUUAUACUGGUGAUGUUACUUGCUUUUGUUAAUGUACAUACAUGAGAGUUCUCUUAAUUGUUUUUCAUCAUUUCUGUGAAGAGAAGAGAAUUUAGUCAAUUUUAUGUGUUCUUCCUAGAAUAGAGAACAUUAUUACUUAAAAGUGGAGAAUAUUUCAUGUGAAAACAACUUUAAAGUAUUAUAAUAUUGGAGAAGUGGAGAUUUCAUUAGAGAUCUCAAGUUGAGAUCUUUAUUGGAGACAUUAGAAACACAUUUAGAGACAUAGAAACUUCGCUUGGAGAUGUGGAGAUUUCAAUAAAGAUAUGAAGAUCUCAUCAUGAAGAUUUUUUAUUGAAGACAUGAAGAUAUGUUUUGGAGACACGAAGAUCUUACUUUGGAGAUUUUUAUUAAAGACAUGGAGAAAUAUUACUACUUUUAUUCAAAAGUUAAUGGAGAUAUAAUUUCUAAAAAUUAUUUGAUCUUGGACAGUCCAUCAUAUGAAUUUUUUUCAGUUUGUUCAGAUUCUUUUUUUUUUCUUCAUAAAUUAUUAGAGGUAUCCUUUAAAGAUCAAUUUUCCCUCUUCUUUUUCAAGGUAUGACAUUCCUCAAUGUCGUGAUCAUGGUCAUGGUAAAAGUGACAGGAUUUAUUAGGGUUCUUUGUAUUUGCGCUGCUUUUCUUAGGGCCAGGUAUCAUUUCCUUGAUUGGUAGCCAACACUUUAGUAUAUGUAGUGAUAAAAGGUGUGUUCAGGAGCUCGAAGAAUGUUAGGCGAUCAAGAAAUGAUCUCUCAGUGCUCUUUUUCGAUGCCCUGGUAGGAGAUCGAUAACAUUACAGAGAUUUUGCUCUCUCUAAAAACGAUGAUGUCCCUAUUUGGCAACAUUGGCUUCUUAAACGAUAAUAAGAAUAGACAUAAACAUUAAAUUGAUUGAAUAAAAUAAAGGAAAAAAAUAUUAUGCUAGGUUGCACAUAUUAGAAAUAUUAUCUAAAAAUAAAAAAACUUAUUUUAAAAAAUAAAAUUCAUCUAUACAAAAGAUAAAAAAAAAAUUAUAGAUAAAUAAGAAAAACCUCGUAAAAAAUUAAAUGCAUAACAAAAAAAAUCAUCAAUUAAAAGAGGCUCUUUAAACAAAAUAAAAGAAAGAAGAGGUAUUAAUCUAAAUAUAAAUAUUUAAAAAUGUAUAAAAAGAAGCAUUAAUUAAAAAAAAAAAAAGGUCAGGUGCAGUAGCUAACCUGUCUAGCCUUUUUGUUGGGGCUCGCGCGACUAGGCCCUUAUUUGUUUUCGCAUUUAGGGUGGUGUCGCCCCAAAUGUUUUUGAAAAAAUAAAUCAGACGACACGUCGUUUGUUUUUGCCCAGAUUCCAACCAUUGCAGUGACCAAAAAAUCAAGGCUUAGGGUUUUUUACCCAGAAACACAUUUUUCAACAUAUUUUUGACCAAAAACACCUAUAAAACACCUUAAAAACCGUAACAAACCUAUUUAUAGCCUAAAAAACCAAAAAACCAUCUCAAAAAUCAAAAUCAACCCGAGCUCAUAUAUGUUUUUUCAUGAAUUUUAAAGGUAAAAAAAUCUAGUAUGAACUCCCCUCAUCAAAUAGAAUUAUUUGACACAAAUAUCGACCGUUUUAGUGGUCUAAAUUGGUAUUAACGGCAUCUCUCUCUCUACCGCUAGAAUCCAGCGACCUCUCUCUCUCAUCUCUCAACCAGAGACUAAAAGUAACAAAAAUAAAUUUUUAUACCGAAAUUGAAUUGAAAAAAUAUUAAGACACCAAAAUUGUAUAAUUUGUUUUAUUUUUAAAGUGCGAUGACCAAAGUAUAUCUAGAUCUACGGUGUUUUAUUUGUGUAUAAAUAGUGUCGGCUCUACAGCUAAAAUCACAUGCCUUUUUAGAUUUUUACUUCAAUUAGUUUUCUUUCUCCAAUUUGAAGGAUAGUAGAUAGGCAUUUUAUUUGUGUAUGAAUCCAAAAAAUAAAUACUCUAGUUUUGUUAACGAAUCACAUCAUGUGCUAGGACACGGCAACAAUUGCAGGGAAAACUUGAUAAUAAAGGAUGGAUUGAUUUGCUGGAUUUUCUUUUCCUUUUGCCUUUUUAGCAUUCUUUCUAUAACUUGAUAAUAAAUAUCGUUAGGUGGGUGAAUUGGAUGGAAACUCUUGCCCCUCAUUUGAAGGCCCCACUCAAAAUAAUCAUGAUCCUAAUCUUAGUAAGUUGAAUAAUCAUGUGGCUGUUCAAUGAUUGAUUUUUUUUGGGUAAUGCUGAUUUUAAUAUCAUUUUCAUCUAUCAAUUUGAUUAGGUGGGUCCUUGUCGCUGACAUUUUUCUUUGGAUGAUUGGAGACUUUUUUGACCUUCAUCCAUGUAUGUAUGGGUUUUAACCAGCAGUGAGAAAAAUAGUUGACAUUUUUCUGCUUUUGACAUUAAAAAUAUAAAGUUAAAAGGUUUUGGAAUACACUAUUUUUAUAUAUCCACUAACAUUGUGGAUAAUAAUAGUAAUUUAUAGUAUUGGUUUUUUUUUUUAGCAUUUUGACCUUUUUUUCCUUUUAAGUAUUGGUUUUUUUUUUUAAAUUUAUUCCUCAUAUGAUAUGUUUAUAGAGAUUUAGAGUAAAUAAUUUAUUUUAAUUUGUUUUUUAUAUAGUUAUCACAAUACUAAAAAAAUAUCAUAGCAUCGAGUUGGUAUCGGAAAAAAAUUUCAGUAUUACAGUAUGAUCUAUUUUUAAAAAAGUUUAGUGAAACAAAAAAUAAUUUAGAAAAAAAAACUAAGUUAUUAAACUUUGUGGAGUCAAUGACCCUGUUUCCGAGUUUGGCGAGAUAAUCCUGAUUGCCUCGGUUCGCGGGUUUUGUUGGGUACUUUUUUUUUCUAAUUGAACUUGAUUAUAUGAUCAUAUAUAUUUUUUUAUCAUAUAAUUAAAAAAUAGUUUAAAAAAAACAUGUUACUAUAUUUUAGAAAGUCCAUGGGCCUAUUGACGAGUUUAACUUUUCUGUUUUUCUUUUUUAAAAAAAAUUAUUUUUUUUAUUUCAUCCUUUGAUGUUAGGUUGAUUGAGAAUUGAGUUUCAUAAUUUAUUUCGUUUUGCUUUUUAAGAGGUUAUUAUAUUCUUAAAAAAAAAGUCUUAGAAUUGGUUUGAUGCUUAAUUUUGCGAUCAUCUAUUUUUGUUAUCAUAUAGUUAAAUAAACAAUAAUUUAUAUAAAAAAACAAGUUAUUAAUCCCAAUGGAGUCCAUUAUCAGGUUUGCGAGUUUGAAAUGUUGACCCGGGUUACCCGAUUCACGAGUUUAGCCAUCAAGCCUGAUAUUUUUUUUUUUAGAUUUUGGUCCUUUAAUUUUUCUAAUUGUCUUUUUUUUUUAUUUCACUCUUCUUUAAUAUUGGAUUGUUUGGGAAAUGAAAUUCAUGGUUUAUUUUUUUCUACUUUUUAUAAGGUUAUCACGAUCUCAAAUAAAAUGUCUUUUUUAUGGUUACUGCUCAAUUUUUCAAGUAUCUAAUGUUAUCAUAAAAUUAAAUAAAAAUAAUUUAUAAAAACAACAAAUUUAAUAAACUCAUUGAACUUCAUGACCUAGGUUACAAGAUGACCGAGGUCGAUCUCAUCUGGUAUCAUCUCAAUAUUAAAAAAAAAUUAUUGUCUUAAAGUUUUUUUAAAAGAUAUGUCAUGUUUUUAUUGGUCAUCUAAGUUGUAUUUAGACCCAUUAAAUUGAAUGAUUCACUUUGGAUCAACUCUUACGCGAUUUAAUUCAAAACUCGAGUAAGGAAAAGAGUCGAGUUGGCAGGUUUCAAGAUCAAACCGCUUGAUUGGAUUUAAUGAUACUACAAAAAAAUAUCACCAUACUCUUAACAUUUUUUUAUGUUUAGAAAAAGAAUAGUCUGACUCACAGUGAAAUGCAAGCAAAUGUAUUAAAACAAGAAUGUGUGACAUAAGCUCGUAUAUUUACAUUGCUCAUAGUUAGAUUAUUGGGGAAUUACAAAAUUGUCAAGAAGAGUGAUAAAUUGAUAGUUGGAGGCAAGGUUGUCAAAAACGCAUUUUUGACACGACAUGAAAAAUACAAAAUAAACUCGGAUCGUAAAAACGGAUCGUAAAAUCGUAAGGAAUUUUUUCAAGAGAAGCCUAUUGUCCCAAAUUCAAAGAAGAUGAUACAAAUAAAACAAUGUUCUGGAAAGGAAUAAACAUUACCAGCAAUGCUUUCAUAAUCACAAAGACACCAUAACACCAUCCCACGCAAAUUCAAAGAAAAUCAAUACAAACAAAACAAUGUUCUGGAAGGAAACAGACAUUACCAGUAAUGCUUUCAUGGACAGGGACAUUGGUGACCAGUUCCUUCACACUCAAACGUUUGCACAACAACGUUGUAAAAUUCAUAAUGUUCAAUCACCAAAUAGUUAAAAAACCUGCAAAGAAAAAAACAUCGCAUCAAAAGUUUGAACCAUCAAUAACAAAAGACACGCUGAAAUGCAGAGAGAAAAGAGGACACGAAGCAAAGCAAAACCAAGGUUUUUAUUUUUUUUCUUCGAAUACAUAAACCUGUUCAAACUGUCCACAUAGCAAAACAACAACAUUGAGACCUGCCAACAUUACAGGUAACCUCCAUAUGCAAUCUGUGAUUGUUCCUGCACAAACACACUAAUCAGUUCUACCCCAUAGAUUGAUCCCUGAAGCUUUUUCUUCAGAAAUGAAUCCUUUGCUCUUUAAACUUUAAACUGCAUCCUUGAUAAUUUGCUCCAUGGGAAUAAAUUCUAAACCCAAGUCCAUCAGCUUCUUGGCUCCAUUCUUUGCCCUUAACAACCCAGGUUGGGUAUCCUUCAGCAACCUACACCAAUAGGCACAUUAAGGAUCAAGCAGUAAUGAUUCAUACCAUCAAACAACCAGAAAGAAGUUUUAAGAUCUCAAUGAAGCAGGGGUGGCAAUGGACAGAAGUUUGAUCCACAACACAACAACAAGCACAACUUUGUAUGAGAAUAAAGAGCAAGACUAGUUAAAUUUAAUGUUCCCAAAUUCAAAACCCACAAACCACACUUAUCAAGAAAAUCUAAAUUCACCUCAAAUCAGCCUAUAUACUGAUUUUGCGAAAGAAAUUAUCAUAAGAAAAAUUGGUCUCAUUUCACAAGUUCGAUUACCAAACUUUGCUUUUACUGUAAUGACACCUAACCUAGCAAUAAUAAUCUACUACAAUUUGCUCCAAUAAGAGUUCAAACAUUCUGACAGCUUAACCAAUUAUAUAGACCGACCUCCAGAUAUGAGAAUAUUCAAGAAAUUGGUAAAAGCUAAACAAACAGCUGAAAUAUUCUUCUGAUUUGGGGUUUCAAUCUAUAAUCAGUGUUGUCUUUAGGGUUUUUGCUUUCCAGCUAGCAAGCUAAAGCAAAGCUUAACAUAUAUGAGGACAAAGUGAUAGUAUGCUUGCACGGUUUCACCAUUAUCGUCCAGACUUCCAUAAACAAGUGCACUAACAAGAAAAAAAAAAGAACAAAAAUUGGUUGUUGUUUGAGUUUUGCCUAUGCAGAGACAAGACUCGGUGAGUUGUGGAGGCAGAGCAGUAGAGGUGAGUUGUGGAAAAAGAGGCGAGACUGCGAGAACCCUUGAGAUUUGAGAAAGGGGAAAGGGGAAAAGGGAAAGGGGAAAGGGGAGGGUGACGGUGUGUCGGGGAGGGGAGACAGAGUCAGUUUAUUUUUUUCACUCUCUAUCAAACUCGUUAACUCGGUCCGUUUUUACCGAGUUGACCGAGUUUGGUCGAGUUUGACCGAGUUUGACCAUUUUCGAGUUUUUAACUCGAUUUUACAGGUUAUAUGGGAGUUGACUCGUAAAAUCGUACGAUUUUACGAGUCAACUCGCGAUUUUGACAACAAUGGUUGAAGGGUUAGACUUCAGUUUUUAUCUGAAAAAUAACAUUAACUAAAUAAUUAACUCACAUUAAAUAACUGGUUGGGGAAAAAAUUAAACUUAAAAAAAUUUCAAGUUUGUAAAGAAUUUCUAGGCAGUGUCAUUAAAUUUAGCCUAAGUCAAUUUUAAAAUCUCCUGAUCAAACUCAUCUCUUAGUCCAGGUUUUAAAUUAAACCGUAUGAAAGUUGUCCCGGUAUGACUCAAUUGACCUAAUGAGUUUAAAGUGACCCAAAUAACCAGUAAAAAGUGUAAUUUAACUUUUUUUAAAAAUUUCAAGAUAACAUAAUUUUUUUAAAAAAUAUUGAUACGACAAUAUAUUGUAUUGACCUGAGUUUUGCGGCUUAACCCACCAAAACCAUUACUCGGGUUAUGGACUCCACUUUUAAUAAAAAAAAUUUAAACUACUUUUUAUCUAAUUAUAUGAUAACAAAAAUAGAUGUUUGUAAAAUCAACCACUAACUUGAUGUUGGGAAAAAUCAUGGUGUUUGUUUGAGACCAAAAUAAAUUAUGAAGGUCAAUUCAAAAUCAACCAAAAUUUAAAGGAAAAAAUUGAAAAAAAAUCUGUCAAUAAAUAUCCAAUAUUGAAUGAUGACAUUGGGAAAAAUCAAAGGAAAAAAACCAAAAAAUAGGCUAAACAGACUGGCCUAUAUGGUCCAAUACGCCUCUACCUUCUUUAUUUAUUUUUCUUUUUUAUCAUCCACCCUUUGUUUUUUGAAAACAUAUAUAGUAGGCAAUAUGUUGUAUGUUUUUAUAGAUUCUGACCACCACAUGUGGCUGGAAAGUCAAGCUUCUAACUUAUAGGUAAAAAAAAAAAACAAUUUCAAAUAGUUUUCAAUUGAAAACACCUAAGAAACACCCUAGGGAUCUCAAUAAAUCCAUUUUUUUUAAUCUUAAAUUAGCAUUUAAUCAGUUAUAAAUGAAAAAUCAUUUUAAUCCAUUUUUUAAAAUGUGAUCUACUUUUUUUCAACAAAAUAAAUAAAUAAAAAAGAUCUAAAGAGAACUCUCAUUGUCAAAUGGAACCGAUUAACAAAAAUUAGUCAUUCACUAACUCUUUUUUUUGUGUUUUUAGCGACUUUCCCUUUUCUCUCACAAUUACAUGGUCUAAAUAUGAACAAAAUAAAAUUUAGAACAAAACCUCUCAAUUCCCAAACCAAAUAGACCACAAAGAAAAUUAGACAAAAUCCUAAGGCACAAAGGUGCUAACAUGAUUUUUUUAACGGAAGAUCCUUUUUUAUUUUUUUAAUUGUGGUCCCUUGAUUUUUUUAUUUUUCUUAAAUAAUAAAAUUGGAUUCAUUUUCAUGAAAUUGAGUACCAACCUAAUAGCAAGACUUUUUUAAAAUAGAGAUAACAAAAAAAAUUUGAAACAAAUUAUUAACCUUAAAUCUCAAUAAACACAACAUUGAAGCAUCAAAUUGAAAAGAAAAAAUUGAUGAUCAAAGGCAUAAAAAAAAUAAAGAUGACCAAAGUUAAAACCAUAUAUUUUUUUUAAAUGCCUUAUAUUGUUUUUUUCAAUUUUGGUCCCCUCAUUUUUAAUCUCUUGCAAACAAUAAAAUCAAAUAUAUUUUUUUGUGAAACUUGGCACUAACACCAUGUGAGGAUGUUUUUCUAAGAUAGCGCUAAGCAUAUAAAAAGCGAAUCAAAAUAAAUUAUCAAUCCUAAAUCCCAAUCAACACAACAUUGAAUGAUAAAAUUCAAAAAAAUAAUAACAAAAAAAGGUGUAAAAAAAAAAUGAAGCAACAUUGUGUGAAUAUAUGGUGUUUUGCCUUGUAAUCCACAAUGAUUGUAUGAUGCUUUUUCAGUUUUUAACUAGAUGUAGACUUGUACUACACCACAUGGCCAUAUUAUUAUUAUUAUUGCUUAAAAUGAUGUUCAGGUGAUACGAACAUUUUAAAGAAUGGAGAAAAAUGUGUGACACGAGUCAUAGACCCAACUGGGUUAAAUAAAUUGAUUUUAUUUUAAUUAGAUAAUAAAACAAAUAGGCAAUGACAACAGAUGGACCGAAAAACAUUAUCACGAUAACUUGAAGAAAAAACUUUUUCUAAAAAGGUGAAAAACGAUGUAGCUCAUUUAUCAACCAAUUAAAUACAAGAUGAUAAAAUUAGGUGAAAAUAGAACAAAGAAAAUUGACAUAAGUCAACUCAAGUUAGCAUGACAAACCUAUAACCCGGGUAAUAUAGACCAAGUCAACACGGGUUAGCCCGCCAAACUCUUGGCAUAAGUUAUGAGAUUAUGAUAACUUAAUAGAAAAGAAAAUGAAGAAAAUUACAAUGCCUAUUUUUUUUAAGAGGAAAACAAUGUCGAAUGAUGAAAUAAAAAAAAUAAGUAAGAAAAUGUCAACCCACUUUAACUUCUCAAACUCCUGAUCCGGAUCAUUAGAUCAAAAGCACCCUAUCUUAAAAAACCAUGAUGUCUGAUUCCUAACCAAUCAAAUAUUGAAUGAUGAAAUUAUAAAAAAAAAUCAAUUAAACAAAAGAAUCCAAAAUAGAAAAUAGCAAUUAAACAAUGAAGAACUAGAUUGAAAUAAAAAUAAAUUAGAAAACAACUACAAUUUUUUUAUUGAAGGGUGAAAUUGUAAAUAUAAAUCAAUUUAACAAAAGGACCAAAAAACAAUUAAAAGAAUGAGAAUCAAAUUGAAAAAAAAUAGCUUAUCACAAAUUAGGAUUGAAUGAUGAAAUUGAAAACAAAUUAAAAUUUAACAAAAGGGCAAAGAACAAAAAUUAAAAAUCAAAAGAAUACAGACCAAAGUUGAAGUCUCAAUAAAUAAGAGGACAAGUCUGAAAUUUUGAAUGCUCAAUAUGAAUUUCAAGGGGAGGAGGGAGAAAAGAGAAAAAUAGAAAGAAAGCAUUAUUGUUAACAAACCGCCCCCACUACUGCUGCCUUAUGCGGCCCCAAUAAGGAGAAGAUAUCACGAUGACUCAAUAAACACGUAGAAGGAAAUGUUUUGUUAUCGAGAGACGCCGUAUGCGCCGUUAGAACACUAUGGGAACCUCCUAUAUGCUAACCAUGUUUUUUAUUAUUAUAUUUUAUAUUUAUUAAAAUAUCAAAUUACCCCCAAUCAACUUAAUUAUAACUAAUAAACUAGGUUGAGAAUUCAAAAAAGCCCUCAAAUGCUAGUUUUAGAAUUUUUGCUUUUAAAGAUAUUGUAGUUAUUUUACUGCACUUUAAAAAUAUGAAAUGACCAAGUUAUUUCUGAUCAAUUUGAUAAUGACUAGUGAACCUUGUGAAAAGACUGCAUUACCUCUAAUAGUCAGUUUAAAGAUUUUUGGCGGGAAGAGCAAAAUCAUCAUUACAUUGUUAUAAUUAACAAUGUUUUUCCCUCCCAAAUUAGCUUUUGUUAAUUUUAAUUUUAAUUUAAUUAUAAUUUUCCAUAGCAGUAGACUUUUGGCCUAUAACAAGUUAACUCGAUAUUAUUUGUGGCAAAGGAUAAUAAGAUCCUAAGCAAAAAAAUAAAAUAAAAAAGUUCAAUUGAGUCCUUGAUAUUACUCUUUUUUAAUUUUCUACUUUAAAAAUAAUAAAACGAGGACUUAUAUGUCUUAAAAUGGUACUUGUUUUGGCAUGAGUUUUAAUCGUGGACUUAAUUGGAUAACGUAUGAUAGAUAUAAUGAAAUUUAACUUUUAAAGUUAUUCUAAACAUUACACUAUGUAAAUAAAAUGUUAAAAGAUAGUUCUACUCCAUUCAAUCUUGUAAUGACAAAUAAGUUCUGUAAAAAGAUAAUUUUACCUUGUACGGUUUAAAUUGUGAAAGGAGAAAUAAUAAUUUUAUAAUUUUAUUGUGAGGAUCCACAAUAAAUUAUUAUCUAUUAGUAUAACAGCCCGGCCCAACUUGUCAUAUAUUGUCCACUUUGGGCCUUACUGUCCUCAUGGUUUUGUUCAUGGUGACGCGAGCCCACAUCUGAGCCUGACGCCCCAAAACGCGUAUGACAAGUUGGCAACUAGCACUUGCUAUAUAUUGUCUGCUUUGGGCUUUACCGCCCUCACGGUUUUGUUCCUGGCGACGCGAACCCACAUAUGAGCCUGACGUCCCAAAAAGCGUAUGACAAGUUGGCAACCAGCACUCAUAAUAAGACCAACUACCACUCCCUCACCCGCCGAUGUGGGAUAUUACAAUCCACACACCUUAAGGAGCCUGACGACCCCGUCGGCACAACCGGACAAACAGUGAGGUCGGUUCUGAUACCAAAUGUGACAGCCCCGCCCAACUUGCCAUAUAUUGUUCGCUUUGGGCCUUACCGCCCUCACAGUUUUGUUCCUGAUGAUGCGAGUCCACAUCUGAGCUUGACGUCCCAAAACACGUAUGACAUGUUGGCAACCAGCACUAUUAAUAAGGCCAGCUACCACUCCUUCACCUGCCGAUGUGGGAUAUUACAAUUAGUGUGUGUAAUGUAUUCUUGAUUAAUUUUUUUAGCUUUUGCUUUAAUGGGUUUAAGUUUUAAAGUUUCAUUUAAAAGUCUCCCAAUCAUGCAAUUUGAAAUUCCUACAAUUCAAAUUGUUAGAUUAAUUUAAUUUCAGCAUGAAUUUAUCCCGUUAGGAAUAUAUUGGUUGGGACUUUGAUAUGCUUUGAUAUUACCAUGAUGUUACAUGGAAUCAAAGAUUUCUAAACACAUUUUUUCUUUCCCUCUCAUUAAUUAUAACUUAUAAGUGAAUGGUUAAAAAUACCAGUUUCAUAAAAACAAAAUGAUAAAAAGAAUUGAAAAGAGAUUAUGCAAGAAGGUCCUCUUGUCCUAUAUGCCAAAGAUUUUAUGAUGUUUUAUCAAAAUAUGAAACAUAGAUUAUAUUGGAAAGUUAGGGGUAAAUAUUUUCAGUUCAGUUCGGUUUUUACUUAAAAAAAAUAACCAAAUUAAAAUUUAAAACAAAAAUAAAAAGACUCAGGAUCGGCUCAUGAAAGAAAGCAGGAACUUAUGGAGGCCAUUGAACGUUGGAAUAUAAUGAAAAUUCCAACUUGAUUCAAUGUUGUUGGAACCGGUUUGGCUCGGUCUAAUUCAAUUAGUUUUAAACUCUUAAAUCAAAACCAAACCAACAUAAUUUUUUUGUUUUUCUAAUAUUUAAUUCAGGUUUUUUAGUUAAUUUUUAUUUUAUUUUAUUAAUUUUUCGGUUUUUUUCUCCCCUCUAAAGAAAGUAAUAGAACAUAAUGAAAUUACCAUGAUGCAAGUCUUGGUCGGUCCAUUGAACGUGCACAAUACCUACCAAUACCAUCUCACCUGUUAGCGAACAGUAGCUGUCAAUGUCCAAUAAAUAAUGAAUAGUUUAUCCAUUUGAUAAGGCAUUCAUGAAAUUUAUGGCAGUGUCUUCUGAAAUCGAGACAAGAAACAAGUCAAUGGGACCCCUUCAAGCUCAAGCAUGGUGGCCUCUGAGUUCUUCAUGCUCCACGUAGUUCAACACUUUGUAUUCUAGUUACAAAACUGUAUUAUUAUAUUUCGCCAGCUUUGAUUAAAUAAUCAAGUGAAUUCACAUUAAUAUAUCUGUUUUGUAAUCAACUGCAAGUUAUUUUUUUAAGUUUAUAUAUAUAUAUAUAUAUAUAUAUAUCAACACAUCAAAACUAUUAAAAGAUACUUAAAAAACAUUAAUUUAAUUAUUUUUAAAAUAAAAAAAAUCUAAAAAACACUUUAAAAAACAGGUUGAACCACAUUAUCAAAUACAUCAUUUUCGGAUAUGUUUGGAAUUGUGGUUGUGAUUCAAAAUGUUUUGCGCUUAGAAACGCAUCAAAAUGAUGUUUUUUUAAAAAAAAAAAUUAUUUUUAAAAUCAGCACAUCAAAACGAUCUGAAAACAUAAAAAAUUUAAUUCUUAAUAAAAAAAAUUAAAUUUUUUAAAAACACGGGUUGGAUCUCGUUUCCAAAUGAUCCAUUCAUGGUUGUUCCGAGUAAUUAGCUUUUCAUUAGUACAACGUAAAAUCAAAACUUCUUUUAAAUUGUAGGGGUAACAUUGAAAACAUUUAAAAUAUAAGGGUAGAAGUGAAACAUUUAUGAAUCUCUAGGAGCAGUAUUGAAAUUUACCCUUGUUUUUCUACUGGGGAAACCUCAAUUUAGUCCUCAUAUUUACUUCAACGUCAAUUGAGCCCCAAUCCUUAUGAUUUUGUUAAGUUUACCCCAAGCACAAUUUUAACAUCAAAUCAUUAUAAAUUUUACUUUAUACAAACCAGUUAUUCUCCAAAACAUGAAAGCAAAAGAAAAGAUCAAAGACUAAAACCAGAAUCAAUGAAAUCAGCCAAGAGGAAACAGACCUAAAAGCAUUGUUAUUAAAAUAUAUUUAUGCUUCAUACCUUGCAAGAUAUAUUUAUACUAUAGUACAUACAAGUAUCCAAAGUCAUCUUUUAUUUCUUUUAAUAUAAAUGUUUUAAUAUAAGAGUAAGAGAAAUAAAAUAUAAAAUCUAGAAAAUUUUCUAUGAAAUACCAUACAAAAAGUAACAAUCUUUUAAGGGAACGGGUAUAAUAAAAUUCAAAAAAUUCUUCUAAUGUGUAUUCCCACAUAAAUGAUCCUUUUUAUUUGACCUACAAAAACAAAAAAUAAUUAAUUAUAAUAAAUUAAUAAACCCGGCAUAACUCGGGUGAGACCCGACCUUUUUUUUAUAUAUUUUUUAAUAAACCCAAAAAAUGUAAAGUUAAUGUGUGAAUACUUUAACUUUUUCAUGUGGGAUAACUAUAUUUAUAGUCUAUAUCCUCAUAGAAUAUUUCUUAACCUACACUCACAUGAGAUAACAUACACUCACAUGAAAUGUUUCAGAUAGCUAUAUAUAGCCUAAAACCACAUGAAAUGUUUCUUAACUUUUUUAUAUGAGAUAGCUAUAUAUAGCCUAAAACCACAUGAAAUGUUUCUUUUCCAUGUGGAAUAUUAAAACCUCAAAAUAUUUUUUAAAUUUUUUACCGGGUUGACCCGUUUUGACCCGGGUAACUCGUAUGACCUGGACCCGGCCCCUUGGUCGGGUCAACCCUCAGGCCAGGUUUAAUAACUAUGGUGUACACACUGUCAUUUUAAUGUGGAUUUACACAAUGAAAUGAUCAUUUUGUUAUUUUUAAACAAAAUCAUUUAACUUGCUAUUGGAGGUAAAACAGUCUUUUUCAUGGGAUCCAUCUAUCAAUGUCAUAUUGAUUUGGGAGGUCCUGAUCUUUUUACAUUUUAGGUGCAUAUUAAAAUGACUUAAAUACCAUUAAAAGCAAAAAAUAAAUAAAACUGGGGACAUGGAGCUUUUUGAUUUUUUAAUAUUUUGAUUGCACAAUGAAAUGACUAUAUUUUUCUUAAAAGAAAAAAAAACUGAUAUAAAAAAGUAUUUUAGUCGCUUCAUUAUGGUUUUUAAGUCAUUAUCAAUUUUAAUAAGGGGCAUUUUAGUCUUUUAACAAAUAUAAAUAUAAUAAAAAAUUAAAAGAUGGUAAGCGCGUGCCACGUACACACUAGAGAGAGAAGGGCACUAAUGCCUUUUGAAUUGUGUCUGGCACCUCCUAGCGAUCAAAUGCCGCUAAUAUUUUUCUUUUCCUCCCUCCUCUUUCUCCUCGUCUUAGAUUUCACGCCAACCAUUUCAAAUAUCAAACAUGUCUUGUUAGUUUGUAUUUAUAUCAAUUUUGGUCUUCAUUCUUUUGAUUGCUAUUUGUUUUGUUUUUACGGCUUUUUGAAGUUGAUUUUUUAUUUAUUUUGUCCCCCAAUAUUUUACUUCAUUUAAUUUUUGUAUCUAAUUUGGUCUUUAUUCUUAUGAUUACUAUUUUGUUUUUGUUUUUAAUCCUUUUCUUGAUUUGUUUUUUUAAUUUUAUCCCUUAACAUUUUAUUUCAUUUAAUUUUUGUAUCUUAUUUGUAUCUUAUUUUUUUUAUUGCUAUUUUUUGUUUCUAAUCGUUUUCUUGAUUUAAUUUUUUUUUCAAUUUUGUUUCUCAACAUUAUAUUUCAUUUAAAUCUUGUAUUGAACUUGGUACUCAUUUUUUUUAUUGCUAUUUGUUUUUUUUUUAAUGGAUGAUUAGGAUUUAGGAAUUUUGCUUCAUAAUUUUUUUUGUGUUUGCCUUCUAAAGGGCAAUUAUGGUCUCAUGACAUAGGUCACGGAUUUUAAAAAUUAGCCCGGUUUAACUUCGGUCUUUUUUAGGCCAUUGAUUGCUUUUAUGUGGGGUUAUCCCGAUCUUAGAUUUUAGAUCAUAAGUUGGUCGAGUUAACCCGAGUUGACCCAAGUUUUUUUUUUCAUUUUUUAAAUUGAUUUUUUUAGAUUAGUCUUUCAUCAUUUAGUUUGCUUAAGAGUUGACCUUCAUCGUUUUAUUCAAUUUUUUAUGUGUGAGUUUAUCCAUAUCUCAUGACCAGGUCGUGAAUUUGGUAUGCUGACACGGUUUUUUUUAUCCUUUUUAAAAUUGAUUUUCUUUCUAGAUCGUCCUUAAAUGUUUGCUUUGCUGAUAAUUGAGCUUCAUAUUUCUUUUAUUUUUUUAUGAGGUUAUCCCGUUCUCAUUCGAUUUUGUUUUGUUAUCAAAUAAGAUCGUUAAGACUUUUUAAUAAUAUUUAGAAGGUCUAUUUUUGUAAUAUUUAUAAGCAUUUAUUUUUUUAUUAGUCAUUAUCAUUUUUUAUUGUUAUUUGAUUUUUUUAAUAAUCAAAUUAUUAAAUUAAGAAACUUUAUUGAAUCCAUUCAAAUCAUUGAUCUGUCUCAAAUUUUUCUUUCUCUUUUAAAAACACUAUCAUUGUCUGGACAUUUUUUUUUAACAAUAGAAAACAUUUUGUUAGGCCCGCGUCACAGGGUGGGCUACGUUUCCUAUUUUCUUAAGAGAUAUUCAUAAAAGAAGGGUAGUAUUUGGAAUUUGAUGUUAGUUUAUGUAAAGUUUUUGUUUUUUUUAAUAUAUAUAUUGGGAAUGUAGUUUACAGGAAGUUGUAAAUGUAUCGAUGCUGAGGCUAUUUAUCCUAAACCAAAGCAUAUUUGUUUUACAUGUAAGGCUCCGUUUGUUUGCAGGAAAGUUGUUUCCUUUUGGAAAGUGAAUUCCGGGGAAAGUGAAUUCCGAGAAAGUAUUUUCCGAUGUUUGGUAGUGUUAUGGAAAAUGAACUGGAAAACACUUUCCAGUGUUUGGUUAUGUUAUGGAAAAUGAACUGGAAAAUAAUUUAUUAAUGAAUUAAUUUUUUUUCAAGUUUAUCUAAUAUAUAUUAAAUAUUUAAUAUAAAUAUUUAAUCACUUACAAUAAAAGAAUGAAAUCUAAAAAGUAUAAUGAUGAAUUUUUUUAUUAUAUCUUAUAUUCAUACAUAGCUUAUUUUAUAAAAUAUAACUAUAUAUGUCAUAUCAUAUUAUAGAGAAAUAAGCUUGUGAAAUAUUUUUUAAGUUAAAUAUAUUUUUUUUCAAUUUUAAAAGCUUAAAAUAAGUUUUUUUUUUUAUAUGAAGAAAGCCAAAUUAGUUUAUGGUAAGAGUUAUAUAUUACAUUAGAUUAACAACUAUUUUAAUUUUAAUUUUUCGUCACUGGGAACCAAUUAAAUUUAAUUUAGAAACAAAAAUGUCUUGUAAUUACAAUAAAAUGAUUUAUAAAAUCCUUAUGUUUGGAUGCUGGGCCACCCACCCCCCUAAAAAAACGUUCACAUGUUUGUUCACAUGUUUUGUGAACAAAAGAAAGGAAAAUGUUUUCCUUAAAAUAAGGAAAGGAAAACACUUUCCUGGCUUAAAGUGUAUUAUCUUCCUUUGACCGGAAUUUGAAUUCCUUUGACUAGUUUUCCUUAUAGUUGUCAAACAUUGGAAAGUGGGGAAAAUGGUUUCCAGGAAAAUGAAUUCCUGGAAACAAACAAGGCAUAAGGUUGAAGUGUGAUUAUAAACCCUUUUGAUUUGUACUAGAUUUUUUUUACCUGCGCUACGUUGUGGGAUGGGUUUAUUUUUUUAAUAUAAAAAAGAUAUUCAAAUAAUGAUAACAUGAGUGAAUUCAGAUUAACUUAACUAACCUGCGAUUCAAGUUAACCCUAGAGAAAUGAAAGGGAAAAAAUAGAAAGCUCAAGGCCUAAUAAAUCUAAUUUCAAAGGAUAAAAUUAAAAAAAAAGAAACAUGAAAGAAAAAAAACCCGAGUUAACCCAACUUUACUCUAUUAACCUACCACCCAUGACAUGAGAUUGGGAUAAGAAAUUUAAUUUUUUAAAAAUGACUUAGAAAAAAGGAUCAAAGCUAAAUAAAUAAAAAAACAUUGAAGAAAAACCAAGUCACCCUAGGUUAACCUAACAAACCUGUAACUUGAGAUAACCCUAUAGAAAGAAAUAAUAUAUAAAAUCAAAACCUAAUAGCCCUGCGUAAAAGGAUGAAAAAAAAAGAAAAAAAAAUCCAAUGCAACUUGUGUUAACUUAACUAACCCAUGACUCAGGAUAACCCUAGAUAAGGAAAGGAAAAAAAAAUAGAAAGCUCAAGACUCAAUACCCUAAAGUCAAAGGAUGAAAUUAAAAAAAUAAAACAAAUCAAAGUUAAAAUCAGGCUAAUCUUUAAAACCAUCAACUCUUGUCAUGAGACCAAGAUAACCUUACAAAAGACAAACAAAACUCUUCACCAUAAUAUUUUUUUUUAAAAAAUAGUAAUACAAUUAAUGAGGACCUAAUUUGAUCUAAAAACUAAUGAAAGAAAAUAAUAAGGGACUUAAUAAAAAAAUAAAAGGAUAAAAAAAUUUAAAAGAAUUAGGGCUAAAACUAGAUAAAAAAUGAAAUAAAAUGUUGAAGGACAAAUUGACAGAAAAAACAAAUUAAGAAAAGGAUAAAAAAAAAGCAAUUAUAAGAAUAAAGACCAAAAUUUGAUUAAAAAAAUAAAAUGUUAAGGGAAUAAUUGAAAGAAAAAAAGAAACUAAGAAAAAGGAUAAAAAAAAAGCAAUUAAAAGAAUGAGGAAUCAAUUUGAAAAAAAAAAGUGAAAUAAAAUGUUAAGGGACAAAAUUAAAAGAAAACAAAACAGGCCAUGAUAUGGAAAAAAAAUAGUAAAGAGAAUGAGUACUAUAUUUGAUAUAAAAACAAAACAAAAUCAAAUGAAAAAAGGAUGAAAUUGAAAAAAAAUCUAAAAAAAAAUCUAAAACAAUGAAAGACCAAUCAAAAGAAAGAGGAUUAUAAUUGAAAGACAAAAUGUAUUAGAGGACAACUUUGAUUUUUGGCUGACGUAGCACAAAUUUCAAGAAUUGAAAAGAGAAAACAAGGGGACGAAAAGAAAAGUCAACUGUCGACAAACCACCAUGAUUUGAGCAACACGCGCUACCCCAUAAGCUUUGCCUCCACCGGACACUUUAGACAAAAUCUUGGUUGGGAAAUUUUGGUCACUGCUUGACGAGCGCAGAUAGCGUCCACUCCCUAACACGCGUUGUUCACGGGCUAGUAGCCUUUUUUAAUUUAUGAAAAUAAUAAUUUGCCCUAAUCCAAAUAGAGUAUAAGAAAAACUAUAAUAAAAAUAGUAAAAUAUCCUUUGACCAUCUUUUUAUUUUAUUUUUACUUUGAAGUCGAUGAGGUAAUUGUACUAUUUGUAAAAAAAAAGAAAUUAUACAAAAGCUUUCUUAGCCUUUCAUAUUUUUUUUUUGUCUUUUAAAGGCAUUUAUUUAAUUCAAUUAUACUAAAACAAUGUAAACUACUAAACUUUCCCCAAUAAAAUUGCAAAUGAUCUUUGGGUUUUAUGGAAAAUACCAUUCUAGCACCACAAGUAAGGCAAAAACUUUAUACAAAGAAGGGCAAAAUAGUAAUUAUGCUGUCCAAGUCCAUAGUGAAUUACCUCAACAUCCACAACGAAACAAUGAUCAGUUUUAGAGUUUUUUUUUUAUAAUAUUUAUAAGAUAAUAUAUUUUAUGGCCUCACAUAGAAUUCAAAUGCUUAAUGAUAACUCAAAGAAAAAACUCAUUUGUCGACAAACUAAGCCUGCAAUAUUGUAAUUCUUUUGUUUCCUAAAUUAAGUGUAAAAGAUAAUUUUGUCCGUGAUCUAUUACACCACUUUAAAUAUGAUCCUUAAAAACAAAAAAAAAAUCCUACCAGGUCCCUCAUCUAUAGGAUAUUUACUUAUCAAUUCUCAAUUUAAUUUUUCCCCUUUAAAAUCAUAAAAAAAACUUAGUCAUUUUUUUCAAUGCAAUUGGAGCAAAUGAUCUCUUUUUUUCAUCUCUAUUUUUUUCUAGCGACUAUCUCUCAUCUCUCAUACAUAGAGACUAAAAUGUUGAAAAAAAAUAUCAAAGGACUAAAUCAAGUCGACAUUUGUUUGACAACGCAAUAACUCAAUGGUAAUCAAAUUGAUACAAAUUAUGAAACCUGGUCUAUAAUAAACACAAUGUCAAAAGAUUAAAUAAAAAAAUAAAAAAAAAAAUGAAAUCAAGAGCCACUCUAGAUUCCUUCUUAAUGUUUGCCCUUCAUGGUAUGUUGUUCUCACUAAAAUGGAUUUUAUGAAAUUUAUUAUGUUUUGCCUUAUAAAUGCAUGAAUUGAAGUUUAAUAAUCACAUUAAAACCUUACACACGAAAAACAACUUACCUGUAAUAAUAAUGGUAUCAGAAACUCUUUUGGUAAGCGAAUGGUUAUGGAUGUUAAGUCAUGACUUCGUCAUAGUAGAGCACCCUGUAGCUUUUUAAAAGAAAAAAACAAGGGACCUGUAAUGUUUAUGUUUGUUUGUUGCUGUGUCUAACAUAUACCACCAAUCGAUCUUGAAUCUGUGUUUAUAAUCACAGCUGAAAUUAUGUUUUUUUUUAAUUUUCUAUUUUUUUUAAUUUUUUUAUGUUUUUGAAUUGUUUUGAUGUACUGAUAUCAAAAAUAAUUUUUAAAAAAUAAAAAAUAUAUUAUUUUGAUAUAUUUCUGAGUAAAAACAUUUUAAUAAACAACCACUAAUAAACUUUCAAAUAUCAUCUUAACCAUACAUUUGAAUGGUCAUUCAAUAUUUCUAGUGUUCUUACUUAUUGGUGAAUUGAUGAUGCACAUGUUAUCAUCAAUAUUUGUAAUUUCAAAAUCACUUAUGUUGCUUCUACAAAAAAACCAAAAAACUAAUAAGGUUUUUUUUUAUCAUAAUUUUUUUUUCUUAUUUAGACUAUUUAUGAUAAGUGUUUUUUUAUUCAUUUUACGCUUUAAUUAAGAUUAAAAAUUUCUUUUAAACAAUUUUAAAGAUGCACUUCCAAUAUCCUGAUUACUAAAACAUAAAUCAAUCUUAAAAAAUAAUUUUUUAGCAUGCAUAAAAUGUAACUCAUUAAUUGUUUUUUCAAUUUUGAUUUAGUAUUGAAUAAGAAAACUUAAAAAGAUAUUUAUUAUACUAUAUUAAUUAAGUUUUUUUGUCAUGCUUCAUAACCCAUUUUUUACCCCCAGUUUUUUUCAUGUAUUUUCAAAUAUAUAAUUUUUUUAAAGAAUUUAUUUUAAAUGAAAUUUAGUCAAUUCCCAACGUUUUAUAUUUUUUUCAUUUUCAUUUAUUUUAUUUUAAGUGACAAAGAAAAAUAAAAAACUUAAAAACAAUAUAUAGUAAAAAGAAAAAUAAAAAAUUUAGGGAGUGAAAUCACAUGCAAAGGAAGAAAAAUGAAAGACUAGCAAAUGAAAAAUAAUAAUAAAUAAAUAGAGAAUCAAGAUGGGAUUGGAAAAACUGUAAAAAACAAAAAAAACCUAAUUCAAUAAGGAGAUAAAAUAGAAUCUUCCAAUAUUAUUAUUUUUUUUUGACAAAAACCCUUAACAAUAUAAAUAAACAUAAAAAAAAACCUAGAUGGAGAAAAAAAAAGAAGAAAAAACAUAAAAGGAGUCAACUUUAGAAACACAUAGACUAAGAGAGAGAUAAAAAAAGAGGAGAAAAGAUACAAAAAAGGGACAAAGAAAACCUUGCCACAUCUUUUUCAUCUUCUCUCCUCUCUCAAUCACAACUGCGAACCAUUGUUCUUUUCUCCCUCUUCACCACCAAUACCUCCACAAACAUCGACCAUGAUAGUUUCUCCCUCCACCACAUCUUUAUCUCUCUACCCGAUCACAAAACAUCCUUGUUAUUAACUAUAACCUUGGAAAUCAUAGCCACCACAUUAACUAAAAUCGCACUUAUCUCUCUUAUCAUUAUAAAACACUCCAUGGUAGCAACCCUUUGGCAUUCAAUAACCAUGAUCAUAACCAAUAAAGAGAAAAUUGACAAAUAAAAUUUAUCUUUUCAUGUCAACCUCCCUUUUCAGAUCACGACAAGCUUUAUCAUCAACGUAGAAAGGAAAAGAAGGAGCAUGAGAACUUGAUCUAGUAGGUUUAAGGUUUUCAACCUUGUCAUUUUGUACAGUUUAUGUGUUACUUCGUUUACAUGCUUGUCUAGCUCCUGCACAUGACUCCCAUCUGCCACGACUACCCGUUUUUUUAGUAUCUUUUGUUCGAUUCCAAUCGCUCUUGAAGGUCAAAUACGAAUCCUAAUACAUUGAUUCACUUGUUUUUAUCAAUUUGCAAUAUGUGGUUGAUUUCCUAUUCGUAGAUGUUGUAUUUGCCUACAAUGAUUUGCUUGUGUUGAGUAAUUUAUAAUACGAGGUUGAUUUUCUAUGUGUGGAUGUAUUUGUUUUUUUUAUUGUGAGAUUUGUGCUUUAAUUUUCUUAAAAUGAAAAGUUAUGUUUUAUUUUUAUUGAAGAAUUGACCUUGAGUAUGGUAAAAUGGUUUUGUCUUCAUAUGACCAUUUAAGUAUGGUAAAAUGGUUUUUAUUGAAGAAUUGACCUUGAGUAUGGUAAAAUGGUUUUUAUUGAAGAAUUUGCACAUCCAUUAAUUAGUCUUACUUUCAAACCCGAUGGUUUUUAUUGAAGAAUUUGCACAUCCAUUAAUUAGUCUUACUUUCAAACCCGAGUUAUGUUUUUUUCUUCAUAACCUUUUCAAUUAUGGACUGAAAAAAUAGAUUUUAAAAUCAAUUUAGGGGAUUUUUUUAUAAGGUUUUGGAAAAGAUAAGAAUAAUUGAUUUAUAACUUGCAAUUUAGGCAAAAUCACAUCACAAGUAAAGAGAAAAUGAAUCGAUUGAAUAUGCAAGACUAGGCUUUAGUUUUUAUGAUAUUUUGUGUUCUUAGAUAGGAGAGAAGAAAGAGAUUAUAUUUUUAAAUUAAUUUGGGAUUUUUUAGGAGCAUAUUUUGGCUAUUUAUGUUAUAUUAUAUAGGAGGGUAGGUUUGGGUUGUUUAUGUUCACAAGUGCCUUUUAAAAAUAUUUUGCUUGUUGGUUUUUUUUUUUGCCCCUUUAGUCUGAUAGUUCUAUGUUUUGAUAUAAAACUUUAUUUAAUUCACAUUCCAAUUCCCGGGUUUGAAAAAUGAGAUUUAUUGGAAAAUUAUGGAGAGAGAAAGUAAUGGAAUGGUGAGAUUUCGUUGAUAAAAGGUUAAAUUUGGUGUCAAUGUGUUUUUCUUGGCAUAAGAAGUGUUAUUGAGGUAUUUUUGAGCUUUUAUGUUGUUAGAAAAAAUAGAUCGAGGUUAAGAGAAUUUUUUUUUUUAUGCUUUUGAGUUAAUUUAGAGGUUUUUAAGUUGAUAAAUAAAUUUAUCGUGAUUUAAAGGGUAUUUUUGGAAGUAAAAAAAUUGAAAUUUAAUUUUUUAAGUCCUAAAAAUCCUAGCUUGAUUUUCCACCAUCUCUCUAAUGGGUGAAAUUUGAACUCACAAAUAACACAUCAUCUACUUUCUUUUUUAACUCAUUAAAAAAGUCUAAAGGCAUGAACAUGGCCUACUUUUAGGUUUCUUUUUAAUUUCUUUUUAAUUGAAAUUUAAUUUUUGUAAUAUUAAAUAAUUUAAAAUAUUUUAGAUAUUAUUUUAUUAAAUGCCUUUAAAUUUUUACCUUGUUUCUGAAAAAAUAUAUCAGUCUUUUUAUAACAUUAAGAAAUGUUUUUUUUACAACUUAUAAUGAUUUUUUAUAAUUUUAUUUGGUUUCUUUUCCAUGUGCAUGUAUUUUUGCCAUCAUAUAAUUAAAUAAAACGAUAAUUUUUAAAAAAUAAAGUUAUUAAAAUCAAUAAGAUGUGUGAGCUUGAAUCAUGAUUUUAGUGAGUUAACUCAAGUCAAUCCAAGAUGUUUUCAUCUCAAUAUUUUUUAAAAAAAUGUCAUCUUUAAUUAAUUUUAAACAAAAUUAAUUUUUUAUUAGUUACCGAGAUUACCUUUGAACCCUUUAGAUUGAGCAGAUCAUAUCAAAUUAAUUUUCACAUGGUUUAAUUUAAAAUUUAGAUAAAAAUUUAAAUUAAAGGUUUUAAAAAUUACUUAACCCUAUUAAAGAAUCCACUAUAACAAUACAAGAACAUUGUUUUUCCAGCUGUGAUGUCUUUUAGUAAGGAAACGUUUCAGAAUGUAAAUGAUAUUUUUUAAAAAAUUAAUUUUUUUUUGUUUAAAUUUAAUUUUUUUAUAUUUUAUUUUUUUUUGAAAUUUUAAUAUUAAAAAUAACUUAAAAAUUAAAAAAUAUUUAAUUUAUUUUUAAACAAAAUUAUUUUUAAAAAAACCACCACUAAUAUAAUCUUAAAUAUUAUAAAAAAUGCAAAAACAAUAUAAAACACAUUGUAUCCAGAAAGAAAAUAAGAAGACGACUCGCACGCGCACACUGAGAGAGUCAGAUAUUUACCUGCAAAAACAGAAUGAUGAACAAAAAAACCCAUUUUUGAUAAGCUAAGAAAGAAUUCAAAUCUCGCUCUCGUUGGGUUUUAAAUCUCAUUUUCGGAGCCAAAUCCAUUUCUAAAACUUUUUCUUUCUUUUGUUGGCUAAUGUAGGUUGCCUUCUGUUAAUGUUGAGGUUUUGUUUUGUCUAGUUUGGUAUCAUAAUUCUCUUAUGAAUCAGUUUCCCAUGGAAUUCCAUUGAUUUGAUUUAUUAGAACAGAUAGGUAAGAAUUGAAUUCCCUUUCGUUAUUUGAAAGGAUAAAUGGGUAUUAGUGCAUUUGGGAUUUGAUUGAAAUUUAAAAACUGGGUUUUGUUUUCAGGAGUAAUUGCUGGUGGGUUUUGCGACUUAGACCCUGAUUUUGAGGAAACAGGGGGUUUCUUUCUUUUGGUUUGGCAUUGCAUAAGGAGAGGGGAAGUAGAGUUGUAGGUAUUAAAAAUCAGGAGAGAAGUGGGUUUUGGCUUUUGACAGAGAAUGAUUUGUAUAGGAGAAAAGGUGACAUGAGAAGUAGAGUUAUUGUUGGUCCAGAGGUACAAUGAAUGGAGGGUCAUUCGGUCAAAGGGGGAGUUAUGGAUCAUUGCCUUGCUACGGAAAAUUAUCAAAUAUUGCACGAAAACAAUCUUCGAAAAUGCCGCCAGUGAGUUCAAGGGACAAGGAGCGGGUUCUCCUGGUUGUUUGCCGGUGCUUGGGGCGUAGAAGAGUUGCAAUGUUGCUCUUGGUUGCACUUGCUCUCCUAGUUUUCAUCUGGGGUUCCCUUACAGUUAGCAAAGGUAUGGUUCAAACAUGUGUCCUUUCCUAUGAUGUAAAAUGUUUGAGUGUUUUAUGUAUUCUUUUGUUCUACCUGUCCUUAUAUUUUGGUACUGUUGCACUGAGUUACAGGAGGAUGAAAGUUUUCUAAUUACAAGGAAAUAAUCACUUAACAAAGGAAUAGUUUAGGCACCUAUUUAUUAGUUCAUGCUGACUAUUCUAUAUUUAACAGAAAAGAUAAAAUGUAGUAGUGUUUUAAUUCUAUGAGCAUCUUUUAAUUUUUCCUGUUGUUUGAAUGGAAAUGUUUAAGUCAUGUAUUAUUCAUGUCUUGAGAGCAGCUGUAGCAUGCAGUGAGGAGGGGGGGUGGGGAACAAGAAAUAAAGAGGUGGAGGUGGUUCUUCAUGAAUUUUGGUUCCCAUAUAGGUGUGGGCCAUGAUUGAAUAAUGGCCUUGUUUCUAUUAGUUCUCAUUCUGUGCUAAAUCCUUGACAGGAAAGCUGACAGCCAGAGAGUCUUCUUCUUUCUCUCUCUCUAUUUUCAAUCUUGAAUGGAAAGCAUACGAAGACAAAGUUGUCUUCUUGAAUUUAAAACAGGAGAUAAUCAAUCGAUUACAAAUAUUGAUCAGAAUGAAAGAUUCUGUUAUCAAGUUAUUUUUCUGCAUUUAAUUGAUGAUGUCAAAGUCCUGAAAUACUUGGGAUUUUUACUGCUAUUUGUUUUGCUUUAGACUGGUUGAGGCAAUAACUAAUGUGCAUUUUGUGUUAUGGAUGCCCCAGAAACCACAAGUCCAACUGUUAGACCAAUGGAUAGUAUACAUUUUGACAACAGUGAUAUAAUAAGCCAUCCUUCUGUUGCCUGUCGUUCUAGAGCUAAUAGCAUAUUGGACCAUCCAUGCCACAAGUUUGCUCUCCCUCCUCCCCCUCCUUCUGGUGGACGACGGUUUGGACCACGCCGUAAGUUUUGGGUUAUUUUGGUUGAAGUGUUCCUUAUUUUCUUGUUUUUCUGAUCAUUCUAUUAAUAUAUUGGAUUGGACCAUAAGUUUGAGUUGCUACAUCUGUGCGUCAUUUGGAAGUAAAAAAUGACUUCUGGCCUGAAUGUUACUAAAAGUCAUGUAUAUAAUUUUUCUUGCACCAAGAAUGUGCUCUCACAUUUCUGUAACAGAGAAAACUGGCAUGUUUUUGCAAUUAAUGUUAUUAUCUUUCUCAUCAGUGUUUGCUACAGAAGACCUCUUGCAUGUUCAAUUGUAAAUUGAUACAAAAUAACCCUCAAUACCUUUGUAUAAAGUAUGCCAAAAUCUACUCUCUUAGUUGAAGCAAAAAAGUGCUCACAUGCAAUUUAUUUCUGUUGGUGUGGUAUUUACUUUGUUGUCACUCAUUUGUUAUGCAGCUUGUCCAGUAUGUUACAUUUCUGCAGAGCAAGCUAGAGCUAGCAUUCCAUGCUCCUCAUCUGCAUCACCAGUGCUCCGCAACUUAACAUACGUUGUUGAUGAAAACCCAAUUAAAAUUGAAUCACAUGGAGGUUCAGAAUUUGGUGGAUAUCCUUCUCUAAAGCAGAGGAAUGAAUCUUUUGAUAUACAAGAGUCGAUGACAGUGCACUGUGGGUAGGAGUCCUUCUCACCUAUCAUCUUUCUGUAAAAUUAUAAGCAUUGAAGACUGUUUUGCAUGGAUCUCAUGAUCUCUGUCCUCCGUUAUUAUACAAUGUCCUGUAACAAAUACGAAUAACUUAUUUCUUAUAAACACAUAUUUUUCUGUUGGCCGUAUUUUUUAUCAGAUUUGUUAAAGGAAAUAGACCUGGCCGCCAGACUGGAUUUGAUAUUGAUGAAGCUGACCUGAUGAAAUUGGAAGAGUUUCACGAGGUCAUUGUUGCAUCAGCCAUAUUUGGUACUGUUUAGCACUGGACAUUCUGCAAAGAUUUCUUGUUUUAUCCAUGUUUUCUACUUUCCUCAUCAUUGCACUUUCCCAGGGAACUAUGACAUAAUACAACAGCCCAAGAACGUUAGUGAAGCAGCUAGGAAAAAUGUUCCUUUUUAUAUGUUUAUUGACGAAGAGACAGAAACAUAUUUGAAGAAUUCCAGCGCCCUAGAUAGCAAUAUGAGGAUCGGACUGUGGAGGAUUAUUGUCGUCCAUAACAUCCCCUACACUGAUGCAAGACGCAAUGGAAAGGUCAGUUUGCAUUUGUUUGGUUGCUUUGCCUGCUUCUUUCAGAUUUCUCUCUUUAAUUUCCUUGGGCAUCCAAACCUGGGCUGGAUUACAUCACUUUCUUCUUAAUUUUUUUUCUUCCCCUUGUUCUCCUGCUUCUCUGUUAACUCAUUGAAAACAAAGCUAUCAGUUUGUUAACAAAUUUCUGUUUAUCUCUUGGUGAGUCUUCAAGUAAUUUCAAUUUUGGUGCUAAUCCUAGCAUGGCAGAAUUUCCUGAAUAAAUUUCUGUUGAUAUAUUAAUCUAAAAGAUUUUCCUUUUUUUUUCCUUUUCAUUUUUGUUUUGGGCUAUGAUAUUCAAUAGUACCUCAUACUUCAAGUCAUUUUCUUUUCAAUUACUGAAAACCUAAAAUGUUGCUGCAAGAAGUGAUGGAUGCUGUCGUUGUGCUAUGUAAAUGGACAGGUUCCAAAGCUUUUAUUGCACAGGCUCUUGCCUAAUGUUAGGUAUUCCAUAUGGAUAGAUGGAAAGCUCCAGCUUGUUGUGGAUCCAUAUCAAGUUCUUGAGAGGUAUAUUGUUUGUGCUUAAAUUAAGUGGUCAUUGAAUGGAGUCAUUCAGAUAUGUAAAAUGGCUUGUGAAUUCAGUGCAUCUUUUUUUUUAAUUUUUCUGGUAUCUUCAAAUUGAGAUGUAUGGAAAUUUUGUUGUACCUGUGUGUGUAUACUCAUUUUCUUCUGUUAUCUGUCACUGUACCAAUUUCUGGUCCCAACAUGGCAUCACUUCAAAAGUUAUGAACCAUCAUAAGUUUCAUUGGUUCAUCAAUAGGCAACUUACGGGAUUCUGGAAAAAUGCAUGGAAAAUAUAAUUAUAGCCGUAUGCUCUUUUUAUCAGCUGUCUUGCAAUGUUAACAUUAUUACACUGUUAUUGAUCCUACAUUUUCAUUUAAAGCAUUCAAAAAAGGAACUGCUUUUCUUGCUUGGGACAUGGGAAUGUCAUCUUUCUGUUGGUUUACAGUAACUCAUGCUUUGGCAAUGUGUUCUGGAUAUGUUGACUCAUGUUAAGACAGUUUUUUUAGUGUUAGCAUUUACCAUAUAGAUCUUCAUGCAUAUUGCAUUUCUGGCCUCUAGAAGAAGGGGAAAUAGGUAGAUAAUUUUAGUAUAAUUGCAUAAUCUAUGUGUUUGAAUCAUACCUGAGCUGUCCUUUGGUUCAGAUUCUUGUGGCAGCAAAAUGCCAGUUUUGCAAUCUCAAGACACUAUCAUCGCUUUGAUGUGUUUGAAGAGGCUGAAGCUAACAAAGCUGCAGGAAAGUGUGACAAUUCAUCCAUUGAUUACCAGAUUGAAUUUUAUAAAAAAGAGGGUUUAUCGCCAUAUUCCAAGGCUAAGCUUCCAAUAACCAGUGGUAGGUGUAUAAUCCUAUGUGUGUGCGCACGCGCUUCAUGUUCUUGAAGAUUUGUAUUUCUUAUGUUUUCUGCUCAAUGACUGACCUUUUGCAGAUGUUCCUGAAGGUUGUGUUAUCAUAAGGGAACAUAUUCCCAUCACAAAUCUGUUUACCUGCCUGUGGUUCAAUGAAGUUGAUCGGUUUACUGCCAGAGAUCAGUUAAGCUUCUCCACUGUGAGGGAUAAAAUAAUGGCUAAAGUUGAUUGGAGCAUCAAUAUGUUUUUGGAUUGUGAGAGGCGUAAUUUUGUGAUUCAGGUACAUGUUUAUGUGUUGUCUUUCUAUUAUCAGGGGAGAUGAAACCAGUGCAUCUAAAACUAAGCAAUUUGUUAUUGUUCUGCUCUAAAUGAACCUUAUAAGUGAACUUUUCUAAUGAAGUUGGCCAAAAAAGCUGAAUGACUUUAAUUUUAUUGUUAUAUUAACUUAUGUAUUUUUUUUCCUUCCAUGUUUAACAUUGAGCAGCACCUCCUUCCUCUGUUGAAAGAGGAAAGUAUGACAAUUUAUUAUUGGUCUGCUCUAUGUUGCCUGUUUGUCUUAUUUAUUAUUGGUCUGAUUUUAGCCGCAAAUGUUCCUUGUUUCCCAAACACAGAGUUCUGGCAACUAAAUGGAUCCUCUGACAACAGUGUAUUGAACAAAGCUGUCCAGCUACUAUAUACAGUGCACGAGACUGAUCUCUAUGGGUGUCUUUGAUCCCUUCUCUAUUUUUUGAUCCUCCAAGUGUUUCUUUGGGUGUUUAAUGUGGUUACUCCAUGCAUUUUAUCAUGUUCUCCAUACAAGUGACAUUUGAGGCUAAAUUCCGUCCUGGGAGUGCAGCUAGUAUGCUUUGACCAAAUGAUGCUAAAAGCAGGAACGAUCAAAUAAAAACAAUCUUUAAUGGGGAUAAUUAACUUGGAUUUAAAAAAUAAAACUCCUAUGCUUUGGGAUGCUAAAUCCUACUACUAUUAGUUUCUCUGUAACAAAAUGCCACUGUUUUAUGGUACUUUUAUGCCACUUGAUUUUUCUUUUGACUUGCAGGCUUACCACAAAGAUUUAUUGGACCACAUGCCACCUCCAGUUGCUCAUGUUAUUCGACAUCCACCACCAUUACAUCGUGAUAGUUCAGCUGGGAGAAACCCAAGUAAAAAUUCAAGGCGUGGAAGAGAUAGGAGAUCUGGUUCAAGGCAACACCGCAAGGCUGCUGCGGGUAACAGGGAGAAGCAAACCUUUUUGUAGGAGAGGUAAAAGUAGGUGUUUUUUAUUUUUUUUCAUUAUACUGCACGGGGAAGAUGGAUUUGGUUAGAAGUAUUUAGAAUGACCCAAAAACAAAAGCAACCGAAAUUUUGUUUGAAAUUAUUGAUAUCUCAUAUUCUUUCAUUGUUGUAAAUACUUCAUACCAAAUAAGUCCACACCAGCUGCAAUCAUUGAAUGCUUCUUGAUUUUCAUUUACUUGGUGCACGAACAUGCAUUGGCCAUCACUUGUGUAUCUUGAAAAUGUCAGCUUUCAUGCUUUAUGCGUUGUCCAGUUAUAGAAAUGGAAGAUAUACUUUCUACAUUGGCCAUCACUUGUGUAUCUUGAAAAUGGCAGCUUUCAGGCUUUUUGCGUUGUCCAGUUAUAGAAAUGGAAGAUAUACUUUCUAUCCUCUAUACAAUAAAUACCGUGCCAUCCUGAGUGCGGAGCGACUAAUCCUUGUUCUUAGGAGUGUUGUUCAUCUUCUCUUUUGAGCUAUUAAGAUGCACUGCUUAUUCUGCUUUUCUAAGCUUGAAUCUGAUCUUUCCUUCAUGUGUUCUUCCAAGGUUUUGGGAAUGAGUUGUUUAAUUCUAGGGCAUUUGUAAGAUGAGAAAAUCUUAGUGUUUUCAGGCCUACGGAAUGUUUCCUAACCUGUGACUGUACAAGUAAAUAGGAAGAUUUCUGAACUGGCCUCGUCCAUGCUCUUACCUCAAUACCCAGAUUGAAAAUUUUGGUACCCUAUAUGUUGAAUCUCAUGUUUCUCCACUCUUAUCAAAUCCUCAACUAAAUUCAAAAGCAGGAAUUGAAAGUGGAAGGAUAGAUUAUCCUUCAACCCUACAGACAGCACAUAACAUGAUCCUUCAACCCUACAGACAGCACAUAACAUGAAAGGGUCUCACAGGAGAGGAGAGGAGAGGCCUAUCAGCAAGAUACAAGUUCCAGUGGUGAGAAUCGACCAUACACUUAAAAUAACAUACAAUGAAGUAUACCUGCAAAAUAUAACAGCUGUAUUGAAUACAAUAAUGGCUUCUUCUCUGUGAUGAUAAUAUAAUAAUGUGGUUUUGUCAUUCGAUUUGCAUACAGAACAGAGCAAUACAGCUUGAGAUAUGUUAAAAGUAUUCUAUGGAUCCAUUUUUUCAAGUGCAUGCCGAAAGCACUUUUGACAAUUAAAAGCAACCUCAAGUUUUAGCAAGUUCGAGUUAAACUAUAAAGGUUCACACUUUUUAGGCAUUGAUUCUCAUUUUCUGUUAAUUAUUUCUUACUCUUACAGUUCAUUUUAUAAACAAUUUUCUUAAUUCGAUGAUAAAAGAAAUAUCUUCCUAGUAUCAGUUAAAAUUUGAUAACACCUGCAGCUCAACUAAUAAGAUGCAUCGAAGAUGAUGUUGAAGUUAACAAAUUGUCAUGACACUUCCUGUUAGCUUUUUUCUCUUGUUUAAAAUUAUUAUUUUGAAAUUAUUUUAAUAAGCUAAUAUUAAAAAUAAAUUUUAAAAAAUAAAAAAAAUAGGACAUGAUAAAAGUUAUAUUUAUUACACCCUCUGUAGAUUUCUCGUGAGGAAGAAAGGUCGUGUGAACUUGAUCCUCCUACAUGACGAUACAUGGAUUCUAACUUCCAAAAAGCAAAAAUAAAAAAUUCCAAAAAGAGCUUUUCUUCUACAUUUAAGAUAAUUAGAAACACAAAGGGUAGAGGGUCGGCCAGUGAACAUGUGACCCACAAAUGUGGGAUUGCUAAGCACAAGAAGCAAAGAAAGGCAUAAAAAAACGAAGGCAUUUUGUGCAUGGGAGGAAGGUAUGGUAUGGGAUUAUUGAGAGCAAGAAAUCUCUAUGGAUUGCCACUUGAAAGGAUAUAAAACACCAAAUUAUUGCUUUCUCUACCACCUCUCUGUCCAAAUCUACAUACCUUAAUUAAAUAAGUCUGAGCCCACAGAAUUAUUAUAUCCAUUAAUUUAGCUCAAUUAUUAUAUCACCCAUAAAUGUCACAUCCAGAUCAGCACCAAUAAUUUUACCUUCCGUUCCAGUUUCAUUUCCCUUCAAUUUGUUUACAGCUUUAGGGUUUUGGGAUGCAAAAGGGUUUCCUGGAUCUGUCUCUCAACAUCUUGAAUUUGAGGUUAGGAUCCUAUAGUCUUUUAUUGGUGGAUUAAAGGGGUCUUAUAUUGAAAUUUGAGGUGGGGUUUAUGUGGGUUUUUCUUGUUUAAUACACUUUGAUUCAAGAUUUGUUUUCUUGGUACAAUUGGUGGGGGAGAUCAAGUUAUGGUCUUGAUUAAUGGGUUUAUCUUGGUUUUUGAGUCUUGGGUUGCUAUCGAAUUCUGGGCUUUAAAUCUUGAUCAAUGAUUCGAUCGUCUUUCUUCAAGAUCACACAUUUAAAAAAGUAGGUUUGAGGGCUCUUUCAAUAGGGUCGAUGUUACUCUUUUCUUGUAUUGUACUUUGGUAGCUAUGGUUUAAAGGCCUUUUCUUGUUGGGUUGAGCCAUUGUUUCUGAUAGAGUUAAAGAAAGGAGAGGGGAGAGUAGUUCUUUUUGGUGCUUGAUUAAAUGGGAUCCUCUGGCUUCUUUCUGAUAUGUAUGCUUCAUUCUGUGAUGGCUCUAACUUGUGGAGCUUUGAUGAUGUUUUACACAAAUGAGGCCACUGUGUUUGGUCAUGGCAUUGAAAUAGCUACAAAGCUUAAAGGUUCAACACCACAUGACCAACUCCUGGUCCAAACCUCUGAUUCCUUUUCUGGGUUGCUAUUGUUUGCCAUUGGGUUCCUUUUGUUCAUGGUGGCAUUUGUUAAGGACAGAGAGUUCCAGAGUUUCUUUGCUAAAGGUUGUGUCUUGCUACAUGUUUCAAUGGCUUUCUGGAGGAUUUACUUUGAGAGGAAGCUUGAAGAUCUGGCUCGUGAUUUGCCUAGACUAGUUGUUGGUGACAUUGCAUUGGCUCUUUCUUGGGUUUUCUUUCUUGUUUAUUCUUGGAGAGAGAAGUAUGAUUAGCAAGCUACAAGAGUCAGAUAGCCAGUCCAUCAUCGAAUAAAUUUGAGCUGUUAUUGUGGUAGCGUUACGGGUUCUGCCAAGUGGGAUCUUUUUUCCUGGCUCUGUUCUGUAAAUUACAGGGUGAAUCUGGAACUUUAAAGAAAUGGACGCAAAGCAUGGAUCGGAUUCUUGGUUAGUGCGCGUUUUAAAUUCUUGAUUGGAUCUUGAACAAGCUUGGAUUCCAAGAAAAGCUGGAGAUGAGAUCUGGGGGCUGCCAUUUUGUUUUUAAUUGAGAAUCUUCAACUUGAGAAGUUUCUUGCACUUACUGUGGUGCCUCUGUGGGCUUCUUGUAUUGAAUUUCAAUGGCAUUUGUAAAUCAACCUUCUUCAAAUAGAUAUUUGAUAAUAAUUAGAAAUGUGAAUCCCAUAAAAGUUUACUCGUUUGCUGCCAUCUCUUACUUUCCUGGCAAUCUUUUCUUGCUAUUUUUCCAGUCUAUUUGAUUUACUGAUAUUGCAAUUUGCACGCAUCCGCAGCUUUGAGUUUGGGACAAAACUAUGCCAAGACAUUUCCAGGAUUUUGUUAAGCAAUCCGAGGGAGGAAUGAUUUGUCUAAUUAAUCAAACGGCAAGAACUGUAAAUGGAGUCACACCAACUUUUAUUUUUUUAUUUUUUGGUUGUAUAUAUUAUAUGAAUUCUCAUCAUAUUAUAUCAUAUUAUUCGAGCUAUUUCCUCUUUGCAUUUCAAGAAUAAUUUGGAAAAAAAAAUAAUUUUAUUUAUUUAUUUUAAAUUAAUAAUUUUUUAAUAUUUUAAUAUUAUUUUGAUAUAUUGAUAUUAUUUAUCAUCAUAUUUUACAAGUUAUUUUGUAUUUGUAUUUUAAAAAUAUUUUUUUAAAAAAAUAUUAUAUUAUUACUAUUUUUAUUUAUUUUAAAUUAAUUAUUUUUUGGUGUUUUCAUAUUUUUUUAAUGUAUUAAUAUUAAAAAUAAAAAAAAUAUUAUUUUAAUAUAUUUUUAAAUAAAAAUUAUUUUAAAAAAUAAUUAUUAUUAUAAAAUCAAACAGAAUUUUAAUCUUUUAAUUUAUUGAAGAUUGACCUUAAUUUUUGUUGCAAACAUAAAAAAAAAAAGUUAUAAAGAAGGGGGAUUAUACGACUUCUUAUCUUUUCCGAUGCUGAAAUUUUAUCAUUCUAAAAAUAAUAAUUAUUAUUCCUAUAAUAAUAUUUUUUAUUUUGAAAAAUAACUCUUAAAUUUAUAUGGAAGGAAAACUAAAAUUUAUUGAAAAUUAUUUUUAGUUGGUUUGAGAGUGUGAUUAUUUUUUAAAAUAUUUUUAAUUUAAAAAUAUAUUAAAAUAAUAUAUUUUUUAUAUCAUCAAAUCAAAUAAUCUAAGAAAAAUUAAUUUUAUUAAAAAAAAAGAUUUAGCUUCUGUUUCAGCCGCAAUCCGAGUGCUUAUUCUACGUUAAAAAGAAAAGUAUAUGCUGUUAUUGGACCAUGAAGGCUCGGCCCACGGACGCCACAACAUCUUGUCUAGGGACCCGUUUCUUUCUUCUUCUUCUUCUUCUCUCUCUCUGAAGUUUCUAGCAUUCAACCACAACAGAAACCCUGCAGAGCCCCAACUCCUGAAACCUUUGACAAAAUUCUAACGGUAACUUAUUCUUUUCUUUUGCUCUUUCUAUGUUUCCUUGUGUUCAUCUGUUCAUUUAUUGUCUUUUAAGUUGUAGAUGGUCUGUUAUGGUUUAGUGUUUUGCUUUGUUUCUGGUUUUAUUGUUUGAAUAAACUUUUUUCUUUUUCUUUUUUCAGAAUUGUUAUUUGCUUUUGUUUUUUCUUUAAUUCUAAUUGUUAUGAGGAAAGGUCAUCAAAAGCUCAAAUGGUUUUAUCUUGAAGAUGAUUUUUUAGUCAAGAAUGCAAUUUUGUAAUGGCAAAUGAUUAUAAUUGGUAUCAUUAAUUGAUUUUGGUUUCUGGGUAUAUGUUUUGCAUAAAUUUCAAUAUUUAGGUUCCGUUUUAAAGAAGAUACUGUAGUUUUCAAGAUAGUUGAGAAACUGAGAACAUGAUAGACAUGAUCUUUCACUGCUAUGAAAAGGAUGAUCAUGCCGGAGUUCUUAGAGAAAAAGGUCGGAUUUUUACUCGAGGAAAAUGAAUUAUUUAUUUUUUUAAAAAAAAAAGUUUGGUUACUUGAAGUUAUUGAUUGGGAAGCUUUCAUACUGUUGGUUCUGAACUUGGGUGAAGCGCAAUUUUGAACUUUUUAAGUUUCUAUUUUCUGUAUGUUGAUUUUGGGUAUAUAGUUAGUCAGUUGCAUAGAGUACUGCUAUAUAACACAAAAAUAAGUUAGCGAAAAGUUCACAAGCAGAUAAAGUGGCCAGAGAAGUGAUUUCGUUCAACUUUUGGGCUAUUUAUUUUUUGUGCCUGUUCGUGUCCUAUUUGUUACAAAAUAUUCGUGUUAUACAGCUUUCUUCAAUUGGGUAAUUGAGAAGCUUGGUUGAGUUAAGUUGCUUCCUGGAUUUAAAAAGAAAUGGGGUGUCUUUUUUGAGUGGUUGUUUCCUUGAACCCAUAUAUAAGUGCAUUUAUAUUAGGCUUUUGUGAUUGCUUCUCAUGACUGUGUCAGAAUCAGAUUCAUCGGUUUGAUUGAGUAUAAUGUUGACAGAUUUUUGGCCAAAUGUCUAAUUUUUAUGAGGGGAAAUGGGAAUAUGAACAAAAACAAACCUUUCAUGUUGUUGAUUUACCACGCGGAGUACUUAAUCAGGUCUUAAGUUUCUGUCUUAGUAAGCAAAACAGCACUUAAUGGUAUGGCAGUGUUUCAAAUUGUUUGAUGGAGUCGGAUAUCAUACUGAAUUGCUUGUGCUAUGAGCUGCAUUAGAAGGAUGAUUAGUGAUCCCUUUGUAGGAAAACAAAUUGGGAUAUGAGCAAAUCUCAUAUGGUGGAGGACAGUCAUGCAAUGGAACAUCUGAACAAAAAUUUUGAAUUGUUUUAGUGGAGUUGAUUGAUUGGACAAUUUGUAGAACAAGGACUCCAGGUGGCAAAGGCAUUAAUUGGCAAAAAGAGAGAAAAGAAAAGGUGCACUUUUUUCUGAUGAAGAAAAAGAUGUCUCUAUUCACAACAGAAAAAAUCUCCUCUUUUUUUUUUUUCUGAUGAACCAAGCAAUUGCAAGCAGCUAGUAAUGAACAACAAACAAUACAGUAAUGAAGAAAUAGAUGUCUCUCUAUUCACAACAGAAAAACUCUCCUCUAGUGAAUUGUAUAAUCAUUGGAAUUAUAACAACGAAAAAAAACCUAUGUAAUGAGUUUAUAAAUAGAGUAGAGGCUCUUGAAUGAUUUUCUUCAUUCCUUUCUUUAUUUCUUUAUGCCUUACAUGUGUUUUCUGCAGAUUUGUGAUGGGUGGACUGCCUUUGCAAAAUGCUUCCCCUACCCCAGUUGUCAGCCAGGUGUCAGUAAUUACAAAUUCUACUAAAGAAUCAAAGCCCAAGAAGAAGAUCUGCUGUGCUUGCCCUGAAACUAAGAAACUAAGGGACGAAUGCAUUGUGGAGCAUGGUGAAGCUGCAUGCGCAAAAUGGAUUGAGGCUCAUCGACUGUGCCUCCGUGCUGAGGGCUUUAACAUUUGAGUUUGGUAGAUAUGGUUUAGUUCAUAAAUCAAUACCAUUUUGGAAUAUAGAAUACUUGUUUUGGAAUUACACAUACUGAAUAGGAGGAAUAAAGCUAGAAAACACAGGUUUUCUUGACCUUCUGUACUUGCAGUCAUUUUUAUCUUCUUGAAUUAUGAUUUCUUUCCUUCCUCUGUGACAAUUGAAAAUGAUCAGAAUCCUUGGGUGGGGUUGAUAUUGUGUUGUCUCUUCUCUUUGUCAGUGUUAUCUGAUUAUUUUUUGAACCUGUGAUUUUACAGGCAGAGGAAAGUUGUUCCUCUGAUGUAUUGCAUUCCUUACAUGCCAAUAACUCUCCCAUUUGUGAUUCCUUAUUUAAAUUCCAUUACGGUGUUAUGUAUUGUUCUGAACUUCUGAUGAUAGAUUAUAGACUCUCAUCUCGUACUUAUGCAAGCUUAUCCUCACAUGUUGAUUGUUAUCCUUACAAGUAGCAGUUGCUAAGGAUGAAGUGAAAAGUUAUAAUCUGAAGUGUAUUGUCCAGAAUUAGACAUUCUCAUCAACUUUGCUGCAACCUGAAUUAUCCUCUCUGUCACUUUUGAGCCAUUAUAUCUCCCUUGAACUCAAGUGAGCUUGUCGAAGGGCUGAGAAGCAACUCUGAGAGGAUAACUCUGGGUUAGAACGUCUAACUUGGACAAUGCAUCUUCAGACAAUAACAUCUCUUAUCUUCUUAUUUCAUCUUUGCAACUUCUAAUCACUGCAUGCCAGGCCAGUUCUAUCUUCUUUGUCAAUAUCGAGAACAGAUUCUCCUAGUUUUAUAACUCGCGAGUUCUAUCUUUUUUAUUCAUUGCUUCCUAUGCUAAUUGUCAUUUAGUUCAGAGAACAGAUUCUCCUUUUUUUUUUUUCCUUCCUUAUCUGUGUCCAUUGGCUAUAAAAUGGAAAAGGUAAAUAAGAAGAGAAAUCUAGACGUGUGAGUUCAAAGAGUUGGUUGACUGCAAGAAUUUCAAACUGGAAGACAUAUUAGGUCAUCUUUCAUGGUAUUUCAAAGCUUGUACACUACAUUUCAGAUUGUUUGCCAAAACUUCAGUGAUGAAACAGGAAAAUGGAAAAAACCCAGUCUUCUUCUCAUGUUUCUUUUACGUUUUAUGUUUGUAGUCUAGUGAUAAGUUUAUGCCCCUCCUUUAUGGUAUUUGCACUAUUUUGGUCGUUCUACAUGCUGCGGUUAAUUUUCGAUUCUAUUUGGUUUUUACUCAAAAUAAAAAAAUAAUAAUAAUAAUAACUAAACCAAAAGUUUUUAUUAUUUUAAAUUAAUAACCGAAACUGGUUCAAACUAGUUAUUUUAGUUCGGUUCAGUUAAUUGAAGGAAAAAACCGAUUUAAUAAAACUAUCGAGUGUUAAAUCCCCUGCUGCGAAUCACUUCAUUCUAAUCCAGAAAUAGCAUAUUAUCCCGAACGUAAAUAAUAGGAGUAAUAGCAUAAAAAGGAAGGAAAAAAAAACAUAUUUUCUCCCGAUGGAAGCGUAAGUUUCUUCAAUAGGCUUUGUCCAUUGCAGAAGUGUUCCACCAGCGUCCAACAAUAAUGCAUCAUAUGCUUUUUUAACAUACUUUAUUGCUCCUGUAAUGUAAUGAAACAAAGUGAACGAAUCUGAUCUAUUGAAAUAGUGUACGCAUUUAUAUAUAUGUACUAAUAAAUAAAUAAAUAAAUAAAGCACUAAGUAGAAAGGAAAAGUGACCAGACCAGCAGAGUGGAUGGCAAUGGAAGAAGAGCUUGAUAGCUUCAAUUUGAUAGGUUUCAGAGCUUUAAGCAAAUAGUUCCCAUGACAUUGGCCAAACGGGAAAUGGAGAUUUAGGAAUGGAAUUGAGCAAAAUAAAAGAAAGAUAUACCUUUAAAGAUUGCUAGAUACCUUUGUUUUUUCUCGAGACUUUGAACCUUAAAACUGGAGAAGACAAGAAACCAGAGAAGGGGAGAUGCGAGAACUGAGAUAGAGAGAAAACCUGGAGGAGGGCGGCGGCUGGGUUUGACUUGGCCUUUAGAGUUAGAAGAAAAGUUUAUAUUUAUACUGUUUUUCUUUCAGUGGUGGUUUUCUUGCUCACCCCUAAUUACCAUGUCGUGGAACAAAUUAGGAUAAGAGUUGUAUUGAUCUCAAAUAAGCUGAUGCCGUCGUACCAGAGAGCUCAUGAAGAAAAAAAUUGAGGAGUUCCAGUGAAGAUGAUACGCAGAAUAAUCUUGAAUUUAGAACAGUACUAGUUGGCAAAGAAGGAACAAAACUGAAAUGCAUGGUAAAUGAUUUAAAAUUGUGAGAAAGAAAUCGGGAUUCAAUGAUUUUGUUUUGAAUUUGAUGUUCUUAAUUCCUUUCUUCUUCCCCCGUGUCUCCAACCCAACGGUGUCUUGUUUCUGAGUAUGAAAGCAGGAUUCAAUGAUUUUGCUUUGAAUUUGCUGUAAUCAAAGCAAAAGAGGAACUGCUGGCUUGCCCUGAAACUAAGAAACUAAAACACGACAGCAUUUUGGAGAAUGGUGAAGCUGUUUGUGUGAAAUAGGUUAAGACUCAUUGUCCAGUGAGGACUUCAACAUUUGGCAAAUGAAUAUCACUUCGAGGAUAGAACAGAUACGAGGAAUAAAGCUAAAAACCGCAACUUUGCUUGACUUUUUCAUAUCUUCAAUCAUUUUUUCUUGGAACUCCACUAACAAUUGAAAAUGGCCAAAAUGCAUGAAUGAGGCCUUGAUACUGUGUUUGUCUCAUCUCUUUGUCGAUGCUUUAUUCUUGUCUGUACAUGUGAUUUAACAGGUAGACUAAAGCUCCUUUCUCCAAUGUAUUCCAUUCCUUAAGAUGCCAUUGAAGUCUUCCAUUCAUUUAUGAUUCCUUCUUCAUAUUCCUUAAUCAAUGGUGUUAGAUAUUGUUCUCAGCUUUUCUUACGAUGGUUAUUGACAAUUUAUCAUAAGGAGAUCUAAUGGCUGAAAAGCAAGUAACCAAGGAUGGAUAAUUAUUCUACACGCUACUAUAAAUUGAUCUAAAGGUCUUCAGACAGUAACCCUUUCCCCGAUUUCUUCUGUUCAUCUUUUACGACCACUAAUCAUUGCAUGCCUUGCUAGUUGUAUGAUCAAACAAUUGCUGGCCAGGUUACGUACUUUCUUGUGAUCCUUUUGAGUAUUCUCUUUCGCAAUCACUUGAACAUAUUGCUGGCCAUGCCGUUUCUCUUCGAGUUCAGAGAUCUCAGAUUAGAUUCUUCCAAUUUAACUUUCUUUUGCUUUUGGGUUUAUCUUUUAUGACUUCUCAUUGCUGCGUGACAUAUUUCUUGUGGAAUCUUUAAGUGUUGUGUGCAUUAGCAGAAAAUAAAAGGAAAAAAAUAAUCUUGACACGAUCCCAACGAAGAAGAGUUGAUUGCAAGAUUGUGGUCUGGGAAAAAAACUGAUUUCUUAAGCAAUAACGAUCUCAAAUUAACUUGCCUAAUUAUUGUAAUGCUAUCCGAUUGUAAUUCGCUGUGGUGAAGCUAUGCUUUCAUGCAUCAAAUUUUAUGCCAUUUGAUCACAGAGCAUACCGCUUGAUAGGCUAUGAACUCUAGAUUAAUAAAGUUCAGCAAUAUUCUUGCUCUGGUAGUCUAGGUCUACUUUAGCCAUGGAGACAAUAUAGUUGUGAAGUAAAUGAUUAGAAAGAUGAGAGAAGCAGAGUACUACACUAAUUAUAAGACUUCAUUAAAACCACACCAGAGGCCACAGACAUGGCCAAUACAUAACAAUGAAGAAGACACAAAGAUAAAGACACUCACGGACACUUUUGUUUGUUCACUCCACACCCACAAGUACAGAAGAACACAGAUUAUUUAUCAGAAAUUACAUUAUUAAUCCACUCCCAAUCCCACAUCAAACAUGAUAGUUGAUGUGCUUGCUUAAUGACCGCAUGUGCAGGUAGUGCAAGUGCAGCCAGUACCGCAGUUGCACUUGCCAUCGUUCUCAGCUGCUGGCACCUCCAUGACUACGGAGGAGACAUAGCUGCAAAAAGAAUUAGACUCCAUUGUAUUAGCAUCGUGUUCCCAUUUCCUUCAUUAUCAAUCUUAACUGACGAACCAAAAAUGUUUAGGAAUAAAGCAAUAUAUAUUAUUCAUUCUGCUUAUUAAUCAUCAGUGCAUGCUGAAGCUUCAAUCAUGUCUCUCAACGCUAAUUAAGACUACGACAACAGGACUUUAAAGAUAGAGAUGCGAAAGUUACUUCUUCUCAGUCUCGACGAUGCCAGCAGUGUAGCUGCUUCCCUUCUUGCUGCAAAUUAAUCACAAAUUGCAUGGCAUGAGAGAGCAGAUAGCAUAAUGUAUGCACGAAAGCCAUGCAGAAACAUGAACUACCUACUAUACAGCUUGCACAACAUAUAUAAACCAUAAACAAGCAAGAGCUGCUUAAUCAGGUUUGCAAAAGAAGGGGAAAAAAAGAAGAAGAAUUCUUACACACACUGGGUCUUGUCAGCGCAGUCGCAGGUGUCGCAGGUGCUAGACAUGAUGAUUGAUUGAUUAAGCUUAAAUGGAUGAACUAAAAGACUUGGAGUAUGAAUGUGUUCUCUGUGUAGCUUAAUGAGUUGUUAUAUCUUCAAGCCCUGCUCUAUUUAUAGAAGGAGAGAGCGCAUCAGUAAUGGCUGCGAUGAAGAGGAAGGGCAAUUGUGGGACCCUCUUAAGGCAUGAGAGAAGCACACUCUUCUCGAGGAAACGUCCGAAGGAAUCUUGAUAAUGGAGGUAGGGGUUGGCCAUCUUUCCUCCUCUCAUGUCAACCUCAUUUCUCUUUUUCUAUAUAUGUAAAAUUAUCAUGAAUCUUCUGUCAUUUUUCAGGGAAGAUGUUAGCCCCACGCUUAAAAAUCUUCUUUAGCCUAGCAUUGGUUCUAGGCGCUUUAACGGUCCAUUUGACAAUUUCUUCCAUCUUCUUUUCUUUUGUUAACUGAUUUCUCACCUAUCGUUGUAAUUUGCUUGUUUUUUCUUUUCUUUCUGGUUUACAAACUAUAUAGAUAUGGCCUUUGUUACACCGCGUGCAAACAUGAAAAUAAGAUAUUCAAGUGAUAAUAAUUCAAAAUAAAUUAAGUUAAAUUUACUAAAACAUGACCUACAAUAUAUGACCAAAAUAAUUUAAAAAAAAAAGGUCUAAAUAAUGCACCACCGAGUAAUGCUAGCUUAGAGUAUAGUGACUUUGAGUUCAUGCUUUAUUGAAUUAAAAAAAAUAAUGAAUACAAAAACAACUUUAUUUACUAUUAGGGGUGAUUAUUUUCAGUUCGGUUCGGUUUUUAUCAAAAACAAUAACCAAACCGAAAUUUAAAAAAAAAACCGAAACCGGUUCAAACCGACCGGUUUCGGUUCGGCUCGGUUUUUUAGGACAAAAACCGGUUUUGGUCGGUUUUUCGGUUUGGCUCGUUUUUUUCGGUUUGGCUCGGUUUUUUUGGUUUGGAUUUGGUUCGGUUUUUUCAAUUUCAGACUUAUAAAACCGAAACCGAACCAGCUGGUUUUUUCAAAAUUUUAAUCGGUUUAAUCGGUUUUUUUUCACGGUUCGGUUUUUUCGGUUAUUUUUUUCCGGUUUUCUCGGUUUAAUUGAUUUUCCAGUUUUUUUGCUCACCCUUUACCAUGUUUCAUUGUGCCAUUAAAAAAUGGGUUGGAAUUUUUUAUUUUAUUUUCGGUUUCCAUUAAAAAAAAAAAUUACAAAAGCUUAACAUGUAACAUGUAAAAUGAAAUUCAUUACUCGGAUGGUUUUUUUAAAUAUAAAUAAUUCUACAAAUAAAAAUAAGAGUGAGAUGUUUUAACGAAAGAAAAAAAAGAUAAAAGGUACUUAUGAUGAAUGAUAUGUUAACUUCAAAAUAGUUUAAAAUAGCGUUAUAUAAAACACAGAGUAAAAAACCAAAGUUUUAAAUCCCGGCCCGGUUCAAGGCUUGGAUUCUAGGUUUUGACCAGGUCACCGGGUUUUGACCGGGUCGGCCGGGUCAAUUCCUAUUUUAAAAAAAAUUCAAAACGGCGUCGUUUUAGUAAAAAAAAAAAUCAACGGGUUGCAACCGGGUUUUGCUGGGUCAACCGGGUCAACCCGCAGGGUCAGCUGGGUCAUACCGGGUCAUGACUUAUGCAAUUUUUUUAUCAACCCGACCCGGUUCCAGCCCCGGGUCGGGUCGGGUUUCAAACCACUGUAAAAAACACUUCCUCUUUCAUUGCCUUUUUGAAGUCUCCAUAAAAGUUUGUGUAUACUCAAUGUUUCUACUGUAAAUAUAAUUAGCCUUUCUAAAUGUCUAUUAUUACUCAAUAAAAAAGAAAUAAAAAGUCAUCAUUAUAAAUAAACUAUUUAAUGAAAAUUAAAUACUACGUUUUCUUUAUUUGAAUGAUAAAUAGGAAAUCGAAACCUUAAUAAAUAUAUAUUUAUCAGAAAGAACAGUUACGAAUUUUAAAUGAAAUUAGUUUUAUUUUAAAAAAAAAUAUAAAAAUAUCUAAAUAAAAAAAAUAACAAUAAACAUCACAUCACGAAAAAAAGAUUUUCUUUCUUGAGAAAAAAAGAGUCAUUUUCAAGCCUCUCGUUGGGUAGGUGGGGUAUCAUGAUUGAUGCUGUUUGGGACCUUACGCCUCUGCACAAGUGGAUAGAAAGCCACUCUCUUUAGGCAUGUGACUAGCAAGGAGAGAAAAAAUAAUGAAAUUAAAUCAAAGAUUCCCUUAUUUAAUAGAUUUAGGUUAUUUUAUUUAAAAUCGGUUUAAGUUAAGGGUCAUUUAAACAAUAAUUUAAAGUGCUCACUAAACAAAAAUAACUUCAAAAAUAAAUAAGAUAUAUUUAUCAAUUAUAUUUUUAUAAAAUAAAAAUUGCCCCAACAUAACCUAAAAAAACUUCAAGUAAGAAAUAAAGAUUAUUCUAAGCUUCACUUGUUAAAUAUACAUUUUUGAAUACUUUUUUCUUUUUCUUUAAGUUUCAUAUAUUUUCUUUUCCUAAAUAUAAAAAUCGGCACAAACAUCCUCAAAAACUUGUUGAAUAUUUGUUUUUAUACAGGGACUUUUCUCACUCUUUUUUACACGGGGUAUGAUAUGAUUUUUUUAAGGAAAAAGAAAUUUACUGUGAAUUAAACUACAAGUUCAUUAGUAGUGGCAGAGACAUGGGGGCUAGCAGGAGGCCCAAUCCCUGCAAGGAAAUUGUUUUUGCAUCCCUUUCCUUAACAAUAUUUAUAUUUUUAGUUCAAAUAGUAAAACAAUUGAAAUCUUUACCUUGUUUAAUUUUAUUUUUUGGCUCCAUCAUGCUCAUUAGCUAUAAUAUAAUUAGUUAAUUCUAAGUCCACUACAAACAUGGCUAUAUACAUUUUGACUUAUCAUAACCAUAACUUUUCUUGAGAAAUGCAAUAGUUUUACUAUUAUAUAUAUAUAUAUAUAUAUAUAAAAUUCAACUAAAUAUAAAGAAGGACGGGCCAUUGGCUAACACCUGACUAGAGCACAUUAGACCUUGGUUUUUAUAAAAAGUCUAAUAAAAUCUUAAUUAUUUUAGUCUUUCAAAGUUUAACACACAUAUUGAUUAUUUUUUUACAUGAUUUUUCCUUAGUUUUACGUGGGUGUGUUAAAUUCUUACAUGAGAAAAUAUAUAUAUAAAAAAAACAUUUAAAUAUAAAGAACAAUCCAUGUUGAAAAGGAUAUUUAUGAUAAUAGAUAUGGAUACAGAUCACUAGCUUCUCCAGUAUAUAUAUAUAUAUAUAUAUACUUUUGAAGUGACAAGGAAAAGAGAAAAAGACGAGACAAAAACCAAUGGAUUGUCUUGCAAUUGCUUCUCCGGGUUGCCAACUUUAUUCUCUCAAUUUUCUCGGCGAAGAACCACAGCCUUACAUGCAUGUUUCCGAUCUUUUUAUCCACAAGCUGGAAAAGAAAGCAGGCUUGUCCUCUACAUUACCUCUCCAUUUCCUCUCCUGUACGCGUCAAGAUCAAGAUUUUUUGUGAUGGCGUCAAAAUCAUACCACUGGUCAAAUUUGGGAAUUAUAUUUAGGGUCCUUUUCUGUUUUUCAUAUGAUCGAUUGAUUUUUUUUUUUUUAAGGACGAUCUGCCAUGGUUUCUGAUGAAGUCGUACAUCUGGCCUUUUCUUGGUUGUAUCUUAGGCUCAACUAUAUGUGCUUUGAAUGUAGAUUUGAUAUGUUUUUUGAAAAACAAGUUCCUUAGGAUAACAAUGAAACCUCCGAUAUUUAAAUUAAUUAAUUAUAGAAGAAAAAUAAAGUGAACAGGAGGAAGAAGAAGAAGAAUGAAGAGUCAUUGGAGAGAUAGCCAUUAAUGAGAAAGCAAGCACCUUCUAAGAAGACAUGUUAAAGGAGAUAGUCAUUGCUAAGAACAAUAGCGUUGCACUAACAAUUUGUGCGCAAGCAUAGGAGAGUGUGGCGUUGUACUGAAUUUCUUGGACAUAGUAAUUAUGAUUUGUGAUAUGUUGUAACUUAAUUUUUGAACUCUAUUUUUUGUAUGUAUUUUAAAAAAUUAGAAAAAAAAAUCCAAAAAAUACAUCUUUUCAGUAGUUUUAGCUAAUUUUAAUCAUUUUGUUAUUUCUUUUAUUUUUAUUUAUUUUUUAUGUGUAAAAAAAAUCAUAAAAAUCAUAAAAAAAAUACAUAUAACAAUACCUUGUGCAAUCAUCAUUUAUUUUUCAUCUGUAUUUUAUAAUUGAUGAUGAUUACUUGAGAUAGGCUCAAUCAUUCUCUUAAUUGUAUGAUUUUUUUUUAUGGAAACACAUCCUUAAAGAAUUUAGCAUUCAUUGAUUCCAUAUUAGUGUUAAGAUGAAUAUCCUCAAUACUUGACUUGUGUACAAGAAAUCGAUAUGCACUACUAUUGUAUACAUAUGCGACAAAUACACAAUCCACAGUCUUAUAUCAUAUCUUAACCUUUUUAAGAUCAAGUAUUUUUACCUUUACAAGACACCCCCACACUUUGAGGUAUAUGUUAGAAGGUCUUUUACCUUUACAUAAUUUAUAUGGUGUUUUUUCUAACUUUGUACGAAGUACUUUGUUAAGUAUAUAAUUGUUAGUUAGAUUUGCCUCCUCUAUAAGUUCUAAGGUGCUCCCGAACUUAUCGAUAUGGAAUUCAUCAUUUUUUUUAAUGUUUGCUUUUUUACAUUCUGCAAUGCCAUUUUAUUAUGGUAAAUAAGAAAUAAUAGUUUGUUGGAUAAUACCAUUUUAGAAACAAAAUUUACCAAAUUAUGCUUUGUGUUCUCCACCCCUAUCACUUCUUAUUACCUUUGUCUUUUUGUUAACUUGAUUUUUAACUUCAUUCUUGUAAUGUUUAAAUAUUUCAAGAACUUCAUCAUUUCUCUUAAGCAAAUAGAUAUAACAAUACCUUGUGCAAUCAUCUAUAAAAAUAAUACAAUGCUUUCUUCCAUAUCUAGUUUUCACAAACUUUAAAUCACUAAUGUUUGUGUGAAUUAAGUCUAGAGGUUCACUACUGCUUUUUAAUUGUUUGAAAAUAAGGUUUUGUGAAUUUUGAUUCUACACAAAUUUCACACUUGCGAUUUUUCUCAAAAAUCAUACUUGGUAAUAAUUCAUGAUUUAUUAACAUUUGUAUAGAAUUAUAAUUUACAUGAUCUGACCUACUAUGACACACAUUAUAAAACUCGAGUAAAUAAAAAGAUAAGAGAAUCUUAUUAUUAUUUUUUAUCAUUGGCUAUAAUAUUGAUCAUUACAUUCAUUUUAAGGAGGUCAAGGUCAUUACAAAAGUAUAAUUUUUUUUUAUAAAUAUAUCAAUUUUAAAAAUAUAAAUUUAUCAAUUUUAAACAUAAUUUUAAAAUUAUUUUUUGCUCAAUAAUAAGCCCCACACUAAACUAAGAAUGGUGUGGGUUAGGUUCCAUUAUCAUGGAAGUUAUAUCCAAAUAUAAUCGCAUGGAUCUGACUGUGAUUUAUCGGAAGCACAGGAAGACAUGAAUUUGACAGUAAAAUUGAAAGCACUUAUAUUUUAUGAACACGCCAAAAAAUUGCCAUGUGAGCUUGCAGCUAUGUUGUAAUUAAUCCCCGGCCUUCCCUGUCGACAUAGAUAGGACCAAGCUCCCUUUGUUGAAUUAUACUCCCAUGCGCUAUGGUGAGCGUUGACCACAUAUAGACCAUGGAAUAACCUGUUUUGCAUUCCGAUAACUUUUGUUCUUUUUUUUUUUAAUACUUUUUAUAUUAUUUUCUUAAAAAAAAUAUUAGCUUGAUGUUUUUUAUGUUUAUUUUUAUAGUUUUGAUGUAAAAAAUAAAAGAAAUUUUGAGAAAAAAAUCAUUUUAAUAUAUUUUUAGUUGAAAAUCUCUUUUAAAAAACAAUAUGUAGCCCAAUACUAAACAGAUAUGAAAAAUAAUUAUAAAUGAUAAGGAGAGGCUAGAAAGUUACCCACGUCUGCCUUAUGGAAUUUUUUUUUUUUUUGUAAUGUUAUUAAAUUUAACCUAGCCCAAUGAAUUAACAUGGUGAUAUAUGGACCGAACCAAGUUUCAAAGCAAGUUGGGGGAGGGGGUGGUUAACUAGCAUUGCCCAGCUAACUUUGGGUGCACGCGCGCAUUAAUUGAUCUCAUAAAAAUACUUUUUUUAUAUAAAAAUAUCUAAAAAAUUAAUAUCAAUUGGAUUUUCUUUUUAUAAUUUAAAAACAAACUUAAACGAUGAAAUUUUAGAUUGAUUAGGGUGAAAAUAAAUUAACUUCGCGAAUCAUGACCUAGAUAAUGAUUCUGGCUAGAUUUAAUAACGUUUUGUAAUUCAUUUUUAAUCUAAUAAAAAAACACUAAAAAUACUAAAAAAAUCUAAAAAAAAAAAUCAAAAGUGGCUAGGUCUAGGCACUUGGAGCAACAGAAAAAAGGCAUGUUCUAGCCUUUUUCUUCAAGGAACGGAUAAAUUGUCAUUCAUUCUUUUUUUAAAAAAAUAAACAAACUAGAGGACAAGUCAUUUGUGAGCCCAGAUUUCGACCAUAAAAGAAGUAACUGGAAAAUUAAGCUGGAGUUUUUUGACCUAAAAUACCUUUCUUUGAUCUAUUUUCACUUAAAAAUAUCUAAUAAACACUUUUAUAAACUAAUUUCUCAACUCAAACCACCCCUAAAUAAGUUCAAAAACAAAAAAAAUCAAAUAAAAAAUACUUUACUGACCUCAAUAUGUUAUUUAUAGAAAUAUAAAAGCUAAAAAAUUACCUCAAUAACACUUUUCUCGUCAAACCGAACACAUUAACAUCAAAAUUUGGCUAUUUUAUUAAUAAACUGUUUAUAUGACUUUCUUUCUUCAUUCUCCAAAACUUAAAUGCUAAAAUGGAAAUAAAAUAAAAUCUUAAUGGAAAUAAAAUAAAAUCUUAAUCCAAGAUAUAAAAGUUUCAAACGACUAGCACCCAGUAGUUUCUAUUGAAUUAACGAAUCAAAACAGUGAUAUCAUUUGCAUGACUCGGAGCUGUCGAGUAAAUAUAUAUUGAGCAAUUGGGUCAGAACCUAAGUCUAACUACAUGAAUUUUUUCCUCAGUGUGAUGUUCAAAAAAUAUAAAAAAACAGAGAGAGAGAGAGAAAUCCUUCUUUGUGAGUUGUGAUCAACGGAUUGUUGUGCCAGAAAUCAUAAUUGGGCCAGACCUAUUAAUGGGCUCUCAGCUCUGAGUUCAGGCCCUCUGGCUUGGGAGGGGUUGUCCUCUAAACCCAUACCUGAGGGGUCAUCUUAUUGGUGCUUUCCGAGAGAGAUUUUAUCAGCGGAACAGCAAGCGGCAUUAAGGGAUCGCUCGUAAGGUUAUGGCAGAGAUGCUUGGAGUCUAAAUUUCGGAACCGAAAUUAAACUCUAAACCACCGGUGAACACAGUUGCAUUCAAACCAAAGAUUAUAAUCCAAAUCGAGUACAUUAUUUCUUACAAUUCUAAACAUCUUUUCUUUUUGUUUAGACCUGAAUUUGGCAGCCGGAUCGCAUUCCCAGAAAUCCACCGGAGAGUUUGUUUGUGAGGUGUGCCGUCUGCCUCAUGAAUAGUAUGUGAUACAAUGUCAUUUCAUGAGAUAAGCGAUUACAUUCUUUUCAUGAGGUGAGGUGUGGUGUACUUCUUAAACAAAUACAAUGAGACUUGUCAAAUAAUAAAUUUUAAUGGAUUUAGAAUUUGUUUGUUUUUAUAUUUAAGAGUGUUUUUAAAAAAAUUAAAAUUUUUUAUUUUUUUCUUUGCUUUAAUUUUUUUUUGUGUUUUCAAAUGAUUUUAAUGUAUUGAUGUCAAAGAUAAUUUUUUUAAAAUAAAAAAUAUAUUAUUUUGAUGUAUUUCCGAGUAAAAAACACUUCGAAAAAUAAUCACUGUCACUCUCCUGAAAACCCCCUAAGGGUUGAUUUAUUAUCGUGCUCCUACCACCUUUGAUAAUAUUUAGCAAUAUUCAAAUUGAGAUCCUUUUAUGUUUUAUAUUGGAUUGUUUUCGCACGCAUUUAAACAGUGUAUUUUUAAAAAUAUUUAGGGGAUGUUUGAGACAUUGAUAGAUGUUGCUUUUUAAAGUGAUUUUAACUUAUAAAUACAUCAAAAUAAUAUUUUUUUAAUUUUUAAAAAUUUAUUUUUGAUAUCAACACAAAAAAAUAAUCUAAAAAUAAAAAAAAAAUUAAUUUUAAAAAAAUUGUUUUAAAAAGCGUAGUUAGACCAUGCCCGGGAGUGUUUAACCCAUCUUCUACUUUUGCUUUUAAAUACUUUUUAAAAGUUUUUUUGAUGUAAAAAUAUUAAAUUUAUAUAUGUUUUUAGUGUUUUUUUAAUAAUUUUAAUGUAUUGAAAUUAAAAAUUAAAAAAAUAUUUUAAUUAUUCUUAAAUAAAAACUAUUUUAAAAAGCUUUCUCCACUGUAAUUUCGAACAUCCGCUCGCUGAUGAUAAUACCUUUGACCAAACCUCCCCUAAGGAAGAGGACGGGCUACGCAAAACAUCCUCGGUUGCCGUGUCAUCAUGAUACAUUAUUACUGGCAAUAUUUUCACAGGAAUCUUAUGGGAUCCCACAAAUAUAUUUUUUAUAUUAUUUUUUACUGAAUUCAAUUUAAACUUUGAUUUAAUAUUUAUUGUAUCCCACCAUUAUAUAUGAAUUUUAUGGUUUUUCCUUCCAUGACUUGAAAAAUACUUCAUUCAAAUUUUAUUUUUAUUUUUUUUAACUGAAUUACAUGUGCAGCUUUAAAUUACUUUUUCGUAAAGCAAUCACCAAUUUUUAUAUAUUAACAUAUAUCUUUAAUACUUUAGCCUUCAAUUAUUAUUUUUUUAUACCUUUCAUACUUCAUCUUUUAACACUUUAUUGUGAUUAAAAUAAUUUAAUUUAUGAUAGAAUAAAAUAAAAUUAUGAACACAAAAUUUCAAAACAGUUAACACUGACCACUCGAGAUUACCAUAGUUUUGUGUCGGGAAUUUCUACUAUUUGUAGCAUGAAAAGCUUGUUUGAUAUUGUGGUAGCGGUUGCUUUUCAAAGUGUUUUUCGUUUGAAAAUACAUCAAAAUAUUUUUUUUAUAUCGAUACAACAAAACAAUUUGAAAAAAAAAACUUAAAAUAAAAAAAUAUAUAAACAAUUUCUAUUUUUUUAAAAAAAUUCUUGAAACACAAAAUCAAUCUAUCUCAAAAGCAUUUGUGAAUGGGUUUUAUGGCCAUAUGGAUUCCACAUCUUACAAAAUUAUGGGCGGAACUAGAGGGGACACAACUCCCCCAAAGUUAAGAGAAAAAAACUCAUUAAAUUAAGUGAUGGUUCCAAAACAAAUCUAAAUUUUCUUAUGCAAAAUUAUACUUACAAAUAUAAAAACUUCCAAUUUAAUCUUUAAUAUAUAACUUUCAAAUAUAUUUUUAAUAUUUUUUUUAUUAUGAACAUGUUAUUAGACGAUUCAAUCUACGAGAGCAGUUAUUUUCAAGAAUUAAAUCAUAAAAAAACCUCUUUAACUUGAAAUUCCUAGUUGAUUUUAUAUUUACAUGAAUAUUAUCCCUUUCUAGUCGAUUCUUUACAAAUUUAUUUUUAACAUGUUUGAAUACAUUUCUUAAUUUUAAUAUAUUCAUUGACCCUCCCAAAAUUCAAAAUUUAUUGUCAGGCGAUAAGAGGUAUCACUAUCGAAUGACAGGGGGGAAUUAUCUAGUUAAACCACGUGUAAACAAGCCAUUGGCCUAUUAUUCAAUAACUCUCUGACAAGAAUUUGGGCACUAGGCAGCAGGUUAGUACGGACCUUCGAAAACGUCAGUAGAGUGGCUCCCGUCUUUCCUAACUUAUGAAUUCCAUGUCUCAUUUAAAUAAGAUUUUAUGUGCAUUACGUGAACAAUACGUCACAGACUCUGUAUAUCUCUUCCACGACAACCGUCGAUGCAUGCAUCAGCUGCCUUCUCUUCUGUUUCAUUAUUUUUUAAAAUAUUUUUUAUUUAAAAAUAUAUUAAAAUAAUAUUUUUAAAAAAUAAAUAUUAAAACAAUUCAAAAAUAUUUAAAAAAUAAUUUUAAUAAAUUUUUAAUGUUGAUAUAUCUAACACCAUCCAGCAAUUAUUUUACCUAAAAUAAUAGAAUUUACACAAAUCAAGUCAUUUUAUAUUUGCAUGGUUUCGAGUUUUUCUUUUAAUUAAAAUAAAUAAAUAAAUUGAAGUCUAAUGCAAAAUUUGAAAUUCGCAAUGUGAAUGGCCAGAAAGAGAUAUUUUUACAUCUUUCUAAUUUUAUAGCAUUUUAUUUGAUAUUUUAUUACAAGCAUAAAAAGAAAAAAGGAAAUAAUAUUCAUAUUUUAGCGUUAUGUAAUAAUUUCCAUAAAUAAUAUUUAAUUUUAAUUAAUCAACAUAUAGAAUGGUCCAAAAACAAUUCAGAAAAAAACAGUAGAAAGUAAAGGUACUAUAUCUGACGUGGAGUCCAUGAAGAAGUGGGUCCCAUAACCAGACUUUCCACUAGUACAUGUGGAAAAUCCUCGUAUCAUUCCAUGAAAAAUAGCAAAAGUCUACGGAGAAAGACAGAGGGUCCAACUCUUGUGUCAGUACUCUACUACUACCUCAACGAACUUUUUUCUUCGAUCUCAGCCAUUGAUGGAAUUGUUACAGGUAAUCCAUCGGUUGAGAGGUUUUCCAUUGAAACUCUUAAAAUGACACAAUAAUCAGUAUGGUAGCUGAGAAGAUAAUCCAACAAAAAUUACAAUUAAAUACUAAAAAAAUAAAAUUAAAAAAUAUUUUAAGACAUAAAUUAGAAGACACAUAACAAGAAGCAACUCUAGACUCGUGCUAAUCAUCCAUCUCUGUCUUACCCAUUUGCUAGGCGCGAAGCCUUGAAAACACCGAAACUGAACCACUUCUCUCUGUCUUCUCACCAAGCCGAGCCGAGCCGAGCCGCGUUUCAUUCUUUCUUGAUUCUUCCACAAGCCGAUCAUCAUCAUCAUCUUCAUCAAUGAAGCCGCCGCCGCCGCUACACAUCCCUUUGAAUUCCAAGUCUCUCUUCUCUUUCAAUACCUUCUUUACCUUUCCUUUUCUUGAAUUGGAAUUCCUCUUUGUUUCUUUAUUUUUCCUCUCACUUUCUCACUAACGAAACAGGAAAAAAAGAGUGUUCAUGGACCCUGACGUGAUCGAAGUCCCACCUCCUCCAGCUCCGAUUGUUUCUCGCUCUCACACUAAACAGCCAAAAAACAAACAGGUUCUUGUAAAAAAAGUUGUUGUCUUUGUUCAAUUUCGAGCCUUUCUUUUCUUUUUAUUCAUUUAUUCCGAUCAUGAAUUUAUCUUGAUUUUUUUACUGAUUAAUUCUUUUUUCCUGGGGAUUUAAUGUCUCUGUGAUUGUCAAAGUUGGUGGCUUUUUGUUGAUUGCUUGAAUAAUUGAGUUGGUUAUAAUGGGGAAAGGGCUGAGAUUUCGGAGAGGUUUACUGAUAGGUGGUACCCCUUUUGAGCCUUUACUAGUGAGAAUGGCUGUGUUUGAAUGAAAUUAUAAUGCUAACAGUAAGCUAUUUUCGGAGAGAAGGAAUGAUCAACAUAUUUUAGAAACUUGCAUUUGUAGGAAAAGUGGGCUGCUUUGCUUUCUAUUGUUUGGAUUUUUUUUUUUCUCAAAAUGUUUUGUGUUGCAUUUGGCCUAUUCUAAGGGUGUCAGGACUUGGGAUCAUUAAGUAGCCCUCUCAAGCACACUACUUUUGUGGUAAUGUAAUGGUUUUGGAGUUAAAAUGGUUAGUUGUAGGAUGGGUUUGAUAGAUGAAACUAGGUUGGGGAUUAUGUUAGAAUUAAUGAGCGCGAUUUGGAAAGUUUUUAAAGCUAAUUAGGAUUAAAAAUGCUCAGAUACAAGUUUGACUUAUUACUAACAUCUGAACAAUUUUACAUUCUACAUUGAAAGAUGGAUUCGGAGUGGGCUUUAGCUAUUCCAACACUCCGUAAACCAACCUAGUUGGUUGGGUAAUCCGAUCUCACUUUUGACGGAAUAGGGAGCUGUUCUGCGGCGUCGGAGGGAUGAGUGCUACUUUUGGACUUUGCACCUUGGCCUAUGAAGAGGUUGGGAGCGCGCUGCACACUUGCUAUAUCCAGCCAUGGGCAUGGUCAAACCAACUUUACUUGGACUUGGAACCGAUAAAAAGCUAUCCACCAAUUCAUUCUAUUCCUUGUUUUAAUUUAGUAUGAACCUGGUUUGCCACAAGCAAAGCCUUGUGGAGGGCAUCUUCCCCCUUCAUGAAGUGAAGGAGGGAGAGCGCUAAGGGAGGAAAUGUUAGCCAUUUGGUACUAGUGUUCCAAAGCCCUGGCUAUAGCUGCAGAAUUGGGAAUGAAGACAUGUCUUCAGCAGUUCUUGUCUUUGCACUUGUGCAUAGGCCCUCGGACAGCUGCCCAAAAUCAAGGAAAUACUAAAAACUCUCAGUCCUGGAUCUUGUAAGCCCCAGAUUUCAAACUAAGAAAGACUACUUUCUUACUCACUACUAGAGAGAGAAGGGAAAAGAGAGACCAACUAGUUGAACUUGAUAAAUUGACCUGUAAUAUCUUAAGGUUGGGACUAUAUCGGAGUUUGGUGCUCUUUUAUGGUGUUUGGUCAUGGUUCUCUUUCAUCCAAUCUCAUUUCCUUUUCCAUCCUAUAGAUUAAUUUAUUGUUGCAAACAACCUCAGACUUUGCAGCUGCUAUUAACAAUUGGUCUAGUUUCAAUGGGAGACUGUUUCAAACAAAUUUCUAUGAUUCAAGGGUGUUUUGAAAGGCUUAGAUAAGUACGAGCUUCUAGUUUAUGUUGUUUCUGGUGCAAUCACAGCAAUUUUGUUCUUUAUUCUCUUCAACUUGUGUGAUCUUGUAUGGUGCAGAGUUAUGAAUUGUCUUUGGCUCCAACACCAAUUGCUGUGUAUGGGAACACAAUGAGGCAUGGAGCCAUGGAUAUAUUUUGGUACUCCAUUGAGACUUAAGGUUGCAGAGGGAAACAAAUAUAAUACCUCUUUCCUUGUUAAACACUUUAAUUAUCAAAAUUCUAAGUUCAUGAUAGACUUGAAAAGCCAACCUUUUCUAUAUAUAUGGCUUUGAGACGGUAACUACUUGUAAGAGGCUAAAUCCUAGUAACUCAAGAACACAUGUAAUCUUCAUUUUACCUGAUUUGUGCUGUACAAACAAUCAUGAACAAAUUAAAUAAAUGCAAAGACUAGAUACUCUUAAUCCUUACAACAAUGCUGGAAAUUUUACUGGAAUGCUGCUGCUACAGUACCAUAUCCAGCCAGUUUUAGCCCUGCAUCAUUGGAUUUAUCUACUCCAUGGCAGGAAUAGAAUGACUACUCCCUUAAAUGCUUCGAGAUAAAUGGUUUAAGUAGCAGGAAUAUAACACCUACCUAUUUGGUAUUCAGCUUAUUUUGCUGUCAGGUUCUUGUUGUAAUUAUAGUGUUGUAUUUAUUUUUUUUCCAGUUUCUUAAGUUUUGUGCAAGAAAUAUAUCAAAAAUUCACUUUGUAUUGUUAACGUUGCUUUCUUAAUAACUGUUUACUAAAUGAUGUUGAUCUCUUUCCAUGGUUCCUCUUUUUUUUUUUUUUUUUUUUUUUUUUAUCCUUGAACAGAUAUUCUAAAACUAUUUAGGAUAUCUAUAUCUGCAAAGGGAAACAAGUGAAAUAAUGCAAAGAAAAUGAGAGGAAAAGAAAAGAAAAGAAUCAAACUUCUUCAUUAAAAAUUUCUCUUGCUGCGUAGCAUGAGUGGAAAAGAAAGUGAAAUCAAUAAAUUAUAUCUUUUUCCAUUUCAUUCUCAUCAAUAUAUAAUUUUUUUUUUUCUAAUCUCUUCAGGAUAACAUUAGGAAAGUUUCCUUUUCUCAUCUUGACUCUCAAAGAAAAGGCAUUAACCUUUAAUUUCUUUCACUUUCCUUUCACUCCCAUCAGUUCAUGCACUGUAUUUGUAAAAAAAAUAUUUUUUGUAGGUUAUUCUUCAUGAAAUAAUUGAUGUUGACAAGGAUGAAGAUGCCAUUGAUGUGAUGAUUCUUGACAAGAAAAAUGACUUGAAGAACAAAGGAAAAUCCAUAAAAGAUAACUCUGAUGGCUACAGUCAAGCUAAGGUACAUAUUAGUUUAUACACUGUACCCCUGUCAGAGCUAAUAUAUUGUGUUUCUUUUCUUUUCUUAUUGAUAUUUUUAAUUUUUUCUCUAGGACGGUAUUUCCAGUUGUCUUCUCAGUCCUUCCUCUGGAGAAAAUAAUAUAAUUAACAUGGAUGGUCUUGAUUAUGAUGAUGGCACACAUAUGGAUCUUUAUCCUGAUGACUUCAUGGAUUUUGAUGAGUAUUCAUUUUUACAAUCCCAUUUUGACAAGGUGGAUAUUCCUCCUGGAGUUGAGGCCCCCAUUCCUUGGUUGCCAAAUUCUGAUAAUAAUGCUAAGAAAUCUGAUAAUGGAACUAAUUCUUUCAAUACAAACAAUCAAAUGCAAUCUAAUGGUGGUGGUUCAUGGUCAUUGAAGCCGGGCCAUGUAAGCAAGAAGCUGAGUUCAGUGAGUGGUUUAAGUUUUCAUAACCCAAUGGAUUCCAUGAGCCAUGAUUCUGGAGUGAACCUGUCCCCUCCUUGGCCACUUCCCCAAACUGCCCAAGGUAAGGAAGAACAAAAUGUUUCACAACAUGGGGGGAGUGCCUUGAAUUUUGCACCUUUCCAGAGUAAAAUAGAGCUGGUUUCUUCAAGUAGUUUGACUGAUUAUGGUUAUGCAAAGCACUUAGACGGUGUUAUGCUCCCUCAUGGAGUUGGCCCAGCACAUUUGGGACAUACCAAUCCUGCUCCUCCAUUUGUUGGUGGAUUGGAUCAUUUUCCUAUUAUUAGCCCUUCCAUCUCUUCUUUGGUGUCAAAAUUAAAUUACUCAUUUCCUAACCAUACAAGUCAUCCAAAUGUCUAUGAUCCAUUUGAUGCUUUACAUAUCCCUCCUGAAGACAGUGCAGCUGGAACUCCAAAAAAUGUAGAUAAAGAUGAUAUCCUCAGAAAGUUUCAACAAUUUAAACAAUUUGAUACAGUCGAAGAUCAUUCAGAUCAUCACUAUACUAAUAGUUCUUCGAUGAAGCAGGUGAGUAUUUUAGAAGAUGCAACCAUGCUAACUUUUCUUUUAUUUUUCUAUCAAUGAUUUGAUUGCAUAAUGCUAUAGCAUCCUCUUUCUGGCAGUCACCAAAGACCUGGGCAAAGAGAAUUCAGGACGAGUGGAGAAUCCUGGAAAAUGAUUUGCCAGGUAAGCUUUAACCUUUCUGAUUCAGAUCAUUAAUUACUAUUGCAAGUUUGAGUGGAUGUUGGGUCCCAUUUUUUUCUUCUCCCAAGGACCUCCUACCCACCGCUCCCUUCAUGUUGUUCAUAAUGUUUACCUGUUCAGAAUCACAAGGGGGAAACUGGUGAAGGUGUACCGAUGUUUAUGUGUAUGCUAACAAUAAAUGUCAGAAGGACUUUUUAUUUAUUUAUCUCAUCCUCUAUUUCAUUAAUGCUCUUAAGCAUGUUGCCUUUUUUUCCCUUUACUAUCGAGAGAAACUUUAUGAUUUUAAUAGGUUAUAAAUUUUCAAUAUUUGCAUAAUUCAUUCUCACGUUUUGUUUGUCCUACUAUUAUUAUGUCAACAGAUUCUAUAUUUGUUAGGGUUUAUGAAACAAGGAUGGACCUAUUGCGGGCUGUAAUUAUUGGAGCAGAGGGUACUCCCUACCACGAUGGUCUCUUUUUCUUUGAUGUUUUUUUCCCUGCUGGCUACCCCAAAGUACCACCGGUAUGUGAUAGAGGUUGUGUGUGUAUUAUUUUUUCAUCUUCUGUUGAACUGUUUUCCAUCUCAUAAUUUUGGAUUUGUCUGUGCUAGCUUGUCUACUACCAUUCUGGUGGUCUUCGACUCAACCCAAACUUGUACAGUUGUGGUAAAGUAUGCCUCAGCCUUCUUGGGACCUGGCAGGGUAACAAGAAUGAGAUGUGGCAGCCUGGAGUCUCGACUGUGCUACAAGUUCUGGUAUCUAUACAGGCAUUGAUAUUGAAUCAGAAGCCCUUCUUUAAUGAGCCUGGAUAUGAACGAUUGAAUGGUUCGGCAAAUGGUGAAAAGCGAUCUCAGGAGUACAGUGAGAGUACCUUUUGCUUUUCGCUGAAAACAAUGGCUUACACGAUGAGGAGGCCGCCUAAGGUAAGUUUCUUUCACUGCUUAUUUGCUUCAUGAAUUAUUGCUGGUUUAAAUAUUGAUCUGAAUUCAUAGCAAUCCCAGGAGAAGCUUAAAUUAUUGAAAAUAUGGGUAACUUUCCUAUGUUCCAGCACUAAAAUGCCAAUUGGAGAAGUUUUUAGUACAUUUAAAAUAUGUUAAAAGUGAGAACCAGUGGAAGUUUAGGCAGAUAAGGGUACUUGCCAUGAAUAACCGGAACAGUCUGAAUGGUAAUUGUUUCUUGUGCAUAGACCCAGUGAGCACAGACCAGGCUUGGAUUAAUACUAGCAAACUGUGCAUGAGAUUUCCAAGUUGGUGAAAAGGCUUGCUUAUCUUUAGAUUUUAAAACUAAUCAAUUCAAAUCAUGGUUGGCCGCAGCAUUUCGAGGACUUUGUACUGGGUCAUUUCCACAAGCGUGCUAAUGAUAUUCUGGUGGCAUGUAAAGCCUACAUGGAUGGUGCUCAGGUAGGGUGUCUGGUCAACGGUGGGGUUCAGGAUGUUGACGAGGGUGAUAAGAGCUGCUCCAAGAGUUUUAAGGACUGCUUACCUGCCUAUAUUGAUAUACUAAUGAAGCAGUUUUCACAAAUUGGAGUCCAGGACACUGAAAAAUUCCGAACAUCAGGAAACGGGGGUGAUAACUUAUCAGGCAAUGGACCCAUGGCCGCAAUAUAAAUGAGUUAUCGACGAGUAAUCAAUUUUGAGAAGUGACGGAAAGGAUCUUUACAUACCUGACAUGCAAUGCAGGUCUCCUAAUUCAUAUUGAGAAGUACAAAAUUUUAUUAUGGACAAUUAGAUGUUUAUUUCUAUAUGAUUUUUAUUUUCCCAAAUUGUACCUGUACAUGGAUGUAGAUAAGGAUGAGAUCAUAAAGUUUUAUGUACUUGUUCAGUUGCAAUGUAAAAAUGGUGUCGGCAACCUGCAAUCAUGUUGAAAUGCUAGGUACUGGCUGCAACUGUGUUCGAAGUUUUGUUCAUAGAUACAUAACCGAAGCGACAGCUUUCAGUAUUUAUUUUGAAAUUGGUUGUUGUUGAAUUUAGACAUUGUUUUUAGUGAUUAAUGAUUUACUUGGAGUUUCUGGAUGAGUUCUUUUGGGAACUUCUGAAAGUGGAAACAUGUUAGAGAACUUGAUCAACGAUUCAUUCGAAGAUUACACUGCUUGCUUGCUGGCUGUUCAUAUCUCCUGGUAAUCUCGGAAGGUGAUGCUGAUUUUGGGAGAGCUCAUCACAAGAAAUCUAGUUCGGUUCUAAUAAGCCCGUUCCUGCCUUGGGAUCUCUUUUUCUCUUGGACACUCCUCACGGGUUUCACUUUGAAGAUGCCUAUUUAGCACAUAACCAAUAUAAAACUUCUUGUUGUUGUCGGAUUUUAUUGUUCUUUACUUGCCAUAAAAUAACUAACUUCAAAAGUAUUCCAAUAACUCUUUAUUUAAGUGUAUUCAUAAACAAGGUUUAACGAAUUUAAGAGAAUAUAGAUUUAAAUAUCUCUUUAUAAGAAAUAAUCUUUAACUCUAGAAUAAAAAGAAAAUAAAGAGGAAAAAUAGAGCUUGAAAUAGAGGAGUAAAACUGGAAAUAUAGGUGAAAAAGAGUGUAAAAAACUAUAUAGAAUUUGUGCAGAAAAACCAACCCUUAAAACACUCUUUCUUCACCUUGCCUUUUUGACAUGAAGAACUUUUUUUUUAUUAUUUUUAGUAUAAUUAUUUUUACUAUAUUAUUUCCUUAAUAGUUAAGAUUUUUCAGGUCUUAAAGGAGUUCUAGAAGAGUCCAUCACAUAAUCAAGUAAAAUAAGUAUAACUUUUAAUCAUUUGACCAUUAGAUCAAGUUAAAAUUUUGAUAGAAAAUUUUAAAGGCUAUUUUUUAUAUAGGGUUAAGAUUCCAUUGUCAUAUGAGGUCAAUAAAGCUUUUAAAUAAUAUCUGGAAGUUACCAUAAGACUUUUUUUCCCCUUGUAUUUAGAUUGUUUUUUUCUAUUUAGAUUAAGGCUUUAAAUUUAAUUAUAAUUUUACUAAUUAUGAUAUUUUUCUUGUAUUUAAAAACUAUCCUAGGAUAUUUUUUUAUUUGAAGAUUAUUGAAUUAAAUAAUUUUCUGAAUUAAUCAGAGUUUUAUUUACAGUUAAAAGCUGUAACAUGAGGGCUUGAGAACCCUAGUUUCUUUCUCUAUAGUCUAGGGCUAUAAAAAUUUAGAGGGGGGGUGUCAAAGAAUCAUAGUUUUUAUCCAUAUUAUACAUUGCUUCAAUUAGUAUUACAAUAAGUUGGUCUAUUUGAUAGACGAAGCUGAUAACAACCUAUUUCACAAUGUAGAAAUGGAGGUCAUCUAGGAUACUAUGAGGGCUUGAAAGGCAACACGAAAAACCCUAUAAAAAAAACUUGGUUGACGGGAGCAUUCUGUAACAAACUUAACUAAGCAGAUAAAUCAAUUAAGAUGGGUAAGCGCAAAUAAGAAUAAUAAAAAGGAGAGUAAUGCAUCUAGAGUCUUACUUCGGGGCAAGCCUAACCCUAAAUCUAUUUUUGAAAAUUCACCUAGACAACUAGGGCUUUGUUAGAUCAAGGGCAAGCCUAACCCUAGGUCUAUGUAAAGGGUGAAGAUGAAUUUUAUAAGGGUCAUAGGGCUUUGUCAGAUCAAGGUAGAUCAACCUAAGAGACAAAAAUCAAUCCAUAUGAUCGAAGGUCUAUAUGAGUUAUAACCUUUAAUUUAAUUAGGAUUUUACUAAUUAAAAUGUCUUUCUUAUAUUUAGACAUUUUUGUAAUUUAUUUUUAUUUAUUUAUUUAAAAAUUUUUUCUGAAUAUAUCAUAAUACAGUUAAGGGCUCUAACAUUAGGACUUUAGAAUUCUAAUUUGUUUCUAUGUGAUUAAGGGCUUUAAACCUUUAAGAAUUGAGGAACCCUAGUUUCUAUCCAUGCUAUACAUUGUGUCACUUUUAUAGAGAAUAUUAGGAAGCAAAAUCGACAGAAAACCCUCUAUUAUUAGCUUUGGUUACCCUCUAAAAAACUAGAAUUAAACUAGAAUGAUUUAGCUUUAAGUCGGUUGUCUUUUAAGGUGACAAAGCCUUUCAAGUUCUGAGAAUUUUUUUUUGGAAAAAAAAACUAAUCAUAUUCUAUCAUUCAUAGGUUGGAUUAGGCAAAACAAUAGGCCGACAAAAAUUAAUUCUUUAUUGGCCAAAAAAUUAUAAACCCAAGCUCAAGUUUAAAAUAGGUUGCCAAAAAAUAGCCUUUUAUAGCCCAAGAAAAUAUUUUACAUUAAACCCGAGCUCGAGCUGAAACACAUGUGAGUUUAAGCUAAAAACUCAAUUUGCUUAGAUCUACCCUCUAAAAGCUUAAGUGCUUUUUGGGUCCAAUUUUAAUUUUUCAAAUCUCUACAAAAUAAACUACUAGGAAAGCUUGUUUAUCUUCUAUGGAGGAUAAAACUUUUAAAGAGUUAUGAGUUUCUAAAAAAAUGUCUACCAAGGGUAGAGUUUUUUUAGACUAAUUUUUUAUUCACCAUAAUUUAUUUAAGUCAUGUUAAUGUUUUAUGUUAAAGAACUUAUAUUGAAGAUUAAAUUCUAACAAAUUUCUAGCCUAAAAGUGAGUUGAACCCUUAAUCUUGUCUCAAAUGUGUUUAUUGACAAUGAUUUUAAAUGAAAUUCCAAUAAAUUUAGUAAUAACAAAACCAUGAAUAAUUCAAAUUUACUGAAAUUCUAAGAAUAAUGAUGCAGGAGUUAGGAUUUAGAUUGAAACCCAAAUAGCAAUAGCAACAUCCCAAUGAGUUGUUGAAUAAAGUGGCCAAAUAACCCUCAUAAAGGACUAGCCAAAUAAAUGUAAUGGUAAAAAUUAAUUUGAGAACCUUGCAAUAAUAUCUCCAUAUUAUUUGUCUUGGUCAAGUUGACUUUGUGGAGUUUGACGACUAUUUUAUGGUUGCACUUAACUAGAAUUUUAUAAGUAAAUAUGAACUUUAUAGGAGAUAAAAACAUUAACAUUAAAAAUAAUAAUAUUUAUCUAGAUAUUUUGCAUACUAGGAUAACAAACUCCUCCAUAAAUAUAAAUAAAAGCUACCAGAUAAAGAAAAAAAAAACCACACAAAAAUCAUUUUUCUAGAUAAAACCUAAAGUCACUCACCUAUUAAUCUGGAACAAAUUCUUUUUUUUUGUUUAGAUUAAUUUUUUUUUCUUGCAUAAAUUAUAAAAACUAUCAUUGGUAUCAAAGCCUAAGGUUUUUAUUGUGGUUCUUGUAAUUUUUUACUUGCUUCAUAAAAUACUACUUGGUACAUCUUUUUUCUUCCCUCUCAGACCAUCAUUGUGGUUAUAAUUUCACUUUUUUUUCCAAGGCAGAUAAGCAUCAAUGUUAGUCAAUAUGAAGUAAGGUAUACAUAAUUAUAUCAAGGUCCUCCAUUAUUGGUUAGUUGUCUAAUAAUUUUUUUUUAAUUGUUAUAAUUUUGGUUAGGAAGGUUGUUAGUCAGGAAUUAAAAAAAAUUGAGAAAUUGAAUGGUACCAAUUUUCCUAUGUAAAAGCGUUGAAUUUGUCAUAAUCUUUUUCAAGACAAAGUUUAUUGCAUAAUUGAUAUUGGUGUUCCACUUCUAUCACUUGAAAAUGCUAGCUCUUCUAUUAUAAGAGUACUAGAAAAAUCAUGCUUAUUUUUAUGGAACUUGACAUAGAAAUUUUGUUUGAGGAGCAUGAUUUUGCUAAAAAUAUAUUUGUUACCAUCAUUAAUGCUAUUAUUAAAUAUGGUUUUAUAGCUAAUGACUUUGAUCAUUGUGCUUAUUAUUGGAAUAGUAUGGAUACUUUUAUAUUUACAUGUUGAUGAUAAUUUGAUUGUUGGUAAUGAUGUUACAUUGAAAUGUUUUUUAAAAUCUCAUUUUGAGAUGAAAGAUUUAUGUGAAGCAUUAUAUGUAUGGUGCAUCCAAGUUAUUAGAGAUAGAAAAUGUAGAACUCUUUAUAUAUCUUAAUAUAUAGAUAAAUAAAAGAUAAAAAAAGAUUCCAUCUGGAUAAUUCUAAUGCAAUGGAUACUCUCAUUUAUAAACAAAUAAAAUUAUAUAAGAAAAUAUGUCAUGUUAAUGAAGAUGUUGGAGAAAAAUGUUAAAUACUCCAUAUGCUUAAGUUGUAGUAGUAUAAUGUAUGUUAUGCUUUGUUCAGGAUCUGAUAUUAGUUUUGUUGUAAGUCUUGUAAGUAGGUUUCAAAGUAAUCCUAGAGAAGUUUAUUGGUUGGUUGUUAAAAGAAUACUUAGAUAUAUUAAAGGCACAAAAGAUUAUAAUUUGACAUAUGAUAAUAAAGGUAAAAACUCGAAAGUUAUUAGAUACUCUGAUGUUGAUUUCUCAGGUGUAGCAAAAAAAAAAAAAAAAACAAACAAACAAAGUUGUGUAGUUAAAGUACCAUGAAAACUGAAUACAUCGCAUGUAUCAACUUAACUUUUGAAAUUAUAUAAAUAAAAAGAUUUCUUGCAGAUCUAAAAGAAAUUAAUGAUAAUCCAAUCAAAAUUAUGUGUGAUAAUCAAGUUGCUAUAUCUAUCAUAAAAAAUGGUGAGAUUAGUACUAGAGGUAAACAUAUUUAUCGUCAAUAUUAUCACACAAUUGAUGUCUAACAUGUUUAUAUUUAAGCAAUUGAUUUAAUUUAAUUCAAAAUGAAAAUUUAUUUUUUAAAAAACUAAAUUUAACAAAAAAUGAUAAAUAAAAAACCUAAGUUAACUCGAGUCGUUUUCAAAAUUAGUGAAAAACCCUAUAGAAAGCAAAUAAAAAAAUAAUAAAGUUUAAUAUCUAAUUAAAUCAAAUAUUGAAUGAUGAAACUGAAAAAACAAAAGCUUAAAAAAAGAGAAAAAAAAAAAGAAAAUGGGUGAAUCUUUUAAAACUGGGUCAAUCUCUCAAAUUCACAAUUCAUUAAAUUGUAGACCAAGACUCAAUCAAGAAGCUCAAUUCAAUGUUAAAAGAUAAAAUAAAAAAAUAUCAAUCUAAAAAAACUGCCAAAGUAAAAAAAAAAAAAACUUAAGGAGAAUGAAAUCAUAAAAAAAACUAUAAAUGAUAAUAGAAAUUAAAAAAAAUAGAGAAAGAAUUUAACAAAUUAAAAAAUUAAAGGAGGAUGAAAUUGAAAACAAAAUUUAAUUUUAUAAAAUUCAAAUAAAAGAAUAUCAAUUGAAAGAACAUAGAUUAAAUCCAAAGAAUGAAUAAAUUGAAGGGUUGCUUUGAAAUAUUUAGAAAGUCAAGCAUAAAAAUCAAGGAGGAGAGAGGAAAAAAAAAGAAAAAAAAAACAAAUCAGUGUUAAACUAGAGGGAAUUAAGCCACAUGCACCACUUAUAGAGGUAAGCCCUAUCUUGACGAAUCAAAAAACACCAAAGAAAGCUUUUUUGGCAACCAUAAGCCACUGUAUGUACCACUUAAACACAACGAGGCAGCUUAAUUGCUAGCGUGUAUAUGAACCAUUAUAUAUAUAUAUAUAUAUAUAUCAAAUCGCUCUUAGAACUACAUGAUAAUCAUAAGAAAUGAAAGUACGAAUAAUCCUAUGGAAGCAAGGUAAGGAGUUUUUUUAAUUUAAAAUGCAAUACAUUCAUUUUAUUGUGUUGUGAAAAGUAAAAUAUUGAAAAAAUCCCUUCACCUUAGGUAAAUAAUUUUUUUCUUUUAAGAGCAAUUAAAUAAUUAUACUAUUAAAAAAAUACAAAGACCUAGCUGAAUAAAUUGAAGGGUUGCUUUGAAAUAUUUAGAAAGUCAAGAAUAAAAAUCAAGGACGAGAGAGGGAAAAAAAUGAAAAAAAACACAAAUCAAUGUUAAACUAGAGGGAAUUAAGCCACAUGCACCACCUAUAGAGGUAAGCCCUGCCAUGACGAAUCAAAAAACACCAAAGAAAGCUUUUUUGGCAAUCAUAAGUCACUCUAUGUACCACUUAAACACAACGAGGCAGCUUAAUUGCUAGUGUGUUCAAUGCAUAUAUGAACCAUUAUAUAUAUCAAAUUGCUCUUAGAACUACAUGAUAAUCACAAGAAAACCAAAAUGAAAGUACGAAUAAUCCAUGGAAGCAAGGUAAGGAGUUUUUUUUUUAAUUUAAAAUGCAAUCAUUUUAUUGUGUUGUGAAAAUUAAAAUAUUGAAAAAAUCCCUUCACCUUAGGUAAAUAAUUUUUUUUCUUUUAAGAGCAAUUAAAUAAUUAUACUAUUAAAAAAAUGCAAAGACCUAGCUGCCCCCGAUCCAUUAGAUAAUCACCAAUAGAGCUUGUGAAAAUACUCAAUUACUCCUAAUAGAUAGUUAAGUUUUUUAGAAGGGCAAAAUAAUAAUUUUAUUAUUCCAAUCCACAAUGAAUCAAGGCAUUUAUAUUAUAUUUUUCUCAUAAAAAUUUAUCGAUCCAUUAGAUAAUCACCAAUAGAGCUUGUGAAAAUACUCAAUUACCCCUAAUAGAUAGUUAAGUUUUUUAGAAGGGCAAAAUAAUAAUUUUAUUAUUUCAAUCCACAAUGAAUCAAUGCAUUUCUAUUAUAUUUUUUUCAUAAACAUUUAUGAGAAAAAUAUAAUAGAAAUGCCUUGAUUAAUUGUGAUUGGAAUAAUAAAAUUAUUUUAUGAGAAAAAUAUAAUAGAAAUGCUUUUAUUCAUUGUGGAUUGGAAUAAUAAAAUUACUAUUUUACCUUUUCAAAAAACUUAACUAUCUAUAUAUUCAUGAGAGGAGGAUUGCACGCUUGCAAUCAAGCAAUCUUUUAUUCAUCUACUAUUUUCUCACGUUCGUUACAAUCAGUUUACAUGUUUUUCGAGACAAAGUGACAAUAUUAUAGGUUGCUUUAUACAUUUAUAAAAAUUACAAUUUUUUUAGAUAUUAUUAUCAAGAUUUGAAAUUCUUUCUUAGAAAAAUCUUUUUAAACGUCAAGCGAACCCUUCAAGGUUGAUAAGUUUUAAUUUAAUAAUAACAAUUAUCAAAUUAUUUGUUUGGGGUGCCCUUCAUGGAGUCUUGAAACAAUAAAACAUAGGGAUAUUUGUUUAGCGUAAAAUAAUUUAUUAAUAAAAAAUAUAAGAAAUUAAUAUAUUUUUUUACCAUAUAAUUUUGUAAAAUACUUUACACGAAAAAUAUUUGAAAAUAUAAUUAUAAUACAACAAUAAAGACUAGUGAUAUUAAUUAUUGUAGUAACGUGAAGUUGGAGGUGGAGGUUGUUAUAGAGGUUGUAAUGAUAGUGAUGCUAGAGUAGUAUCAAUGAUGAAAAUGAUGAUGAUAAUUAUUGUAAAGUGAUGUAGAUGACGGUAGUAAUAUUUAGAGUAACAUAAACGAUAAAGAUGGUGAUAAUAAUUGUUGUAAAAUGAUAGAGAUGACGGUGGUAAUUUUGAAAUAGUGAUUGUGGUGAAGAUAGUAACAAUAAUAAGGUAAUUGUUAUGAGGUGUAUGGUGAUAAUGAUGAUAAUGAUAAUAUGGUGAUGAUGGCAAUGAUAUAGAUAUUUCGGUAGUUGAAAUAGUUGAAUAAUAAUAUAAGUGAAUUAGAUUGUAAAAUACUUAUAAAAGAUAAAUAAAAAAACAGAAUAUAUAUAUAUUGCUUGAGUUUUUUCAUUAUUUAUUAAGGAGCAUUAUAGGGAAGGAGAUUAAAAUUUAAAAUCUUCCUAGCAAAGCAACUUGGCCUCGACAAAUCAUCACGAACACGGUCUCUAGAAACUUCCUUCAACCUUCCCUACUGCCACGUGUUCAUGCCCUCCACCGUCGUAAAACCCUAAACCCUCCCUAUAUAAAGCCCCUGGACAAGAUCACUACCCGCCUCCAAAACAGAGCAAGCAAAACACUUCUCUAGUCUCUCCUCUCAAAUGGCAACCCCAGCAACAAGGAUGAUGCUGUUCAAGAACGGCAAGUCGUUCCCUCUCAAUCUCCUACCCGGCUCUCUUUUAGGUGGGUCCAAUAACAUCACCAGCCAGUUCAUGAUUUCUGACCCUGCACUAUUCCAACCACAGCAAAAGCCCAUCUUCAAUUUACUUGGGGGUCUGUCUAAUGCUGGUCUUGUGAGUGACAUUAACGGGGCUUUGAAUUGGAGAUUUGGUCGGUUCGGAGAGAUGGGUCGUGUGGAGGCACGUGUGAAGAGCGAGAGAGUGAUCAGUGAUGAGGAUGAAGAAGAUGAUGAGGACGUUGAUGAUGAUGAUGAGGAGAUUGAGGAUUUCGAUGAAGAUGUGGAGUAUGAGGAUGGAGGUGAUUUUGAUGAUGAUGAUGACGACGACGAAGACGAUAGGAAAUGAAAGUAGAGUUUUUUAUUUGUUUAAACAAUGUUUGCCAUUUCUCUUCUGAGGUUUUUGUAAGGGGAUAUUAUCAGUCUAUUCGAUGAACUCUCUUUUCUUGAUUACAGCUUCUUUGCACUUUUACUUUCCACAAGUAUUAUACGUGUUUACCUUACUGAUCUUUCUUUCUUUUUCCUUUUCUUUUCAAUUUAUGAUUUUCUUUCGAGUAAUACACUCGUCUAUUCAAGACUUCGAAGUCCUGCUGCCUCCUGCAGGGCUUUUCAGGUAGGGAAAUGGCACUGCUCGUUCGGUGGCCAGUCAUCUUUUAGCCAUUAUGCAUCAACUUUCUUGCCAUUGGUAGGCGAAACUAUGCAAUCAGCUAGCCCUGGGCAUGGAGAUGCUGCUCUACAGCGCGUCAGUGGGAUACAAGCCAUCAGUGUUGGCUUUUUAGGUGAAUCGAUUGAACGUGCUUAAAACUAAACCGCCAUGUAUGCCUUAUUUGCAGAUGAAAACACUUGAAUCUAACUCAGCAAAGUGCAGGGACUGCAAACAACAGAACGUUUACUUGUUCAUUCUUGAUAACUCUGUACAUCUAAAGUUGAGCCUUCGUGUAGACCCGUGUUAUUUGGAAGUGUCGGGCUUGUCAAAUUCUGAACUUUAGAUACGGUGACACCAUUAAUGAGUUUCAAGAUUUUAUACAGGGAUACGGAGAUGCUCCAAUUGAUAUCUUUAUACGCCCACUUUUGCUAUUUGGCUCCGCCUAAUGAAUUGAUGUCAAGCCCAAUACUUAAAUAGCUUCAGCACUGUACCCAUUGGAAAUUGCAUAAUUAGGCUAAAUUAUAAGUUGAAAAACUGAGGCUAAUGUGGAAUGGAGGUCCAAAACCACCUCCUUCUUCUUCUUCUUCUUCAUUUUUUUUUUUUGUCUUUUAGGUUAAGUUAACAGGGAGUUUUCGUUUUUGUGAUUAACCUACUUUUUAAAAUGUUUUUAAAUUUUUUUUGUCUAAAAAAAAUAAAUUAUUAUUUUUUUAGGUGCUUGUUGAUAGUUCUAGAUGUAAAAAAUAAUAAUAUUUUAGUUUAUUUUAAAUUAAAAAAUAAUUUUUAAAAAGACUAUCACAUUAUUAAACAUACAUUUAGUUCUUUACCUCAAAAUUCAAAAUUCAAAAAAAAAAAAGACAAGUGAAAAAUAAAAAGAAGGGUAAUUUAUUAUUUUUUUGGUUAUUGCAUCCGCCAAAUAUUUCUGGUUAUUGCUUUUCUUAUUUUUUUUUAGUUUUUUUUUCAAAAGAAAGGUAAUUUAAAAACUCAUUUCCCUAAACAGGGUUUUUUAAGACUUAAUUUACUAAAAUCAAAAGAAUUUUUGCCACAGUUAUUAAGCUUGUUCCAUUCAGGCGGGAACUAGCCUUGGGAUUGGGUGAGCAUCCACAUUCUUACUCACUGCCAUGGCUCUUUAGCUAUAAUAGCUGCAAGAUAGAAGUUUUUGCAGAGCAUCCUUGUUCUCUAAAUAACUCGUUAUUUUGUGUCUGUGAACAUUACUGGCUACGCAUAGCGAGUACUGUAGCACUCUUCAAUUUGUAGCAGGAGACGAAAGGAAUUUGCAGGAAAAGGAAGAAGGAGGGCUUCACAUUAGCUUACCAGAUAAUCACAAUCUUAUUUCUGCUUUUCUUCUCUCUUUGGAUGUUUGUUUCUAGUUUCAUUGUUGAUUUUAUUUUUCACCACUGCUUUUAUGAGUGCUUCUUCAUUAUUAUAGAAGGUUCCAAAAGGAAGGAAAGAGGGUGUUGGAGUGAGUUCCUUGGUAAUUCCUUUGCCUACUGCCACUUUUUUUUUAAAAUUAAUAUAGAUGUUCGGACCAGUUUGCGCAUACCUCGACUGAUUUUACAGGCCCUGAAGUUAAUAAUCAUGUAAACUUCCAGUGGCAACCACACCACAGGGGGAGCAAACCCUCUAAUUCCAAGUUCUUACCACUAGGCCACCUACUAAAUAGUUGACCUAAUGCUACUCUUUUUUUUUUUUUUUUAGUUUAACAUGGGUGUCCGGGCCAGCUUGCGCGCACCUCGACUAAUCUCACGGGCCCUGAAGUUAACGACCAUGUAAGCCUCCAGUGGCCAUCAUAUGAGCAACCACAGGGCUCGAACUUGAGACCACAGAGGAAGCAAACCUCUUGAUCCCAAACUCUUAUCACUGGACCACCACCUAGAUACUCUUUAAUCUACCAUGUAGUAGUCUUGAAACUUUUUCUUGUUUCUUUCUUGAUUUGCCUCUCAUCCUCAAAGUGCAUGGACAUUUCUCAUGUUUGUAUGAUUUACACGUGCCAAUUAUAUUUUUUAUUUAAUUAAUGAUUAAUUUGUAUAAAAAAAUUAAAUUGCUUCAAUAAAACUGGUAAUAACAGAAUAGUCAGAGUGAAAAGACAAAAAAAUCUUUAGAAAAAUGGUUUAAUUUUUUUAUAUGAUAAACCUGUCAUUUUACUUUAUUUAAAAAAAAUAAAAGGAAAAGAGUAUCCAUCUUAACUAGUUUUAAAAAAUAUAACUUAGAGGGUAAUUAGAUUAUUUUACAAUUGAAAAAACAUAUAUAUUCCUAGCAAAUUCAUUAAUGAUUAAUGGGCCGAAAUCAAAACUACCCCAACGCAAGAUAAUUAUUUAAAAAAGCAAAAAUAUAAUUACAAUACUAUAGUGAAUAAUAAAUUGUGUUUGUAUAUAGUGAAAAUGCCUUCAAUUUUAGCCUAGUUUUUAUUUUCAGUUAAACAUUACUCAUAUUACUAAAUUAAAAUUAAGAUAAACAUGAGUUGUAGUUGCGUUGAUAAGUUAAAAUAUAUAUAUAUAUAUCAAGUUGACUAGACUAGCAGGGAGAAUCGAGCGAAAUUUUCAUUUGGUGGGCAAAGCUCGGGGAAGAAAAAUACUGAAACUUUAAGUAAUGAGGUCGAGGUUCAAGUUCCAUUCUAGAUUUUCUCGACUUUGUGUUGGGAGAUCUAUAUUCCAUUAAUUAAUAUUAAUAUAAAAAGCUGAAUUAUAUGAAAAAAAAUAUUAUAAUUAUUCUCACAAACCACUGUAAUUGCUAUAAUAUUUUUCCAGCAUUGAUUAUGCUGACAGCAGUUGCAAUGGAGGGUUAUAUGGCUUAUUAGCCACCAAUUAACCCAAAAAAAAAAGAAGCUAAUUUAUAUGAAAAAAAUAUUAUAUUCUGUGGAUUGCUAAUCUGAUAUAUGACUGAUACUUUUGGUCAAUGGAGCAAAUUUUCAGAUUGAACGAAGCUGGCUUUAAGUCUGAUGCAUGAAUGACUGGACUGCUGAACGGGAGAGGGAUGGGACACUUAUAACGUGGAAGACGGACUCGACAUUUCCAAGUUCUUGCUGGACCUUAUGUUUAAGGAAUGGACUCUUGUUCUCGAAAAGAAAUGGAUCAACUUUAGAAAUUUCCAAGUUCUUGUUGGACAUUCUGUACAUUUAGGAGAACAUACGUUUAAGCAAAUCCUUGUAUCAAUCAAGGUGUUAUUAAUGUAUUUUUUAGUAGAAUUUUUUUUUUCUUCUAAACUAUAUAAGAGUUGACUUGAUGUGAUUUGAUCAGGUUGGUAGAUUCAAAGAUAACUCGGAUAACUGAUAAAAUUAUAGUUUGACUAAAAUAACCAAGAUAAUAUUUUUUAAAAUAUUAAAAUAAUAACAUAUUAAAUUAACAUGGUUCCACUUAGAUUCAUCUAUUGAAUUCGUUAUCCAGGUCAUGAGACCCUGAUGAUCCUAUAGAAAACAAAUAAUUUUUUUUAAUUAAACUCAAUUCUCAAUCAACCUAAAGUUUUAGGAUGAAAUUGAAAACAACUUUAAUAAAAAAAUAAGUUGAGUCAACUCGGGUUAAACUAACAAACCUAGAUCAUGAGAUCGGGAUAACCCCAUAGAAAGUAAAUCAAAACAAAUAAUGAAACUCAAUUCCUAAUCAAUUCAAUGUUGAAGAUACAAAAAGCCAUCUUAUUCAACCCGAGUCAACCGACCAAAUCCGUGAUUCAGGUCAUGACACCAGGAUAACCUCAUAAAAUAAAAACCAAAAAAAAUUAUGAGGUCUAAUUUCCAAUCAAUUCAAUAUUAAAGAAUGAGAUUGAAAAAAUAUAAACUAAAAAAUAAUAAGAAAAAACCAAAGGUCACCGGCCUAAACCGCGACCCAGGUCAUUAGAAUGUGAUGACCUCAUGGAAAGAAAAUGAAAAUAAAAUUAUGAAACUUAAAUUCUAACCAACUCAAUAUUGAAGGAUUAAAUUGAUAAUAAAUAAAUAAAUGAUUUAGGUCAACCUAUCAAACCUUGAUCAAGAGAUUGAGAUAAAUGGAUAGAAAGAAAAUAAAACAAAUAUAAAAGUCAAUACUCAAUCAACCCAAUGUUGAAAAAUAAAAUUAAAAAAAAUAUUCAAUAAAAAAAGAACAUAAAAACCUAAGUUAAUCUGGCUAACUCAUAAGACUCGCGACCCGAGUAAUGAGAUCAUGAUAAUCCCAUAGAAAAAAAAUUAAAAAACAAUUCUGAAGCUUAAUUUCUAAUCAAUUUAAUGUUAAAGGAUGAAGUUGAUGAAAAUAUAAUUAAAAAAAAAAGACAAAAGAAUAACCCAAGUAAUAUGGGUAACAUGUAAAACUCUUGAUCCGAGUUAUGAAACCAAGAUAACUUUAUAAUAAGAAAUCAAAAUAAAUUAUGAAGUUCAAUACCCAGUAAAUUCAAUAUUAGAGAAUGAAAUUAAAAAAAAAUAAGCUUGAAAUUAUAAAAAUAAAAAUAAAAAUCCUCUAAAAUUUUGAGGAUCAAAUUAAAAAAGAUCUUGACAUUUCACUAUUUAUUUCUAUAUUUAAAUUCUAAGACUUUUUUAACAUAUGUUAAUUUGGACUUUGAAUUUUUAUUAAGACAUUAGUUUGACAAGAAGGUGUGUCUCUAGAAUCUUUUAAAAAAUAAUAAAUAUCUUGCUUGAUACUAAGUUGCCUUAAAGAUAACUCUUAUUAUUGAACUAAAAAAGAAAAACUUUGAAAAAUUCUUUCGUAGUUUUCCCAUUAUUGAUUAUUGAUUAUUUUUAAAUUUUUAUUACUUAAUAUUUAGUAAAUAACUGUAGUUGAAAAUUCUUGAGAAAUUCUAAAACUUGAUAAAGCAUUAGACCUUACAUUAUAAUAUUUAUAUUUCGAUAUUAUAAAACUAAAAUUUCAUCUUUUACCAAGAUCACUAUUAUAUUAAAAUAUUUUUGAAUUAUUUCCUAAGGAGUUUUGUUUUAGAAAUAUAUUAAAAUAUUUUUGAAUUAUAUUUAAGGAGUCUUUUUAGAAAACAAUUUAUAGUAAUUUUGGUAAAAUAUGAAUUUUUAUUUAUUUAUGGCUCUAUUAACUUUUCACUUGAAAAUAUUAGAAUUGUAAUUUUUAUGAAUCAUUUUAUUUUAUAAAAGUUCAUUUUUAUCAUAUUUGAGAAAAAUAUUAUAGCACGAAUAAAAUUUUAUACUACCUUUUAAGAAGUCUUUUUUUAAUAUUUAGUAGAGUUUAUCAAAAGCUAUAAUUUUUUUUCAUCUAUAUAAGUCAAAAAUAAUAUAAGACAUCAAUAAAGCCCCUUACAAAAUAAUAACCGUGUUCAAAUAUUAUUAUUUUUCUAAACUUUAAUAUAAUUUUAUUAUGUUUUGAUUUUAAUUAUAUAUGAGUGAAUAAAAAUUAGAAAGUUGAAUUUACAUAUUGACUUUAAUAUCAUAUAUAGAAAAAUAAAUCAUUAAUUCCUUAUAUGGAGUGGAAGUAUUUUUAAUUUUUGCAUAUAGCAACUUUAUUUAAGAUAAGAACACUAAUUAUUUUUUUUAAAAAAAAAUCAUGUGAUGUUUUUUACAAUUUAAGAACAUUUUUAUCAAACUAAAUGUCAUCCCUACCUAAUUUUUUAUAUACUAGAUACUUGACUCGCGUUUUGCCACGAGUUAGAUGUUUUGCUUCUAAACAAAACAUUUUCUAUACAAGCUUUUUUAACAUAUUUUUGUAAUUUAAAAAAUUCUAAGUGAAAAUUAAAAAGUUUAUGCAUAUAUUUAAUCAAAAAAAUCAAGAACUAUAUAUGUUAAUAAAAAAAACUUGUAUCGUGUCAUCCUCUCUAGUUUUUUUUUUUAAAUAAAUUAGAUGACGCACCUGUGGGCCAUAAAUUUUUUUCUCUUACAAAAAAUUUGUACAUGUAGGCUUUUUUGAUGCAUUUUUGUACUUACAAAAAUCUAAAAUGUAAAUUGAAAAGCUUAUGCAUAUAUGUAAUCAAAUAAAUUAAGAACCAUGUAUGAUAAUAAAUGGGAAAAAAAGUUAUUAACAAUAACUAAAAAUCAAAUAGAAAAAUCAAAUGUGUUAAUAAACAGAACAUUUAUCCGGUUGUGUUUACUGAUUUUAUUUAUUAAAAUUAAUUUUUUAUUCAAUCAAAUGAUAUUAAAAAUAGACACACAGAUUAAAAAAAUAUUGAUGAAUCAGAAUAAUUUUUUUAAAAAUUAAAUACGCUAACCACCAUAAAAAAACAAUCUCUAUCUAAAAAAGGUUAAAUAAGAAAACAAAUUCACCGAUGAGAGAUAUUAAUCGAAACAUAAAUUUUUCAAUUAUUUUAAUAAAAGAUAUAAAAAAAACACUACUAAAAAAAGCAAUAUUAGAAAAAAAAUAAUAGCCCAGUUCUUGUGGCUUAACUCGUUAGAUUCGUGAUCUAAAUCACGAACUUAUUCAGGUUUAAUAUUUUUUUCUUUACGGGCCUAAGCUAAUUUUUAUUUUAAUUUUUUUAAUGGGUCCACCUCUAUUUUUUUGAAAAAAAUUAGCAGGCAACAUGUUGGCUGCAAUCCCAGAUUCCUGCGCCACACAAUGGUGGCUGGAAAAUCAGGCGAACUUGUCUUUUGUCCAAAAAACUCAAUUUCUAAGCUAUUUCAACUGAAAAACACCUCACCAAUACCCAAAAAUCAUUUCGUCAACUCCAAAUACCCAAAAAACAAUCCAAAAAUCUGAAGUCAAACUAAUUUAGUUUUGGCUGUCUCGGCUCAAAUCUGGUUUUUCAUGUAACAUCGAGGCUAUAAACAACCAUUAUGAAGUCUCUCUCAUUUCAUGAAACCUGUGGACACCAAGAAAACUCGUUUUGGUGGCCGAAAUUUUUCUCUUUUCGUCGAAUUCCAGCAACCCUCUUUCUUUUCCCUCUUUAACCAAGAACUGACAAAUAACACAAAAAAAAUUGUGUAUGAAAAUUGAUUUUUAAAAAAAUUAAAGGGAUCUAAAUAGUAUAUAUUGCGUUAUUUUUAAAGAUCGAGUAUCUAAGUGGAUUUUUCAUUCAAUCUUUGGCACGCCACUUAUGUUUGGUGCCUGUUUCAAUUCGUAAUUUUGUAAGUUUUUUAUUUUUUUAUUUUAAAUUAAUUUUUUAUAUUUUUAAAUCAUUUUAACGUGAUGAAAUCAACUAUAAAUUUUAAAAAAUAUAUUUUAAAAAUCAACGUUACUAUGGUAAGAAACACCCGGAUGUACCAUGGUCUUCAUCAGGAAUAAUCGAAUUAAUUUGAAGACACAGAAGUCGUCAUUUCUAUUCCUGUGGAAUCGAACCUCCUAGCGUAUUGGUUGGUCCCAUAAGUAGAAUUGAAUUAAAGUCGUCGUAUGGGACAAUGUACCAAAUUUAUUUCUUCUGAUUUUGUAUUCUUCACAGACACAAUCAAUGCCGUUGGUUUGCUAUAAAAGGCUCUCAACUCCAACUUCUGAGUUAACAACAAAAAAUUAUCGACAGGAGCAUCAUUAUGGCUUCACCAUCGUAUGGGCCUUUGUCAUUCGUGUGCUUUUUGACACUAUUGUUUCUUUUAAUAAACACUGUGCAACCACUCUGUCAUGGCGUUGAGAGAUCUGCCUUGUUGCAUUUCAUGCAAAGCUUUUCCAUCAGCAACAACGCUUCCAUUAGUUCUUACGCUUAUCCAAAGACUGCAUCAUGGAAGAUCAGAGGAGAAAGCAGUGAUUGUUGCUUAUGGGAUGGCGUCGAGUGUGAUGAGGACACUGGCUAUGUUAUUGGCCUUGACCUCGGAGGUAGUUCUCUCCAUGGUUCUAUCAACUCCACAAGCAGCCUUUUUCAACUUGUUCACCUUCGAAGGCUUAACCUGGGGGGUAAUGACUUCAAUUAUUCUCAAGUUCCAUCUCGACUUGCCCUUCUCUCAAGUCUAACAUACCUCAACCUUUCCAAUUCUAUGUUCUACGGCGAAGUUCCCUUAGAAAUCACAGAAUUGUCUCACUUGACUUCUCUUGAUCUUGGUCGAAAUGUUGACUCAUCUGCAAGAAAGUUGUUAGAACUCGGAAGCUUCGACUUGAGAAGGCUAGCUCAAAACUUCACCGGGCUUGAGCAACUUGAUCUCAGCUCGGUUAACAUUUCUUCUACCGUGCCUGAUGCCCUCGCAAAUUUGUCUUCAUUGACAUUUCUCAAUCUCGAGGACUGCAAUUUACAGGGUCUAAUUCCAUCCUCCUUCGGUGAUCUCACCAAACUAGGCUAUCUAAAUCUUGGACACAACAAUUUUUCAGGUCAGGUUCCUCUUUCGUUGGCAAACCUAACCCAACUUGAAGUGUUAUCUUUGUCUCAAAACAGUUUCAUCUCCCCAGGUUUGUCUUGGCUAGGAAACCUAAACAAAAUUAGAGCUUUACAUCUUUCAGACAUCAAUUUAGUUGGUGAAAUCCCUUUAUCUCUUAGGAACAUGACCCGAAUUAUUCAAUUACAUCUCUCCAAUAAUCGAUUAACAGGGAAAAUUCCAUUAUGGAUCUCGAACCUUACCCAGCUCACUCUCGUGCAUCUUAGACACAAUGAGUUGCAAGGUCCAAUUCCAGAGUCUAUGUCCAAACUUGUGAAUCUAGAAGAGCUCAAAUUGGAGUACAACCACUUGAGUGGCACUAUAGAAUUCAGCAUGUUUGCUAGUCUCAAACACCUAACAAUGCUCCAAAUACGCCGUAACAAUUUGACUGUGCUCACUAAUAUCAGUGAUAACACUACACUUCCAAAGUUUAAGUAUUUGGCAUUAGGUGACUGCAACUUAAGUGAGUUUCCAGAUUUCCUCAGGAGCCAAGAUGAGUUGAUCUACUUGCAUCUAGGUCGCAACAGGAUUCAAGGCCAAAUACCGAAAUGGCUAGGGGACAUAGGUCACAAAACUCUCUCGAUUUUGAUUCUCCGAAACAAUCUUUUCAGUGGCUUUGAGCAAUCAUGGGAGCUUUCUCUUUUGACGAAGCUACAGUGGCUAGAACUCGAUUCUAACAAGCUUGAAGGUCAACUCCCGAUUCCACCACCUUCCCUCAUCGGUUAUAGUAUUUCAAAUAACUCUCUGACAGGAGAAAUUUUACCAUCUCUGUGUAAUUUGCGAUCUCUUGGUUUCCUUGAUUUGUCUUACAACAAAUUGAGUGGCAUGUUUCCAAACUGCUUAGGCGACUUCAGUGAUUCGCUGCUUGUAUUGAAUCUAUCAAACAAUUUCUUCCAUGGAAGAAUUCCUCAAGCGUUCAGAGAUGAAAGCAACUUGAGAAUGAUUGAUCUAAGUCACAAUCAACUGGAGGGUCAGCUGCCAAGAUCAUUAACAAAUUGCAGGAUGAUGGAGAUUUUGGAUUUGAGUUACAAUAGAAUUAGCGACAAAUUCCCAUUUUGGUUGGCAAACCUUCCUGAGCUGCAGGUACUCAUUUUGCGAUCUAACCAAUUCUUUGGAUCAAUAAAAAGCCCUGGUGCCAUGUUAGAGUUUCGCAAGUUGCAAAUCAUUGACCUCUCCUACAACAAUUUUACGGGUAUCUUGCCAUCAGAGUUCUUUCAGACCCUGAGAAGUAUGAGAUUCUCUGAUCUUAAGGAGUUCACGUAUAUGCAGACAAUCCAUACUUUCCAGUUGCCCGUUUAUUCCAGGGAUUUUACUUACAGAUACGAAAUUAACUUGGCAAACAAAGGUGUGUAUAUGAAAUAUUGGCAGAUCCCAAAUGUGAUUGCAGCCAUUGACCUCUCAAGCAAUGCAUUCCAAGGGGAUAUUCCACAAUCCAUUGGGACACUUGAGAAGGUUAAUGCGCUUAACCUUUCAAAUAACCAUCUCUCAGGUGACAUCCCGUCAGUGUUGGGGAACCUCGCAAAUCUUGAAUCAUUAGACCUUUCACAAAACAUGCUCUCUGGAGAGAUCCCUCAGUAUUUGACGCAGCUCACAUUCCUUGCAUACUUCAAUGUCUCUCAUAAUCAAUUGGAGGGUCCUAUACCACAAGGAAAACAAUUUAAUACUUUCGAUAACAGUUCAUACGAAGGUAACUCAGGACUGUACAUGAAACAUUUGCCAAAGAAAUCCGAAUGUUCUGAACCUCCACAGCAUCCAAACUUGCCAAAACAUCAAGGCUUCAAUAAUAUUCUUCCAAAAGAUAUUGAAUGGAUAGCAGUUGUGAUCGGAUAUGGAAGUGGACUUGUGGUAGGAGUGGUUGUUGGAUUGAGAGUUUCCGCAAGAAUACCUGAAUGGUUUGUGAAGACGUUUGGAAGGACGCAAGGCAACCGAAGGAGAAGAGAGGUUAGGGGCGUGCGCCGUUGAUUGGUUUUUCUUGUUUCUUUUUCCCUCUCCCUUUCCUUUCAGUUGGUGAAGGAAUAUAUUUAUGUACUUGUUCAUUAAGAAUUUAGCUUUGUUUUUCCUUUUUUGAAACUCCAUUUAAAAGGGGAGCUGUCUGGAACUUCAGUUUUUAUAUCAUUCCUCUUUGUAUACACUCAUUGUUAGAGUAUUGACACUUUUCCUACGUACUCGAUAAGGAAGGUCUGGUGUAUGCCUAUAGAGAUAUGCUUGUAAUCUCAGUUGUGAAAUCAAGAAAAAAAACAUCAGUUUACAGAAACAAAAAUGUACAAUUUCCAUCAAGGGGUCUUCAGACGAGCCCUUCCUUAAUACAAAAUAAUAAUAAUAAUACUGAAAUAGAAUUUCUUAUGAUUGAGAAAAUGCAUUAUGUUUUCGACGUAUCUUUCUUUUCUUCCCCUCUCCUCGAUAGGAUGAUGAUUCAGUGUUUACCUCGAUAUAAGCCAGAGUCUGUCAAGAGAGCCGAGACUAGUUCUGAAAGAAUGAAAUAUGUAAACUGCCAUGCUGAGGAAGGUGGUGGUGCGUACUAGUUGCAUGGUGACAUGCGCAUCAUCUAGUAAAGAAAGCCACUGUCGAUGCCACAAAAUAUCCAUGGGGUCCAUUGACCUCGCUAGAUUAGGAAGAAAUUCUUACCUUUGCCAUAUAUAUAUUUUGUGGAUAUAUGGAUGACUACUACGUUGUGGGCGAAUUUAUUUAUUUUUUAAUUAUAGAAAAGAUAUCAAGAUAAUACAAAUAUUUUUUUUAAAAAAAUUAAAAUUUAAUUCAUUGAUUUGAAUGAAUUUAAUACUAAGUUAAUUUAAUAAUAAUAUUAAAAAAAUGUCAACAAAAAAUAAAACAAAAAAAAUGAUUCAAUGCAAAAAUAGAAUGAUUGCCAAUAUUAUGGAAAUAUAUCUUUAUAAUAUUCUUAAAAUAUCUCAAUGAUUUUAUUUGUUAACAAAGUAAAAAUAAAAUAAGAAUAGGAUAAUUGCAUAGAAAAAAAAAUGAAAAACAAAAUGAAUCUCAAUUCUCAGCAAAUAAAAUGUCGAAUUAUAAAUUAAAAAAAAAAGAAAAAAGAAAUUAACUCAAUUCUAUUUGAGUCAUCACAAAGGUGAAUUUUUAAAAAUACUUUCUUCGAAAGAACCGGACAUGAUAAUUUUUUUAUCAUCUGGCUUGAGAAAAUAUCAAAUCAAAUCUAUAACCUAGUCGUGAGACCGAGAUAACUCCGUGGAAAGUAGACUAAAUAAAAUCAUGAAGUUUUAUUCUUAAACCAACCUAAUAUUGAAGGGAAAAAAUAAAAAAAUAAAAAGAAAAAGAAAAAAAGAUCGGAGUCAAACCUGGUGAACUUACUGAAUCCACGAUUCAAGACAUGAUAUCGAGAUAACUCUACAGAAAGAAAAUGUAAAAAAAAACAAAGAAUACCAAUUUUCAAUAACAAAUUCAAUGAUAAUGGAUGAAAUUAAAAAAAAAUAUGACUAAAGCCAACCUGGUCUAACCAUCAGAGCUUAUAACACAAAUCACAGCAUAAAAGGCAAAACAAAAAAAAAACAACAUAAAAUUCCCAACCAACUAAAAUAAUUAGGAAUAAGCUUAAAAAAAGAUUUAAAAAAGGGAUAAAAAAAGAAAAAGAUAUAUAAAUUUUUAAAAAAAAUGAGAACCAAAUUAGAUAAAAAAAAUCAAAUCAAAUCAUAAAUGAUGAAAUUGAAAAACAAUUUCAUUUAAGAAAAGGGUAAGAAAAACUAAAAAAUAACAAUAAAAAAAUAAGGACCAUAUUUAAUAUAAAAAUUAAAUAUCAAUGGAUAAAAUUGCAAAAAAAUAACUCGAUAAAUGAAUCAAAACCAAAUAUAUUGUAAUCAAAAGAAUAAUGAUGUAAUUUGACUCAAUAAACAAAUAACUAGACUUCUUUGUUUUUUUGCAAUGACUACCAUAUUUUUCUAGGAGGAGAGAGAUAAAAGAGAGAGGAAAUAAAGAAUGUUUGGUCAAAGCUCCAUCGUCGGUCCUAUGACAGCACGCACCUCACUACUGUGAUGGGAGCGAUGAGGUGCAUUGAAUGUCGUCCUAGAUGGUGGCGUUCAGAGCUAUUUUGACACUACACACACCACUCAAAUAACAUAGGUCGCCAACCACUAAAAUAUAUAUAAUAUUUUAUAUAUAUUAAAAGAUCAUAUUACUGUUGUAUAAAAAUAACAAAAAAUUCAUAAUAAAAUAACUAAAAUAUAUUUCUAUCUAAUGCUAAAAAAGCUAUUUUUGUUAGGGUUGUUUUAAUUUUGUUUUUAUGUCACAAAAAGAUUUGAAAACCCUGAAAAGCCAGGACAAACAUAAGAAGAUUCUGUUUAUUAUACAUGAAAAUUUCAUUUGGUAAGAAAAAUAAGAAUACGAUGCCAUAGCCUUCAAUCAAGUAUAGCUCCUUUUGAACAAAAGAAAACAAUUCAUUAAAAUUCUGGCAUUAAUUUCCAAAUUCGCAUGUUUGAUCAUGAACUUUGUAAUUAAGAUGUUAGUACGUGGAUUAAUUAAUAUUUGAGGUUGUUCGUGUUUUCUUCUACCAUCAUUAAUUAUUAAUAGAGACAUAAUUAUUAUUUAAAAUUUUCCUUUUAGGACUUUCUGUUUGUAUAUUAUUGUUUUAAAAAAUAAAUAAAAAUUAACCAAUAAUGAGUUUUGAAAACUAUAUACCUCAACUCCCAAGAACCCCACUACCAGGCCCAACUAUGUGUUACUCGAUUGUAUCUAGAGGUCUGAAAUAUGUAGGCUCGAUGUUUGAUGGUCAAUGACUCAAUUGCUUAGGGCAACAAAGAGUAGAGCUAGUUCCGUGUCAUGGAAAUUCUAGAUUGAGCCUAGUUUAGUUUGCAUGUAAAAGGUUAUUUGGUAUUGAAAUGAAUUAAAAUAAUAUUUUUUAUUAUUUAAAAUUUAUUUUUAAUAUUAAUAUAUUAAAAUGAUUUAAAAAUAUCAAAAAUAAUUAUUUAAAGAAAAUAAAAAAAGUUAAUUUUUUUCAAAAAACAACUUCACCGCAAAAACAAAGUGCACAUUACAUAUGAUGGAUUACAAUAAUUUAUAAUCUGCUAUAGCUUCUUCUUUUUUUUUUAAUUCUCCCCAAACAUUUUUUUUCCUAACUAGUUUGAUUCUCUAUGCACUACAAUGUGGGAUGGAGCAGAUUGUUUUCAACACUAAACAGGCGCAAGUGUUAUUAUAAAAUUUUUUACGAUUAAGAAAAAAUUUAAUUAUAAGCUAAAAAGUUUGUACGUGUAUUUAAAAAAAUAAAUUUAAAAAUAUAUGUGCUAAAAAAUAUAUCAAAUAUGUUGAUUCCAAUCAUUAUUUCUUAAAAAAAAAAAGGUUGAAUAUUUGUUUCGACUUGAAAUUAGGUUUCAAUUUUAUUUUUUCAAAUUAAGCAUUAAUUCAAUAUCAAAACUUAUUUUUAAUAUCACAAAAACCUCGUAUAAAGCCAACCAAAUAAUAAAUGAAACUCAAUCACAAGUCAUCAACUUAAGGUAAAAUGGUUAAAUUAAAAAUAAAAAAAAGUCAAAUGAAAAGGAAAAAGAAAGAAAAAAAAAGAACACACAAUUCAUAAUUAGAUUGUAUAUUUAUUCUAAUUAUGAAUUGUUUUUUUAAUGUUUUUUUUUUUAUCUUGCAUUACCUUGCAUGUUCAUAAUUCCAAAUAUUACUUCAUUGUUUACCGAGUGUCAAUUUUACUAUAAUUGUUAAAUGAGAAACAAAAAGACUCAAUUAAAAAAAGGGUGUGAAUGAAAAAAAAAGACUCAAUUAUAAAAAUAUGAAUAAAAGAAAGUUUAAAAUGGUUCAAUAUUCAUAAUUCAAAUAUUAUUUCAUGAUUUAUAAAGCAUUAUUUUUUGCAGAAUUGAAUUACAAUUGUUAAAUAAAAAAUAAAAUUACUUAAUAAAAAAAAGAUGUAAAUAAAAUAAAUAGACCUAGUAAAAGAAAAGGAGGAGGAGGGUGUGAAUGGAAAAAAAAAUUACGAUUAUUUACUAUGAAAAAUGUUUUCAUCUCAAAUCUCAAAUCUUUUAAUGUUUUUGUUAAUUUCAUUGUACAUUAAUUGAAUGUUAUAUAGUGUCCAAAUACUAGCCAAAAACCCCUUAAUUGAUCCAAAAAAAUAAUCAUAAACAUGCCCUAAAAUUCCCAACAGUUCCCAAAUUCAAAUUCGUCUUCUUAUAGGCAAUAAUUAAUCAAUUAUUGAAAGCUUUUGAAGUUGAUUUGACUGAUUAUUAUGGUAAUCUAGAUGAGUUAAAGAGAGCUGUUAACUAUCAUUAACAUUAGCUGAUUAUUUAUUGAAUCAAAUUUGUUCACAAGGACAAGAUUGAAAGGAGAAUUGGAAAAUAUAUAAAAAAUAGAUGAUGGGUUUAAAGUUAUCAUAAAAAAUUAUUUUAGUUUUUAAACUUUAUAAAUUACACCUAUUUGGUUUUUUUAUAUUUUUUCAAUUUAAUUUUAGUAUAAAAAUUUAUGUUUUAAAUUUUUGGUCUCUGGUUUGAAAUAGAAGAGGGAGCUUACUAGAUUGCAACGGUAAAGAAAGAAAAUCAAUAUUAACACAAAUUUCAACUACCAAAAUGGUCGAUUUUGAUGUCAAUAGAUUUCAUUUCAUGAGGGGAGUUCCACUUAAAUGUUUUUUUACCUUCAAAUUGCCUAAAAAAUCAGAUUUAAGCUCAGGAAGAUUUUUUUAUUUUGGGUUAAUUUCAGGUUAUUGUGUGAUUUUUUUGGUUUUUUAAGAUCAUUUAUGGGUUUGUCAAGAUGUUUAGGCUUUUUUUUUCUUGGUGUGUAGAUAAAAAAACACAAACUCUAUUUUUUUGUUCACCACAGUAGCUGGGAUUUAUCGAAACCAGACGAUGCAUCGUCUUGAAUUUUUCUUUUUCAAAAAAUAUUAAGGUAGGCGACAUGUAGUCUACCCUAAUUGAGUUUUUUUUUUUAAAAGGAGCUCAUGCGCUGACACUUUCUCUCUUAUUUUUUACUUUUAGCUUUUUUUAAAUAGUUUUUUUUAUAUUAGUUUGAAUAUGUUUAUUUUUUGAAGAGAUUAUUCUAAUUCAUGUAUAAUGUUUUUUUAUGUUUUAUAAUAUAAUUGAACUUUAUUUUUAAAAAUAAAAAAUAUUUAUUUUUCUAUAGUAUUUCUAAUAAGCGCAAUAUUGUGUGAUAUUUUUUUUCUAUUUAAUUUUAUUAAUUCAAAUGUGUGUGUAUCUUUUUUAUUAUCAUUUAAUUAAAAAAUAAUAAUUUUAAUAAAUAAAAUUAUUAAACACAAGAGUAAAUAAUAUAUUAUAAGAUCAAAUAUUUUUAUUUAUAUCCGUUUCUCAACCCGAACAAGUGAAUAGUGGUUUCUGCUGUAAUUUAAGAAGAAGAGGAGAGAAUUUGUUUACGAGGAGACAUAGACGUAUGAUUCAGGAUUGAUUGUUAGUGUCAUUGACAACAUAUUUAUAAAGUUUUUUAUGCUCAAAGGAACAAUUAAACUAAAGAAUUUAAAGGGCCAAUCUCGCUUCAUGUUAAUUUUAACAAUUAACUUUCAUCUAGAAAUUGCAUUCAUAAGAAGAAAAAAUACAUUAAUUAAUCCAUCAAGAAACAAGGAAAAUUCUUCUGCUGACAAUUGAGAGUUAACAAAGAAGCAUGUCGUUGCUUUUUCUUUCUGUUUGCUCUACUUCUUGCUCGCCAUCUUCGUGAUGGUGUUUCUCUAAUCUUUUAGCUUAGACUGAGAUCGAUUUUCAUCAAGAAAACAAGGAAUCAUGUCAUCAUACAGGAUCUCGACAGAGAGGGCAGCUCUGAUUCUUAUCCAGCCAUUGCAUAAAACAUCCUGAAUGGAAAACAUGUUUGCACGAGGAAAGAACGCAGCAGUUCUCCCCUUUCUGAAAAUCAUCCAAGCAUAUCACACAUCCACUGCUAAAAUUGACUGAGCUUUCAUCGAUUUGAACAUAAUAUAAUUUCAACAUGGAAAGAGGAGCAGGUUCGAGUCUUCCAGUUACCUGCCCACUUUCAACAUCAUGAGGAUGAUGACGAGGAUCUUGGUUACGGAGAGCAUGGCGCCGAUAUUCUAAAUGCCUCAAACAAAAUUCUAACAGUAAAUAAAAUAUCACGAUCAAUAUCGCUGCAACAAGAACCAUAAUUAUAAAUAGUAGAGUAGGGAAGUGUUCAUUGUUGCCAGAAGCAGAAGUAAAAGGAGCUUCUGUCAUGGAUAUGAAACUGGUUAGUUUGUAUAUGAUUCAGCAUAAAAUAUUGUUAACUGUUUUGUACUGCUAUAUAAAUAUUGGUUAUUUCAAUAGCUGUAAGCCUUUUCCUCUCGGAAAACCACUCUCCUUGUCCUCCUCGGUUUACGACCUAGUUUGGGAUUGCAGCUAGUGACAAUGGCAACUUGACGAGAGAAUUUUUGGCACACUUUUAUACUGUUAAAAGGGAGAUUAAAAGAAUAUGCCCCAUGAAUAUAUAUAUAUAUAUAUAUAUAUAUAUAUAUAUAUAUAUAUAUAGAAGUUGUCUGUGACUCUGUGUAUUGUUUUGUGUUGAUUAUGAGAGAAAGCGAGGUUGUGAUGACCCAGAAUCAAGCCCGUGAUCCGUAUGUAAAUCAAGGCAAAUCUAAGUUCAUCUUGCGCAAGCUAAGCCUUGAUUAGACCUGUAGAAAUUCUAACAAAAUCCAAAAUAUAAAACAAAACAAUAAUUAUUUAAAAAUCAAUAUAAAAAUAUUUGUGUAUCUCAUCCCAUCGGUAAAUAAAAAUGCAUUCGAAUUUAUAUUCAAAAUUGAAAAAGAUAGAAAAUUGUUUGGGGACCAUUACCGAAACUUAUUUUACAUUCAAUAAAAAAUAUUUUUUUUAUAUCAUUUCACAGUAAAUAAAAAAACUCGUUUUCGGUAGACUCUACCAAGUUAAUUAAUACAGUUAGAGAAUAUAAAGAAAAAAAAUGCAAGUUUGAAAAAAAAAGUCAAGUUUUAAUUGAAAUUUACCUAUCACUUGUUAGACAGACAUGAUGUAAAAUCAUCUCUGAUGUAUUUCACACUUUGUGGAUCCAUAUAAAACAUAUAAGAAUCAAUGUCAUAUUUUGUUAUUUUCACACUCGACAAUAACAAUAGUAUAAGCAAUAAAAAAACAGUAUAUUAUUUCCACCCAAACCAAUUAUUAAUAACAAUACAUUUUUAUAUAGACUCUUGAGAUGGUAUAUAUCAAUUCUAAUGAAAGGCCUACAUAAAAAAAAUAAAGGCUUCCUUUAUCGUUUUCAAAUAAACAUACACAUGUUUAAAUUUUUAUGGUGAAUGCAUAUUUAUUUUGUUUUAUAUGUUAAACCCUAAAAAUAUAUUAAAACCCGGAUUAUAUUGCUUCAAUAGUUAAAUGUACCUAAAGAGUCUUUUAAAAGACUCAUUUUGACUUCCAUCCAGAAACUCUUUAGCCUUUGUCCUAGCUCUCAAUCAUUGCAUUUUAUAUGGUUAAAUCCUAAAUUUAUCAUCUAAAAUUGUUUCAAGUGAUUGGAGAUGUUUGGGUCAAUACUAAUUAUUGGUAGCAAUUGACUUUGUUAUCAAUGUUGAAUUUACAAUUUUUAUACUUGUAGGUCAAAUUCACUUAUGCUUGUCCCUUAAAGACUUAAUCAUGAAUGUUUUACUACCAAGAACGAGACAACCUUAUAUUCGUCAAUUAAAACCAUAAGCCAUAUGUAUGGUUUCAACCUUCUUUUUAUGAUUAAUAUAUCUUUUAACAUGACAUUCAUGCUUCACCUCAUACUUUCACAAAAUAUCUUUAAAGUGUGUUUAUAUUACUAAAAAUUUGAUAUUCUUCAAAAUUUAUUGAACAAUCAACUGCAACUUUAAAUCUCUUACAUUUGAAAUCAGUAAUUGGAUCCAUUAAUAAUCUUUUUCCCCUCUUCUUGCCACUUUCCUCCUCAUCAAUACUAUCAGAUUGUUCACUGACUUAUACGUCAAUAUCAUCUUCAUCACUACUUAUCCUUCUUUCGUUAUCAGAAUCAGAGGCACCAUACAAGAUUUGACCAAUAGAAAAAUCAACUUGUAAGUUAUCAAUCCAUUCAUCCGUAGCUACAUUAUAAAAUUCAAAUCCUUUAUCGGAAUGAAUAUAAUAAUUGUCUACUUCAUUAUCAUCAUUAGAAUCCAUGUAAACUCUAACAUUAACAUAACAUCAGUAUCAAUGCUCAUUUAGAAUUCAUUCCUUCUUUCAUCCCAACACUCAUUUAAGUGCCCAUUUCAGCACCAACUUUAGCACCACACCUAUUUCAACACUCAUAUUAGAUCAAUACCAGAACAUCAAACAUCACUACCACUAACAUCAUCACCUAUUUCAAUACCCAUUUUAGCACCCAUAUUAAGAUUUUUCUCUCCAUCACCACCAACAUCUAAAUUAGAACUUUCUUCCCCCAAUAAGCAUACCACUUUAUCAACAUCAUCAUCAUGUGCAUCAAAAUAUUUGGUUCUGGGUGGCCUGUUAUUUUCAGGAUUGUCUAAAUAGCACCUCGACAUUUUCAUUAUUAGAGAUUAGCUGUUAGAUCAACAUCAUCAUAUAAAUGCACCUUAUCUUUACCUUUAUGCAUAUAAAAUACCUGUAAGGUCGAAGCAUCAUCUAAUAUUUUGUUGCCUUUGCCAUUCCUUGUGCAAAUCUAUGCACUAUAUCAAAUAUUUUCUUACAUGUGAAUAAUAUGUCUAUGCAAGAAAUGUAGUUAGAGUUGUAAUUUUUUUUUUGACAUAUGAUGAAUUCUUAUCAUACACAAAUAUAUUAGGCAUUUUGUAUCUUGCAUGAUUUAUAGAAGUUAUAGAAAAGUAACACAUAAAUAAUAGUAAAAAAUAUAAAACAAUGACUAAUAAGAGAAGAUUAUAGCCACUAGAUUUUACUAAUUAAUGCAUAUUGGUUUAUGAAUGCAUUUUUUAUUACUUUAUAAUUAGGCAUUUCACUGUGAAGUAGGAAGUUUAACAAUAAUAUUAAAAAAGAUUCAGAAGACUGUUGUAAAUAUAAAUAAAGAGGUUAGAGAAAUAUGUUAUUUUCUUAUCCACUAUAUAAUUCUCUAAACUAUGUAGUUAGUGUUUAUUUUUGUAGUGUACCAUAUCCUUUAAAGAAUUAUUAUUAUUAUUAUUAUUUAUUUUUUUAUAUCAUUUUAGCAUAGUAAUAUUAAAAAUAAUUUUUAUUAAAAUUUUUAUUUUAAUAUAUUUAAAAAAAAAAAAAACAAUAUUUCAGUCUAAAACACUGGAUCAGUGCCUACGAACAAAAAUUGCUCAUUAACUAGAAAAAGGAAAGAAGUAAAAUUCAGAUGACUACUACUACUUCAUGCACGGUAAAACCCUAGUUAGUUCCAGAACAAGAACAGCACCCAUGUUGGUGUCCAUCUCUACUUUCUACCUUCCCCAUAUAUAACCCUACAAAACUAUUCAAAACCCCAGCAAACAAAAACCCUAUCAUUGUUUUCCCUUUCACUGCCACAACAAAACCCAACUCCAAAACUCUUCUCCCCUGUUUUUAUUUUUCAAUAAAGUUAUUCCCAGCUAUGGAAUCCCCAGUUCAAGCCCAAGCAAUUCCUCUUUACGAAACCCUAACCCUAACCCCACUUUCUCCUUCACCCACUGCCACUCCAAUUCGAUCGCCGCUGUCCGAUCCUCUCCAACCCUACUCUGUAUUCCGCAAUGAGAUUUCUCUCUCCGCCUUCAAUUCUGCUGCUGCUGCGGAAUCUGCUGCACCUGAUUUCUUCUCUCUUGAUGUUGGAAGCGGUGAUGAGGAGGAGUUGGAGCUGAAGACGCCUGUUAAUGGAGAGGCUAAGGGGAAGAGGAAAGCGGAGGUGGAGACGGAGAACUUGCCGGAACCAAUGACGGAGAGCGUGUGGUUUAGAGGGGAUAGUAAAUUUAGGAGUCCGAUGUUACAGUUACAUAAAGGUAUACCUUGAUGAUAUUGGACAAAGGAGUGCUUUUUAGUUUUUUCUUUCUUUUUGUUGAUUUAAUUUGUGGGUUCGUCCUACUAAUUCUUGUUAUUGUGUGUGAAAAGUUGAUUUCUUGCACAUUAAUUCUUUAGAUAUAUUGUGGUUAUGGAGGAAAUAUGAGUACUUUUCAUAUUCAUUGAUUUAAUUUGACUCUAGUAGUAUCUUAAAAUCUGGAUGGUACCACAAUAUUGGUUAAUUUCGAUUCCCUCUUGAGCAAAAAAUAAAAUAAAAUAAAACAGAGCGAAAACUAUAAUCUCUUCAAGAAUUUGUUGGCCUUAAUUAUGGAAGUCCAGUGUGGGUGACAAUGUGGGUAUGCUAAAUUUUUAUGUGUAGCUUACUUGGAAUGUUUAAAUUUGUGAACUUUUCAUGUGAUGUUUGGAAUAUGUUUUAGCUUCUUUUUAGUUUUUUGAGAAAUUCUGGUCAACGAGCAUUUAUAGUGAGCUCAUAUCUGAUGGUGGGUGAUGCAGAGAUAGUGGAUUUCUGUGAUUUUCUGUCACCAACUCAGGAGGAACAAGCUUCACGUGCUGAAGCUGUACGAUGUGUUUUUGAUGUUAUUAAAUAUAUAUGGCCCAAUUGUAAGGUAAUUCUUAGUUCCCCUCUCUCUUUCUCACUCACCCACACAAUUUCUUUAUAGAAGCAUAAAAGCUAGUAAAAUUGCGUUGCUGUGUUUGCUUUGUAGGUGGAAGUUUUUGGUUCGUUUAGGACAGGACUUUAUCUUCCAACCAGUGACAUUGAUGUACGUAUAAUGUGACAUUUGUUAAGAAUUUACUGUGGAAUACUGCUGACUAAUCAACUGAAACAAAAGCUUUUGUUAAAUGCUAUUGAUUGUAGGUUGUGAUUCUGGGUUCAGGACUAAAAAGCCCACAGAUUGGUUUAAACGCUCUUUCCAGGGCCUUGUCUCAGAAGGGCGUUGCAAAGAAGAUACAGGUAUGCCUCCAUCAACAGUUGGAGUACUAUUGCUGCCAAAAAAACAAAGGUCUAUUGUGCUCUCUUUUAUUGUCUUAGGUGAUAGCGAGGGCUCGUGUGCCCAUUGUUAAAUUCGUUGAAAAGAGAAGUGGUGUUUCCUUUGAUAUAAGGUCUGUCUAUUUAUCAUUUGUAUUUCCAUUUCCUAGUUUGAUUUUCUCCUUGCAAUGUUUUGAGAUUAAUUUUUUUUCUCAAGGUUUGUAGUCCAUUUCAAUCCUUAUUGAAUUGAUUCCUCUGAAUAAUUGUCCAAAUGCAUUUCAAAGAAAAAAAGGAGAUGAGAUGUAAAGGGGGGAUUGCUUAUACUGUGUUCUAGUAGUUACAAUGUAGUUAUUUUUUUAGUGUGGGUUUGGUAAAUUAGCUUUCUUAUUGGUUCAAUUAUUGGGUGAUUUUAUAAAUAAAUAAAUAAAGGAAAUCCAAUACUGAACUAUGAUUGAGAGACUUGGUCUAGAUAGAAUUUUAGUCAGUAGCUUUGGGUUUAAACUUGCAUGACACAUGGGGGGAAGCCAAAUGAGAAACUGAAAUUAUGAGAUGCUCUAUGAAGGCUGAUCAUUAUAAGAUGCUUAAUUUGUAGCCCGGGUAAGUGCAUAUAGAGAUUGUCAUAAAGAAAUUCUACAUACUUUAGCUAAUAAAUGUUUUAAGGAAUAUUUUAUACUACACUUAAUUAAGCAAAGAUGCCCUUCUUUUUUUCUCCGAACUUUUUAUUUGACAUAUCAAUUUUGUAAAAUCUUUGUAUUUUGUGUUUCAUUUAUAUUAUGGUUCGGGAGCUGUAUAUACAAUCUGUAGGUUUUAUCUCUUUGUCAGCUAAAUUUCUGACUACAUUCUGCAUUGCUUGUUUUGGAAACUGAUCAAUGUUUUUUGUGGAUCUCAGUUUUGAUGUGAACGGUGGACCCAUAGCUGCUGAGUUUAUCAAGGUUUGUUGUCUGUGUUCUUCCUUUCUGAUAUUUCGUUCUUUAUGAUGUGAGUAACAAGUAUAACAAUCAUCUCACUUUCUCUUAACAUGUACACACGCACCCUUUUUUUAAUUGCUGGUGUGUAUAAAAGUAGUUUGAAGUCAAAGCUAAAUGUUGUUUCUUUCAGAAUGCAAUAUCCAAGUGGCCUGAACUACGACCAUUAUGUUUGAUUUUGAAAGUAUUCCUACAACAAAGAGAACUCAACGAGGUAUAUAUCUGUAUACCAGCCAUCUAAUAGCAUUCUCAUAGAUGUCAACACUUUAUUCUCAAUCAUUGUUUUUUUUUGUUUGCCUGAUUCAAGUUUUCUUUAAAACAUGCAGGUAUACUCUGGCGGCAUAAGUUCUUAUGCUCUGCUUGCCAUGCUUAUGGCAAUGUUGCAGGUAAUGAAUUAAACCUUUGAAUGAAUUCUUCAUCUGCAUUCUAGCUUGCAUGCAUGCGCACAUUGUUGCCAGUUAAUCCGUUAAUUCCCUACUAUUCAUAUGCUGUAAGAUGCCAAAACAAUGGUGAGUUUAUCAAAGCUAUUGAAAUGAUGGCGAUCAGGAAGAUCUUGUAUUUGGUCAAGCUGUGAAUGUAAAAUGAAGAGAUUACAUAUUGUAUUUCUAAUAAGACAGAAAAUAUACCUCAAAUGCUACCAUGUUUCAUCUCAGCUGAGGUUUGGAUGCUUGACAGACCACUUUCUGGAGUUUAUUUCAGAUAAGAUAGGACAUUUCUUCCUUCUUGUUAGAGCUUUCUUGCAUUUGACCUCUAGAGAGCUUUCUACUUGUAUGAGGGCAAAUGAGUUUUUCUAUGGUUUAUUGAUAUGAUAGAAUCAUGCUUCUUACAAACAAUUUAAAGUAUCUCGAUGUUUCCCUUGGCAUGUUACCAUUUCCUUUUCUCAUCAAACAAUAUUGCCACUGCCUCAUGACAUUUUUGAUGCUACAGAAUCAUAGGGAGUGCCAGGCUUCUCUAGAACGUAAUUUGGGGCUUCUCUUGGUACGUUUUUUCAAGCCCUUGUUCAGCACAAUGUAACUUCAAGAUAGCAUGGUGUUCAUGAUGCAGUUGAUAUGUUCUUUGUUUUAUUUUUAUUCUUGUAAACUUAAUUGGAGAAUAUAUGAACCCUUUAAUUUUGGGGGGUAACAGUUUGUAGACUUCUAUAUUCUUACUAGUCUGUUUUUGGAAAGCAGAUACACUUUUUUGAUUUUUAUGGACGCAAAUUGAACACCACAAAUGUUGGUGUAUCUUGCAAGGGGACUGGGACAUUCUUUUCAAAGCGUACCAAAGGGUAAAGGAAAAGCAAGGCUUUUAGGAUUGAAAAUUUUUAUUUUUUCUUUUAGCUUGCAGUUAUUAAAAAUAUUACGUUUGAUCUUACCUCAUUUUCUGUUUUAGGUUUAUGAACAAUGGACGGCCAUUUCUCAUUGCAAUUGAAGACCCACAGGUUGACUUUCUUUACUAAGAUGUGACAUUUCCAUAUAUUAAUUGACUAUUAAGCAAAUCAAAGAGUGGGAUUGAUUUGUUGCCUCAAAAAAUUAUUGAUAUGAUUUUUUAAUUACAUCUUUUACUGCUUUCUGUGGGUGUUGGAUGCAUCUCUAGAGCUAAAUAUAGGAUUCCCAAGCAUUCCCCAGGAAAGACCGGGUCCUGUCUUAGCUAUUACAAGUUCACACUUGGUUUUGCCUUUGUAUUCUGGUUUAUGGGCAUGCAUUUCUGAACCCUUUUCCAGAAUAUUGAGAUUGGGAUCAGACUGUACAAUUAAAAAAAAUAAAAAUUGGAGACCUUUUCCCAAAAAGCGGUCAUUAUUUUGUUUCUGUUUGAUGAACUAAAACUGUUUAUUUAUGAUGAAUAGGCACCAGAGAAUGACAUUGGCAAGAAUUCAUUCAAUUAUUUCCAGGUUUGUUCACUGUUAUAAUAUUAUUUUUGCUUGCUUUUCAUCACUUUCACUGCACUAGGAAUAAAGGUUUUUGACGGAAAGGUUCAUUUUAGUUUAAAUGUGGGGGCAGCAUUCCAAAAUCUUGUUUGUAUUUAAUAUAUUUCAUAACAUUUUGAGUUCUAACUUACCUAUUUUUUAUAUCCUCAGUUUGAUUUACCAAGUACCCUAGAUGAAUUGCUUUAGCUUUGAGUUAUGCUGGGUGGGUCGUAGCACUUCACCUCUCUUAACAAGUUUCAACUAAUCGGGUUGUUGCAUUAGAUGGGAUGAGAAACUUGUGUGACUCAUACCAUCCUUUUGCUUCCAUCAAAUGAAUCAAAUUGAUAAUAUAAAAAGCUUUGAAUUUCUUUUGCUAUUCUAAAUUUUACUGAAAGUCCUUUUACCAUCCAUAUUGCAGAUUAGAUCUGCUUUUGCAAUGGCUUUUACAACCUUGACAAAUCCGAAGACCAUCCUAAGCUUAGGACCCAACAGGAGCAUUCUUGGUACCAUAAUUAGACCUGACCCAGUUUUGCUGGAACGCAAAGGAGGGAAAAAUGGAGAGGUAACUUUUAGCAGCUUGCUGCCUGGAGCUGGGGAGCCCUUGCAGUCAAAUUAUGGACAACAGGAAAUUUUGUGCAAUUGGCAGUUGGAUGAUGAAGAAGAAGCAUUACCACGAGGAGGCGGGGAUGCUGGAGAUGGUAGUGCACAUUCCUCUGGAAAGAAGAGGAAAGCUUCUUCUAAAGAGAAGUCUCGGAAGAAAAAGUCGAAAGAAAAUGGUGACAUUGGGAAGGUGAGACAUGAUGAAAGUGGUUCAAAGAAAGAGAAGUCAACAAAGAAGAAACAGCGAUGGAGAAAAAAUGAUAGCUCCAAGGGUUUUGGCAGUCACGCUGCUGGGUCUUCAUAGAUUUGUUAAAAACAUAAACAUAUCUUUGGCAGGCUGGAUGAACGAGUCAGGCAUGGCUGAUGCAGUUCCUUCUCACCUAUGAAUGGUUUACUGCAACUACAACAAUCAUCUAACAUUCUGCCUCAAGACUGCUAAAGACUGCUUGGGAUGGCAUGCUGUCUGAUUGAAAGUAGCAUCUGAAGCAAAUUACUGGCUUUAAGGUGGUUGCGGCUCCUCCCAUCUCUGAAACAUUGUGUCUUGUGAUUGGCCAGUAUUUGACUUUUGUACUAUACUAAUACAGAAGUAUAGAGCCAAGUUCAACGAACAGGAAUAGUGGAUGUGUAAUUGAAUCCAAUUUCCUGAGUCGUACAACAUCAAAGUCUCAGAACUUGAAAACAGGCCAGAUGGAUCUAAUAAUUUUGACACCGUUUGGAGCCUCCAUGUUUGCUAUGAAGGGAGGAGCUGCUUGUGGCGUUUAAGUUUGAAUGCCGAGCACCCAUGCCGUCUGAUAAAUGACAAUAGGGCUGCUUGUAUUUUUUUAUUUUUGUUUUUAUUUAACAGAGUAGUGGUUAAUUGUAUCCCUAUUAAUUGAUUGAUUUAUGAGCUCCAGCCUUGUUUUCUGCUACAUUCCCGCAUAGUGACCCAUGAUUCGCUGGUUCAAAUCCAAACUCUGCAGCAGCGAUACCAGGUUGGCUGUUCACUAUCGGCUAUGAAAUGCGAAGGUAUCUCUUUGCCUAUAAAACCUUUUCUUACACUACUAUUUCCACAUCAAUAAUAGAAGAGAAGAUUGAGAGGCUGUCUUUGUUUGCGUUUAAUAUUAUGUUACUGAGCAUUUUAAAAGUGUUUGAUAUAUAUAAAAAAUUAAAUUAGUGUUUUUUCAGUGUUUUUUUGAUAAUUUUGAUGUGUCAAUAUCAAAAAUAAAAAAAAUUAUUUUGAUAUAUUUUUAAAUAAAAAAUAGUUUUAUUUAUACCAUGAAUUAGAUGUAAUAACUUACAAUAUCAUCCUUUUAGCCAUUAUAGUUGUAGAAAACACUAAAGGGCGUCGACAUAUCACUAUGCUCCUCGCCACACCAUUGUUCGCCAAUAUAUAAUUCAUCAUGAAUUGCUAUAGUGAAUUUUUUUUUUCAUUUUAGUUAUUAAUAGUUUUUCUCUCCUUGAUUAAGUUCUUUUUAUGGUUAUGGUCAACUGACUCUCAAUUGAUGUCAAUUUAGCCCACUAUUCAUGGAUUUUUUUCGAUAAAAGGAGUUUUUUUUAGAUGUUAUUUUGGUUUUUUCAUCAAUUGAGAUAAUAAAUCUCAGCUCAAGAAAGUUUUGGUUUUAGAUUGAUUUUGAAUUUUUGUAUUGAUUUUUUCAAUGGUAGAUAAAGAUGUUUUGGGUAAAAAAAAUGAAAAAAUUCACUGCAUAUUGAAAGGAGCAAGUGAUGUGUCAUUUAUUUUUUUAUUAUCAUAUUAUCUCUUAACUAAAAAAAAAUUAAGUUUAAGCCUAUAUGUUUUUGGCCAUCCAGGCUAGGCCAGAGUGUCCGGGUUGGUGGUUUUUUUGUCCUUUGAUUUUUUUUAUUGGUUUAUUUUUUUUUUACUAAUUUUAUCCUUUAAUGUUUGUUUUUUAUUGAAUUUUUGUAUUGGCUUUUUUCUUUUCAAUUUUAACUCUAACACAUUUUUUUUAAUGUAAUUCAAUUUAAUUUAAUACCAUUUAGUUUUUACUUAAUUUACAAAUAAAAUUUCAAUGUUUUUUUUAUGUUUUUUAUGAUAUUAUGAGGCAUUGUUAUUUAUGUAUAGCUCUAUUUAAUUUUUUUUCUUUAAUUUUUAUUCAAUCUCUUUCUUAAGUGUGUUUUUUAUUAUCAUUUUAUUAAAUAAAUAUUAAUUUCAAGAAAUAAAAUUAUUAAACACAAUCGAGGACCUAUCUAUAUUGUGAGAUUAAAUUUCUUGAUUUAUAACAAUCUCUUGAUUUUUUCAGUUUGGGUUUUAGUUAUUGUUGAUUUUUGUAUGUUUAUAGGCACAAAUGAUUUCUUAUUUAUUUAAUUAAAUGCAUGCAUCAACUUUUUAAUUUACGGUUAUGAUUUUUUAUGUCAAAAAUAUACUUCUAAAAAAAACAGGGUCUUUAAUGGUCAUUGCUCAUAUGAAAGUGAAACAAUUUUUUUUUUGGUUUUAAUUGUACCUUUCAAUUGCCUAAUUAGAUGGAAUUAGUGUUGCAAUUAUUGUAGAAGUACUAAAUAAAAAAAAAGGGACUAAACUUUAAAACAUGGAGAACAAUAAGUCUAAUUUGAAAUCUAUGCCAAUGUUUAUUUCGAUCCAUAAGUUUUUUUUUUGUCCCUAGUAAUAGAGAGACUCGAUGAAAAUGAUAAUAAAAAGAGAAAGUGGUUGGUUGUCGUGACUCAAGCCAUAAAAGUGAUCAAGUUUGGUGCUUAAAUGUUUCAUUCGACGAAGGAGUGGGGAAUUAAAUGGUGGUGGUUAUUGGCUGUCACAUUGCUCAAAAAAAUAGAUCGGAGCUUGGAAAGAUUUGGGAUCUUAGGUUGAUUUUUCAUUUUUUGAUGAAUUUUUGGCAACUUUAGGAGCAUAAGUUUGUUGAGUUGUGUAUUGUAACAUCCUCGUUAGCAAAAUCAUUAUAUCAUCAUUUUCUUUCACAUUUAAACAUGCAUAAUUUAAUAAGUGAAGGGAGCAUGCAAACGUCAGGAAUUCAAACACAAAAUAGUACAAUCUUGUAUUACGACAUCUAAUAUAAAUAGAAUAUUAUUACAAUUUAAGUUACAUAAUUACCCAAAAAAAAACCAAAAUACAUAGAUGUUUUCUUAAAUUCAUGAUUCAUACAAAAGGGAACGACCUAAAUACUACUCCUGAUGUGGGUGGGAAGGACAUAUAAUUUCAUAGUUUUUUAAAUAAUAUAGUAAGGAUAAAUAUAGCUGAGAAGGAAAAAUUAUACAAUACUAGCACAUAUAAUUAAAUAAAUAUAUUCAACAGUAUCCCAUCAUACUUCUUUGAAAAUUAUCAUUUAACUUUACAUCAAUACAUUCCUAUUCAUCAUUCUCGAAACCGUUCAACAUUUUCAUUUUAUAAACAUUCAUAAAUGUAUCUCCCCUUCUCUUUUUCAUAAAAGAUACCAACAAUACUGCUUCUUUCCAAACCUGAAAAGGUCAUUGCUAACACUAAUAACUCUUAUCAUAACCUAAUUUUUAAAUAAAUAAUAAAAAUUGAAUAUAGUUGACAAUAAGAUUAUUAAAUUUAAGAGUUAAUUGAUCGAUAAUUGAAGAAUUAAAAGUUGAAAAGUUAAUUAAGGAUCAAAUUGAACAAUCCAGGAAUUAAGGACUGUUUUGUAAAUAGUGCUAUAAUUUAGGGAUUUAGGUGAAAUUAAUCCAGUGGCAAAAUUAAAAGAAUUUUUUUAUUAUUAUUAUUUGGGAUCCAAUUGUUAGAUUUCCAGAAGCAGGGGUCAAAUUGAAAAUUUCCAUUUCUGCCGAAACGGCACCGUUGCUGGGGAACAGUCGUGCGUCUUCUUCAUCCCGAUUCAACAGGGAAGCUGGAAAAUCAGCAGCAAAGCCGACCCAAUCGUGACCACGUUCUCUGCCCACAAUCCCGUUCGUGGAGGGAUAACAGUCCUGCAAAGGCAGGACUGGUUUAGGGGCAAGCUCUCUGGGCCUUAUAAAAGGCAGAGCAGAGCAGAGGCUAGGGAGACAGAAAAAAAACAGAGGAAAAACCCAGAGAAGAAAAGGGAGCAGAAGGAGACAGACAGGGGAGACGGAAAAUCAGAGCAAAAACAGAGGAAGAUCCAGAGCUAAAAAAAAACAGAGCAUAAACCCAGAAAAAAAAAUACACAGAGAGAAGGAGAGAAUAAGAGAGUAGCACAGAGAGGAGAAUUAUCCCUGCAAUUGUCUUAGUCCCUGCAGAAAAAGAGCAACCCGGAAUCAGUAAAAAAUUCAGAGAAAACAGACAUACCCAUUACCUUCUCAUCUUCUUCAUCUCAAGAACUGAGAAAUCAAAAGAAGGGAAGACAGUGGGCACAACGAGGAGAGAGAGGAAAGCAGUCGAACGAAAGUAGCCACUAGUGUUGCAGCCUUCUUCGCCAUCUCCAGAAACAGGUGCGCCCAUUCCCUUUCAUUUGCUGUGAUUCAAUAACAUUUGAGCAGUGCGCAGGUAAUUUAAAUACCUUCGCACUGUUGAUGCACGCGUGAAAUUGCUUCACGCGUGCAUCUGCCAUCUGCCCAGCCGAUCACUGGCUUGCGCCAGUGACCGGGCUGGCUGGCCCAGCCCAGCCUAAAAAAAUAAAAAUAAUAAAAAUUGUGUAAAAAAUAUAAAUAUGAAUUUAUUAUUUUUUAUUCAUUGAUGCCAGAGUCAGAAUAAAAAUACUGAUUCAAAUUUAUUUCAUUUCAUUGUAUUUUAUUUAGUUACAUAAAAAUAAAAGUGUGCAUGCAAAAAAAAAAGAUAAGAUAAAAUAAAAUAAAUUUAUUGGUUUAUUCACUGACGCCAGAGUCAGAAAUAAAAAUACUAAUGCAAAUUUAUUUUAUUUUAUUGUAUUUUACUUUUUAGCUACAUAAAUAUUUUUUGUAUGUGUAAAAAUAAAUUUAUUUUGUUUAUUCACUGACGCCAGAGUCAGGAAUAAAAAAUAUUGAUUUAAAUUUAUUUUUAUUUUAUAGCUACGUAAUAUUUAUCAACGCCAGAGUUGGAAGUAUCCGUAGUUGAAUAUUCACUAGCGCCAGAGUCAGGAAUAUUAGACGCAAACCAUCGUAGUAUAAACCAACAAAAUGUUAAUAAUCUAUGACAAAAAAAAAUCAGCAAUGCAGCCUGCCUCAAGCAGGAUGUUUAAGGGGUGAUAAUAUCUUUCCUUUUACAUAACCAAUCUCGUACCAUAGAAUCUAUGUUGACCAGUUAGGAUUCUUAGUGACCAUAAUACUAGGUGGUGACUCCUUAAACAAGACCAUUCUCAUCAAAGAAUAGGAUGCCAGAAAUCCAUUCUUUUCCAAAAACAUAAUUUUAAGGCCGCCGCGAUGUCGGGUGCGACAACUCUCAUCAGUUCCUUUAGUCGCCCAUUCCAGGAUCGAUUAAUCAAAUCCUUGGGAAUGUCAACAUCAACGUAACUUGUUGAUGUCAUUGACUAUUUCUAAACUGAAAUAAUCAAUCAAUGUUCCAUACCACCUUGGAGUAUCCUCGAAAAUACUGAUGUUAAGGAUCCUUGAUAUCAUUAGCUUUCACCUCAGGAAAGCUAAUCAAGUUUCAUGAAUUUGCCGAUAUCAAUGUCACCCGUCGAUAUCAUUAAUUAUUCUCAACCCGAAUAGUUAAUCAAGCUCAGCAUUCCUCAUCCUCUGUAAUGGUCAUGCCGAUGUUAGCAAAUCUUACUAACAUCAUUAGCCUUUUAUAUUCAGGACCGACUAAUCAAAUCCAAUGAGCGGUUAUUCGUGAAAUUCAUUAACACCAUUCAUCAUCCCCGAUCAGAUCCAUAACUCAAAUCUAAUUUUUCAUUUCCCAUUCAUUCCAUUUUAUCUUUUCUCUCGUUGGUCUCUUUUACAGGCACAAGAUUCACAAUUUAAAACAAACUACUAAAAUUACCAUUAUUUAGGGAUGGUAUACCUGCCACGGAAGCUCAGUUUGCACUCGCUUGUUGUUGUUGUACUCCUCUUGCAAUUCCUCCUGAAUCCACAAGUACAACCCAUUUUUCUAUAUUCAAAUCACAUUUUGAAAAAUAACAAUAACAAUAACAAUAACGACAACGUUUACUCUUCUUUUAUAAUUGUUUCUCUUACAUUUACGUUCCCGAUACACCUCUUAAGAUUAUGGUUCAUUAUCAAAUCCUAACGAACAAUCACAAAAUUCCAUUCCGAGUAUGGUUUAUUUCUUUACGAAUAUCAAGGCAAGACGCUAUAAAUUUAUGAAAGGAAGGAAACCGGUUUCUACCUUUGACGUGGGUAAAUUUCCCCAUUUUUGCUGAAUCUGCCAGCAGAGAUGGCAACUUGACCUCCCCUCAGAUUUUUACCUAUAUCCGGGGCUCUAGAGCUCUAAAUUAAAUAAGGUCAAACCCGUUGGAAAGCUAACAUCUCAGACUACAACUUCUAUGAAGAAGCUUUUCCAGAAUUCUAUUGUCUCCAGGCUCGAAUCCUUUUGGGAAUCAAGAUAACGAAUCUAUCUAGUUUUCAUCAAUGAGUGAAAUGUAUCUCCAAUUAUCUCCAAUACCCCUUUCCUCCUCCGAUAGAGCCCUACCCACACUAUACAUGGUAAACUUUUGUUAUGUUUUUGGUCUCUCCUUCUCUCAAUUUUGAUAGAAAAUCUAGAAUUCUCCCUCCUUUUUUUAGUGUUGCCAGGUUCUAAAGGAGGAAGAAAUGGGGUAUUUAUAAUCCCCAUUUCUUUUUAAUUAUACUUUGGCCCCAAUUCUAUCAUUUUUCAUAAUUUGGACCACCCUUUUAUGGCUUUCAAAAUUAAUAAAUUUUUUUGUAAUUAUAUUAUUUAUAUAUUCUAUCAAUUUUUUUUUGUAUGAUUUGUUCUCAGGGUUUCACAUGUAUGUUGUUUUUCAUGGGUUUUCAGGUCAAAAACUGGUUGAAAAUGGGUUAUUUGGUCCAAAUAACAAAAACCAGGUUUCUAGGUAGUUGGGCUACUGGAAACUAGGUAAGUGAAUGAUACGUCGUCUAUCUCAACAUUACAUUAAUAAAAUGACGUGUUGUUUGUUAUACUUUAUUUUUAAAAAUAAAAGACAGAUGACAUGUCGUCUGUCACUUUAAUAAAAAAAACAAAACAAAGACCAGAUGCAUGGACCUGGCCUCCAAGCACGUGGGCUUAGACUCUAGGCUUGCAUGCACAUGCUACUAGAGGGCCAGACACUAGAACUGUUUCUUUUAUGUCCUUUUUUUCCCCUAUCACGCAAAAAACUAAAAUUACUAACUGAGUUUUUUGCAGUUUUCUCUUUACACACAAAAAAAAAAUAUUGCUUUCUAACUCAAAUUUUAUAUGUAAAUCCUUAAAAUAAACAUUAUGAUAAAUUAUUUAUUUCUUAGUGAAUUUACUUUUUCUAUUUUGAUUGAAUUUCAUAUUUAUUAUUUUUUAUGUUAAUUUGAAUUCAAUCUGCUUUGAGAAUUAAACUACAUAUAAAUCUUUUAGAUGUUUUACAUAAAACAUUUUCUGAAGAGUUAAUUAAUAAACUUUUUAAGGAAAAAUUGAAAUUUAUAAAAUAUAACGAUUUUUUCAUUUAAUUUUCUUAAAACAAAAAAAAAAACCUUAUUGAUGAACGUAUUAAAUAUUAAAGAAUGUAAUUGAUAAAGAACAAGUAUUUGAGAAGAAAUUGAUAGAAAUUAUACUUCUAGUAGGUAAAAUGAAAUUAAUUCUAAGAAAAUAAUUAAUUAUCUAAUUUAUUUUUUUAUAAAAAAAUAAAAUUAGUAUUUUACUAGUAAACCCUUUUCACACUUUGUAACUUCAUUUUAGCAACUAAACUAAAUAUAUCUGGAGGUUUUACUCUAAACUCACUCGCAUUGUGGAUUGUAAUAUUUCAUUGUAAAUUUUUUUUUUCAUUUCUAUUUUUUAAUCAUUUGACUUUUUUGUUUUUAAUUUGAUCCUUUUAUGUUAGGAUGUUUUAGGGUUAGCCUUAGUGAUUUGUUUUGGUUUGCUUGAUAUUGAGUCCUCACGGUGUUAGGAAACAAAUCCAAUGCUUGGUUGAUACUCGAUUUGAUAAAUUCAAAUUCAAAUUAAAUUUUUGUUAAUUCAAAAUAAUCUAAACUUUAGGGACAAAAUUAAACCUUACACAAAUUUCCAGCCCCCCGUUUAGACUAAUUAGGGGCUAAAAGGAAAACUUAGUUGGUGCAUGAAACACAUAAGCCAAUGUGUGAGGGAAGGCCACCACGUUAUGGUGGCGUGUGUGCCGUCCUCCAAACUCUAAAGGGAUUCCCAUCAGAAUCGUCUCGAUAAUGCAUGCCUUAUAAGGUGGCACAUGUUAGCGAAAGAGCUUCGGUGUAGUUUUGACGACUCAUAAUUUUUUUCUUCUUUCUCUCCCUCUCUCUUCUCUAUUCUCUCAUUGAUUUUGUGUCUGACUCUCUCCAAAAUAUAAAAAAGGGGUUGUUGAUUGUUUUUUUUUGCCAAAUUUAAUCAUCAUUAUUUUAAUUGCUAAUUGUUUUGUUUUGAAUUCUUUUUUUGAAACGAUUUUUUUUAAAUUUUAUUCUUCAAUAUCGGAUUGGUUGAGAAUUGGACUUUGUAUAUUUUUUUAAUCCAUCUUAUACGGGGUAAUCUUGGUUUCAUGACCCGGGUUCUAGGUUAAAAAGGUUAAUCCAUGUUGAGUGGAGUCUUUUUUUUUGUCCUUUUUUUCAUUGAGUUUUUUUUCUUUAACAUUUGAUUAAUUGAGAUUUGAGUUUCGUAAUUGUUUUUUUGAUUUUUUUUCUAUAAGUUUAUCCCAGUUUCAUGACCCGGUCGUGGGUUUGGUGGGUUAACCUGAGUUGACUUGAAUCUUUUUUUAUCGUUUCUUUUAAACUAGAUUUUUUUUUAUUUUUGUCCUUUAAUAAUUGAUUGGUUAGAAAAUGAAUUUCAAAAUUUUUUCAGUUUGAUUUUUACUAGGUUAUCCGGUUCUUAUGAUCUGAGUCACGAGUUUGACAGGUUUAUCAAUGUUGACUUGAAUCGGUAUUUUUAUACUUUUUAAAAAUUGAAUGUUUUUUUUUUAUAAUUUUUUUUUUAUCUUGGGUUGAUUGAGAAUUGAAUUUCAUAAUUUGUUUUGAUGUGCUUAUUAUAAAAUUAUUAAAAUCUAAUGUCUGAAUUAUAAAUUUUAUAGAUUAAAUUAUAUUGAUUAAAAUCAAUUUAAUAUAUUAUUAUCUUAUAAGUUUUUUUAAAAUAAUAUUAUUUUCUCAAUCUUUAAAAAAAAAUGUCGCUCAUUUUUUAUUAGAUUUUGAAUUUAUAAUUAUUAUUUUUUAUAUAAAAAGCACGUUAGCAACAUUUUUAUGUAUUUAUUUAUUUUAGAAAGAAAAAUUGAUCCGACCUGGCCAAGGAUAUAGUGAUUUGAUAUGAGAUCUACAAGUGCCAGAGAAGAGCAGUCAGGACAACCAUAGACAAAAAUGUCGAUGUGUUCUUCUGAGUCUUCAUCGAGCAAAUUUUGGAUCGUGCACAGCAUUGUAGCCGGGGCUGCAAUUGCUGCUGCCAUUGGCGCUGGUGCAUAUCUGGGUCGAUACAGAAAGUUCAGGAGCCGAGUUGUUGGUAUCAUACCCGCCCGUUAUGCUUCUUCUCGGUUUGAAGGCAAACCACUUGUUAAUAUCCUUGGUAAACCCAUGAUCCAGGUACCCUUUUGCCUCCCUUUCUUUUAUUUCAUUCAUUACUUCUUUUAAAGUUUUUUCAUUUCUUGAUUUUUAGUUUUGCAUGUGAUUUUUUUGAGGUGUUAAUUCAGUGAUUUGAUAUGAGAUCUGAUAUGGGUUUUGUAUAUUUGGAUUCCUUCAGUGAUUGGUAAUUUGUUUUAUAGCAAAAGCUUACUAAAGUGCCCAUCUAACCCUUUUUUUUGGUCAACUUUCUUGUACCUUUUCUUAAGAUCUUUUUACAACCAAAAACUUUUUCAAGGGCUGUUUUGUGCGGAAUCGAGCUUGUGUGAAAUUAUUUUAAAUUAGUGUUAUCCCUUUUUACAACAUAGUUGUUGGGGCACUAUAUGUUAAGUGAUCCAGUACUGAAACAAGGAGUAAAGAUUAGCAAACAAAGGUGUUUUCAUUGAUUGAUCUUCUGUACUCAAUUUCUCAUCUUUAGAAUUAACGUGUUUAUCUUGUGCUAAAUCUUUUGAAGUGAGAUUAUUUACUUUAUCUUGUACUAAGUUUUUUGAAUUAUAGUGUACUGUUUGAUAUGGGGAAAGAAAUGGUUCUUUUAAUUUAUAAUUAAUUAAAAAUUAUAAAGUACCUCGAAAGAGAGUUCCUUUAUACUCACACUUUUAGUUGAUCAUCUACAGAGAACUUGGGAAAGGGCCAAACUAGCAAGUACACUGGAUCAUAUAGGUAAGUAACUAGCCCGAGCUCCACCUUAAUUUGAUGGGGAGCUGUUCUGCUUCGUGUAAUAUUGUCAUUGAGAAUAUCUCUAUAGAGGUGUUCCUGGAUUAAUUUAUGGAUCAAAACUAAAAUGCAUUGAGAAUCUCUAUGUUCGUUUGAUCUGGUUAGACUUUUAAUGCAUUUAGAUGCCUAAAGUCUGGCUUUGAUGUUGUGGUCGCCAUCAAAAGUGAUCUAUUAUGUGCUAGACUUGUUCGAUAACUGCUCGGUGUUAGUAGUCUUUCAUUUAUUUUUCAAUUGUGACCCAUAGAAGGGGAAAAAACUGCUUGCUACAAUAAUUGUAUUGGUGUAGAUUCUUUUCUGUGACUUGAAUGGUGUAAUGUGUUUGUUGAUGAUCUUAACAAUCUCUUUCAUAAACUUUGCCAAUGCAGUUGUGGCUACGGAUGAUGAAAAAAUUGCAGAAUGUUGUCGAGGAUUUGGUGCUGAUGUGAUAAUGACUUCAGAGUCCUGUCGAAAUGGUAGGUAUCUCAGUUAUUGUUCAAUGUAACUCGUAAUUUUUUUUUUUUUUUCCAAAGGCCGGGUAAUGAUCUUUCGUUGUUGUGCAGGUACUGAACGAUGCAACGAAGCACUUCAAAAGCUAGAUAAGAAAUAUGAUGUUGUUGUCAAUAUUCAGGGUGACGAGCCUCUCAUUGAACCUGAGAUAAUAGAUAGAAUUGUUAAAGCACUGCAGGUGAAUUUAUUUAUCUUUGUAAUGAACAUCUCUUGAAUCAUGACCAUGAGAACUGAUGAACAAAAGGUUCAUUUUUUAUCUUUAUAAAUUUUUAUAUUUUCACAAGGUUUGUUUUAAGCAACUUGAAAAAUCCUGUGAAGUGAAGAAAAUGAAUGACCUGUGCAGCUUUAAAAUCGUUUCAGAAGUUAUACUGCAUUGGUUUGAUCGUAUUGCAGUACUUGUCAUUAUUUAAUACCUUUAGUUGAAGUUUAUCAUUAUUCAUAUGGAUGCAGGCAGCCCCAGAUGCAGUGUUUAGCACUGCUGUAACUGCUUUGAAGCCUGAAGAUGCAUUCGAUCCCAAUCGAGUGAAAUGUGUGGUGGAUAAUCAUGGCUAUGCUAUCUAUUUUUCAAGGGGAUUAAUUCCUUACAACAAGUGAGUUUAUCAAGUAUUAGUUGGCUGUCUUAAUUUUCCGCACAACUCUUCAUGUCAGACUGUUAAUGAAUAUAUUUACCCACUUGAUACAGAACGGGAAAGGUCAAUACACAAUUUCCUUAUAUGCUUCAUCUAGGAAUUCAGGUAUGAAGAUGGCAUCUUUUUUGGAAGUUCUCUCCAUGUUUGAGUGAUUGCUGGGUUGUCUGCACGGGUUCUGUUUUUCAGCCACGUUGUUUGCCAUCCUGCACUUUAAUAACACUGCAUAUCAUCUGAUGUUUGAUCAGAGUUAUGAUACAAAGUUUCUGAAGAUAUAUCCUGAGCUUCGAUCUACUCCACUGCAACUAGAAGAGGAUUUGGAACAGCUUAAGGUCCUUGAAAAUGGUUACAAAAUGAAGGUAUUAUAAAGAACUUCUACUGUUACUCUACCCCCUUGACUGGCUUGUUUUAUUUGAAACUUCUUGCAUAAUAGUUUUAACAUUGCAAGGCUUUCUCAAAGCUGUUAUUUGUUUCUCUUACAAUAUGGUCUAGGCCCUAGACUAGGCUGUUUCGGUAAUGAAAGCAAAAUAUUUCUUUUGGGUGUUACCCUUUGAAAUGGAAGAAUCUUUCCCAUUUUUUGUAUUCUUCUCUUGUAAAAACUUUGUUUGGAUAGAAAAUUGAAGCCAAUUUGAUUUUUAAAUCGUAUUGAGCGUUAUUUUCAAAGGAAAAUAGGAAGAGAAAUUUGAAAUAAAACGGUCGAUUAAUUUUCUCUAAUCUUUUUGCUAUUCUACUUAUCCAUUAUCUCAUGUUAGAUGCCUUCUUCUCUUCUCUUUAUUUUUUCAGGACCACUGUAUAUUGUUCACUUCCUAAGAAAACUGCAUGUAUUUUCAAAUGUUAUUAUCUAAAAAUUAGGUUUUUGUUUUCCUUUUCCAUAUGAAUGAAUUAGAUUGUGCUUGCUAAAAUAUCAAAAUUUAGAACUGUACACAAAUUUUGCAGGUGAUAAAAGUUGACCACGAGGCACAUGGUGUCGACAUUCCAGAAGAUGUUGAAAAGUUAGAAACUUUGAUGCGUGAGCAAAGCUUUUCUUAGUUCAAUACUAACUAUGCCAAAGGUUAGUUUUUAAGAUGGAUAGGGUUGUAUGCGUGUUUAAUAAACAGGUCCAAUAUACAGUUCAAUACUAACUAUGCCAAAGGUUAGUUUAGAAGAUGGAUUGGGUUGUAUGCGUGUUUAAUAUACAGGUCCAAUGGAUAGGGAUGUCAAGUAGGAUGCUGAUUAUUGGUUGCACAAGCCAGUUUUUAAUAUUAUAGUUAUAUAGUGCAAUGCUAUUCUUUAUAGGUUCAUUUACUUUUUGAUUAAUUUUUUGUGUUACCAAGUUCAGUGAACUAUUAUGCGGCAACGAGUGCCUGUAGCUAUAACAGAAGAAGUGGGGAUAGCUGAAGUCUUUGUUUUUGUUAACUGUAGCUCGUUCUUUUUUUCUAAAUAUAAACCCUCUCAAUUUAUUCACAUUGUUUAUCUGAGCCUUAUAAAUAAAAAGAAUUAAUGGCUCAAUGAUCCUUCUCAACAUCAUGUGUUGUAGUAAAGUACACACUGGGUUGAGAUUACUAGGUUGCAUUAGAGAUGAAUGGUGGGUUUUCAACUCAUCCUCUGUGUGAUUUAAACCAUUCUCUCUAAAAGUUACUGGUUUUGGACCUAAACGUUGUCUUCAGUAGAAAUAGGGCUCGGGUUGCCUUCUUUAACACUGCUUUUCUACAGUGGAAUCUCUGAUGUUCAUGUUCAUUAAACAAAAUAAAAAAAAGAACCCCAAAUAAACUGUAUCGAAGUUGUUAGUGUCCCAUCAAGAUUUAGUAGGUUAGAUGGGCACCGAGCUGGCUAGAUCUUAAUGCCAUACGGUCCAGACCUGUUACUUUGUGGACAUCGUUUGUCAUCUCAAUGUUUUCCAAAUAGAAAGUUUGACCAGGUAAGAGCACUAGCUAAGGCAAAGUAGAGAUGAAGGGCACAGAAAAUCAAUCUACACUAGUGUCAAUAUCAAUUCAUGCUUUCAGCAACAGAAUAUUUGAGAUGAACUUCGUACAUUAUUUUCUUUUCCUCAACCCUGACAUGGGUAAUCUACAUAAUUUCACAAGAUCAACUUGCUCGAAGGAAAAAGAAAUAAAUAAAAUCAUCAGGCCAGUUUCUGGGCUGACUGCUACUGAGAAGUGGAGUAGCUUUAACGUUAACAUCUGGGAAGAUCAGCUGGUGGAGGAAGCAGUUUCUGAUUGGGAAGCUUUCCAUCCAAGACAAUACAAGCCAUCUUCAAUCACUUGAUUGUCCUGCAUAAUGAGCUCCAAGCUUGGUGUUAAAGGAAGCACAACCAGCCUGGUUCCAUUGCUCACCAUAGUGUUGUUUGGUGGGUUUCCAGUUUAAUUAAAGGGAGUUAGCGAACUGAUUGGAAAACUAGGAUUGUAAACACACUUUAAUUGACCAAAAUGGUGGGUUGGAGCAGAGCUGUAGUUGGCAUUGCAAAUGAAACAUUGUUCACUAAACCUUCAAACAUUGUUCCAUUUGGUCCCUGACAGGUUUGAGUUUGAGGACAUGGGUUUGUACCAAGACGCACUGUGAAGAAAAACUGCCCGUGGGCCUUUUGUGGCACGUUGGCAGGGAAUUCCGCACCAGCUAAGCUACGAAGUUUGCUUGUAAAAUUUGUCGCAAAUGAAGUGUCAUUUAGAGGUGGUAGAUCUGCUUUAUAGAGAGUGAUUUUAUUUUUUAUUUUUUUAACUGAGUAGCUUGUUUGAAGGGUUUUGGAUGACACUUCAUGUUCUAAAAAGCCAGCAACAGUUGAAUUGUCAAAAAUACCUUGUCCUGUCGCAUAAGGUCUAGCAGUCAUAACAGGAGCAUCAAAUGGUUUGACAUAAACAGCAUCAUCUGCAACCACUGUGAGUGUAUGGCUUGCUAUGCUCAUCAUCGAGUGCAGCGCUGAUCAGGCGAAGAAGGCAAGUCUUCCCAGGCUUUACCUUAAGCUUGAAAGCAUCUGUCAAGUGCCAUUUGUAUAACGUAGAUGAGAGAAACAUCCGCACGUAAACGCUUAAUUUUUUUAUAGCCAUAAUUUAGAUACUUGCACGACAAACAUUUGGCAGAGCAGUUAUAUAAUGGCUCUGGAAAUCCGUUGAUAGUAUAAGCAUCAGACAGAUUUGGCCCCCCACCUGUUUGCAUUGCCUGGUUUAACGAUUGCCUCUGGAUCUGCUUUGAACCACUCUCUUGCAAUUUGUAUUGCAUUAUUGUUUGUGUUAGCUGAAAUAGGACUACCUCCACCGGAAAAAAAGAGAGUAAAUUUCAAUUACCAAAGAUGAUUGGAACAUUCAUGUAAGGUUUAGCAAAUGGACUAGUGCCGUGGGACGCGCAUCAAAAGUCUAAGUCCAAACGAGUCAAAUGAGGUUUAGCUUAUUUUUGGAUUAUUAAGAUAUUAUUUAGAACUUUUCAAUUCCGAGUCUCUAUAGUAUAUGAGUGCAAUUAAGAUAUUAUUGGUAAGAGCCUGGGACCAAGAGGUUUGCUCUCUCUGUGGUCUCAGGUUCGAGCUCUGUGGUUGCUCAGAUGAUGGCCACUGAAGGCUUACAGGGUCGUUAACUUUAGGGCCCGUGGGAUUAGUCGAGGUGCGCGCAAACUGGUCCGGACACCCACGUUAAACUAAAAAAAAAAAAUGAGUGCAAUUAUAGUGCUUGAGAAACCCUAACUUUCAAUCUUCCAUUAUAAGUUGCAUUAAUUGGAAUUAGAGCGGGUUGACUUGUUUGAUGGAUAAAGGUGUUGGUAACAUAUUUCCACCUGAAGUGGAGGCCUUCUAGGAUGUUACGAGGGCUCGAGAGGCAACAUGGAAAGUACUGACACAUAAAUUUGAUUGGUUGGACAGGGGGAGGCCCAACAAGGGAAUGUGUUGAGGAGAGGGACGUGCCUAGAUAAUUACCUCAAGAAAGACCAAAGCCCGUAUUUAUUCCUACAAACUCAUAUAGGCAUCAUGUCAAUAAGAAAGUGGUAUUUUAUGAUAGAUGAUACAUUGAAGACUUAACUUGCAGCUAACCUUUUCAUAGAUGUAAAAAAAUCAAUAUUAUUUAAAAGAGGCCCUCUAAACUUUCAGUUUGUUUGUAAGAGUUGAAAGCAUAUUUUCAAUUGAAGAAGAUUCCUAGUUAUCAGAAAGGUAGGAUUUGAUCCCUUAAUUUUUAUAAAUUUUCAGUUUGUUCCCUCAAUGUUUAGAAAUUUUUAGUUUUCAAAUUGAUUUUUAUGAAUAAUUGAGGUUUAUUGACUUGUUUUGUUUUGAAUUAAAAUUUUAGAAACCGUUUGAUUUUUGGUUUUUUUUUGGAAAAAAAUUGUUUGGUUCCUAAAUAUAUAGAGUUAUGAGUUAGACCCUAGGAUGAACGUAUUAAAUUGACUUUAUGUUCCUUUCAAGUUUGUUUUGAGCAUGUCUUCUUUUGUAUUCAAAUAUUCCUGACAUUCCACAUAAGUAUAUUAAUAGAAUUUCUUUCAGCAUCUGCUUAUGUGUUUGUUUUGCUUUUGUGUUAAGCGAGUAGAUAAUAUUUUACAUGUAUGAGAAAUAAUAUAAACUAGCUAUGUGACCCGCGCUUCGCCGCGGGUCAAAUAUUUUUAUUUUUCAUAAAAAAAGAUAUAUGCAGGUUGUUUUCAACGUAUUUUUGUGGUCAAAAAAUGUAACAAAUCAAAAAGUUUAUGCACACAUGUAAUCAAAUAAACUAACAAUUAUGUAAGCUAAUAGAUAAAUAAAAAAUCAUUAAUGACACCUAAAAACAAAACCUGAAAAACUGAGAGACAGAUGUAGAUCAAUAUAUUUAAUCUUGAAAAAUAUGACAUGAAAUUGAUUGAAUAAUAAAAAAAAGAAUAACAUGUAAGGUUACACAUAUUAAAAAUAUUAUCUGAAAAUAAAUAUUUUGUAUUUUCAAAAACAUAGUUUAUCUAUAUAAAAGAUAAAAACAAAACCUUAGAUGAACAAGAAAACCUUUAUGAAAAUUAAACGCAUAAGAAAAAAAUCAAUAUUAUUUAAAAGAGGCCCUCUAAACAAAAUAAAAGAGAGGAGGUUUUUUCUAUUUUUUUAGUUUUUAGUUUUUUAAUCGGUCAUGCCAUUUUAUUUCUUUUCAAUUGCAUUCUUUAAAGUUAUAUUUUUAUGGCAACCAUGUCAGAUCCAAGGUGCUUGGCGCUUGGGUCUGGCAACCAUGCCAGCAACAGCGAUGCGUUGCCUGUUUUGCCUAAAUUCCGGUCAGUGUGGUGACUGAAAAAGCAGGGCCUAUGCUCUUAUGACCCAAAAACCUGUUUUGCAAUAUGUUUUUGACCCAAAACACCUAUAAAACACUAUAGAAAUCAUAAUAAACCCAUUCAUGACCUUUAAAAAAAAAAUCCAAAUAUCCGCCCUAAAACCAAAUUUAACCCAAAAUAAAAAAUUAACCCGAGUUCAAAUCUAUUUUUCACAAACUUUUAAGGUAUAAAACACCUAAUAUGACUCCCCUCAUCAAAUGGAACAAUUUGACACAAAAAUCCCUUAUUUUAGUGGUCUAAAUCGAUGCCAACGACAAGUUUCACUCUCUACCGCUAUAAUUCGACGACUCCCCUCUCCCUUCUCUCUCAACUAGAGACAAAAAAUUAACAAAAAUAAACUUCUGCAUCAAAAUAGAAUUCGAACAAUUUUGAGGGACCGAAAUUGUAUAAUCUGUUUAACUCUUUACCGCUAGAAUCCGACGACUCUCCUCUCGCUCCUCUCUCAACCAGGGAUAAAAAAUUAACAAAAAUAAACCUCUGCAUCAAAAUAGAAUUUGAACAAUUUUGAGGGACUGAAAUUGUAUAAUCUAUGUAAUUGUUUAAGUUGGAGGACCAAAGUGAAUGUUUCUGAAAUUUAUGGUACGUCACCCAUGUUUGCCCCGUGUUUCAUUUCGGUCCCUCCUCUUCGAAUCCUAUCAUUUUAUAAGAAUUUGAAAUCAAUUGCUCCUUAAAUAGGACUUGAUCGCCCAAAAACAAAGUUUGAUGACCAAACUGAAAAAAAAACAAAUUUUUGCAUAGUGACAAAUGUACAGUGAAAAUACACCGCGUUUUGCUUUAUUGCCCGUGUUACGUAACAUGCAUGAUGAAUUAUUUUUAGCAAAUAUAUAAACCAUUCAAACAUAAUAAAUUUCUAAAUAUUUUUGUCAUAUAAAGCUCCAAGUGCAUGUAAACAAAGCAAGCAAUAGCAAUAUUAUAAAACAUUUUUUAAUCCGAGAAUUAAUUGAGACACAACGUUGCAUGAAGGCCAAUCAAACAAAAGACAUAAUAUUUAACAAAAUGACCAUAGUGCAACAAAAAGGUUGCAUGGAGUUUGUUUCAACAAUUAUAGUCCUAGAGUAGGCAAAAAGUUAUAGCAACCAACAUGACAUUUAGCAAAAUGAUCAUUGUGCAGGAUGUUGUCUUCUUGAUCUCUCGCUGUUCCUGCAAUAAAAUGGAGGGUAGAAGAAGUGGGUAAGUAUCAUAUGAUUGAAUAUAUACAUGUAGGGUCAAGCAACAAAAUGGAUGAGAUAAUUAGUUAACAAAAUAAGAACGUGGAUAGAAAAUUAAGAGCAUCACCUUAGCAGGUAUAGAAGAAAUGGGUCGUUGUUUCUUAAAAACCGGUUCCGCUGGAUUGUUAUCUCCUAUGAAAUAAUUAUUUUCUGAAAUGUAUACACAAAAGCUACUCAUCUUUUUUUUUUUUUUUCGUUCAAACCAUUCUUUAACCCUGACACAUGAUCCUUUUGUCAAAUGAUAGCAGUUCUUUUCACUAUACCAUAGCAAAGUGAAAGAUAACAAAUCAAAUAACAACCAUAACAACUAGGAAAACCAACAAGCAAUGACCAAAAGAAUAGAAGGUUGGGAAAAUACAUCAACCAAUUUUAAAAAACACACGACAAACUAAAUUAACAAAAACCAAAUCCAGCAAAACUCAGAGAGAAACAAACAUGGAAAAUCAACGAAGACGAAAUGCAAUGUAACUAUGAAAGCAUGAAAACUGUGGCCAACACAAAGUAAAGGAUGCAAAAACAUGGCAACCCUCGAAACAACAAUACGAAAAUAGAAAAAGAAAGUCAAUCAAAUAGUACAUAAAGUGACAACACAACAAACACACAUUAACAAAAAAGAGCAAAUCAAGCAAGUUAACAAAACCAAACAGUAAGGAAAGGACAAACCUUUUAUAACUCACCAAGAGAGGAUAUAAAGGAUCCAAUACCCCUAUACAGAGGAUCCAAAACCCCCAGAUUAAAUGUCAACACCUCAAGAAAUCAUCUAAUCAGAUUCAGUCUGCUCCUCUAAAGACCAACUACCCAGCCUAGCAUCCACUGCAUUAAAUGUAAAAUCCUCAUCGCAAGCCACAUUUCUCUAAGCCUAGACUCACAACCAAUUGAACGCCAUCCUGGAAAUCAAACCCCACAACUAGAGCUCUUACAAACCGACAGAGCUGACAACGUGUCACGGAUGGAAACAGAGAAGAUAGGAACUAACAAGGGAAAAGAGGGAUGUAAUUCAAAUCAAGCAUAACGAUUAUGUUUUACGAAAGCAGGAUUUAAUUCAAACAUAGUUAAACGAUUGUGUUUCACACAACCCGGUUAAAGUCACAAAUAACAAGAUAGCCACGUGUUGAGGUCAGGCAUCUUGUAGAAGAGAAUAGAUGUUUUUGGGUUCUUUAAAUACCCUAAGAAUUAUAACAGAUGGUUAUGACAUUUUAUAUAAUAGAAAUCCAAUAUUCUCUCAUUCCUUUCUCUGACGUGUUCCUUGGAAAUCCAUGUAGAGUGCAUGAACACAACCUUCUUCUCUUCUUCCCAACUCUUUCCUUCUUCACCAUUAUACUCAGCAUACGCUAGUUAAUCUUACACGCAGCACAACACCCAGCCAACCUGAGCCAACACACACAAACUAACCAAAAUCAAACCUUGCCACAACCAAAUCAAAAGCACACAGAUAAGAAAAAAAAAACAAAAUGAAGGGCAAAGAAAGCUCACCUGACCAACCCCCAAACAAAAAGCAAGAGAAAUAGCUGCCAACACCCCUCUAUUCUAGCUGGACCAAGCUAGAUCUAGCCACCAUGAGGCCUGGGAGAACGAAACAAAACCAUGAGAAUAUAGCCAAGACCAAACCACCCCCAAGCCUUACACAUCAAUAGCCGCGAAGCCAAACCAACCAUGCCCACAACGGAGAGGGUCUAGGUCAAUAGUACAAAAAAGUUCUUUCCCCACACAGUAUACUCUUGCCACACAUAUCAUAAUUGAAAAAUUGGAAAACACUGUGGACCUGAACAGUUUUUUCCCUCACCACAUCAUGUCUUUCCUCGAGAAAGAGGAAAAACAUUGUGGACAUGCACAAUGUUUUUCCCCACCAUACAUAAGGAGAGAAUGGGAAAAACAUUGUGGACUAGUGCAAUGUUUUUCCCAUGCCAUUUAGAUUAUAAGGUAAUAUUUGAAGAGUUAACAUGAACUGGAUCAUGCUUCUUGAUAAUAUAUAUUGAUUAUUAGCCUUUGUUAUAAUAAAACAUGAUCAUUUGUUGAAUCUGAAUUUUGGAUAUGAGAUAUAUAUGUGUACGUUUGAUUUAAUAGCUCCUUAUUUGAUUGAUGUUAUGAGUUGAGCUUGGGAUAUCAUUCUAUUUGUUUGAUUGUGAUAUGAACCCUUGGUAUACCAGUCAUAAUACCAAUAUUUAUAGGGUAGUGUUAGUCUUUGUGCACAUCGUAUCUAAACCCUAGUUGGCCAGGGGAGUCACCAACCUAUGAUGACUAAUUAUCCCACAAUCUGAAGCAUCAUACUCAUUGUAUUUUGACGAGUCUUACGUUAUGACAUUUUUUGUUAUGACGUGUAUGCGAAACUCUUUUGUCAAAGCAUAAGCCAAACUUGUAUAUAUAUUCCCCAUUAAUGUAUUACCUUGUAUGUGUAUAUUGAACAUUAUCUACUCACUAAGUUAUUGAACUCAUUCUCUCGUCAUUUAUCAUUUUCAGGCAUAUAGCUUGGUGGUAGGUCACUUUUUUUGAACUUCAGAACCUGAAUUUUGUUGUUGUUGUUGUUGUUGUUGUUGUUGUUGUUGUAAUUAACAUUAUCCAGUUAUAUCUAGUUAGUGCUCCACAAUUAUAGAAUUUGUAUUAACUUUUGUAUUAUGACGAUCAAUUUAUAUUAUUAAGAUAGUUUUAUUAUUAAUGUUGCAAAGAAAUUUGUUUUGUUUAUAUAGGUGAAAAAGUUUGUAUGUUUGUCUAGGUUCGUAUUGGUAAAGAAAUUUUGAGGGAGUCCUUAUUUAUGUGCCGGUCAUGAAUCCGGGAAUCGAGUCGCGACAAGUUGAGCCAUUAAUAAAAUAGUUUUAUAACUUAUUUUUAGAUUAUUAAGAGAUUAUCCAGCUUGAUUAUUUAAAAGUUUUUUUUUUUGGUAAUUUUUAAGGUUUGAAAAACCCCAUCUUUUUAUCUUUUACUAUACUUUGCGUCAAUAAAGAAAGCCGAGUUUGGGAAGAAUAAUCAAGCGACCAUAGACCGUUGAUCUUAGGCAUGUUAUAUGGCCAUGCCACCAAAAAGUGCCUGUUUGUCCUGCAAUGGUGCAGUUAUAUACAUAGUUCUGUCCACAAUCCACCGGCUUCGAAGCUGCCGAAUUCCAUGUAUCAGUGAAAACAUACAUAGAAAUUUAGAAUUUGCCUUCUC